rnacentral:lncRNA from 1 species
GUUGCUAAUGGGAGUUGGUUUUGUGUAUGAUGUAAAAAACAGCCUAUUGGGGAAGAAAGCAGCAGCUGUUGAACUAAUAAAAGCAAGGCUGUCUGAAAAGCCUAAUGACCCUAGAUUAUGGUUUGUUGAUGAGCCUUUUCUACGAUCCAUUUUAUAGUUACUUCUCAUUUCAGUUAAAUCCAUUGUUGAUGUCACUUAUUGCAAUGUAGGGAUAAUUGUUCAUUGGAUGUGAGGAUAUUGUCAAAAGAAAAUGAAACAUUUUAAUUUUAUCUUUUACUUGCUGUAGCCGAUUUAAAAGCUCACAGUGCGUUCUUACUGAUUGCUUUUGGUCUUGCAUUUGAGUCAAUGGAUUUUAUACUCAUAUUCUGACAUUUAUUGUUAGUCUUCUGACGGUUCUGCACCUUGGUCCUAUAUUAUCUUCAGCAGUAUUAUCUAAAAGAUAAGUUUUUGCCGAAGAAAAUUUGCAUUCUAAACUAGAAAAUGAGGGGCCUGGGGGGGGGGGGGGGCGGGGGCGCAACAGGAGACUGUUUUCCACUUAUCCUCUUCCCUGCCUGCAUUUUAGAUGAUUCUGAUGCACCAGGUGCUGUGAAAUGGUUGAGAAAUACAUACCAUCAAGUGAAUUCUGAAAAUCAUAUCCUUCUUGAAAAUAUUUGGUGCUAGACAUUUGAAUAUAUGGCCACAAUUUAAACAAUAAAGAUUUUCUGCAUUGAUUUCUUAUAAUGGAUAUAUGCAUGUAAGUAAAAUAUGAUAUCUUUUGAUUAUUGGCCCAUUUGUUCAGAAAGAAGGAAAAAAAAAAAUACAUGGUGAUAAUGUAGCCAGAAUGAUGAGUUGAAUUGUGGGUUGCUGACUUGUGAUACAUUUUGUAGGUGUUCAUUAGGUGAUGUUACAAAUAAUGAUGCCUGUUAUGAAAAAGCUUUGGAAGUUUCGAAUGAUAAGUCAGCUCGAGCUAAGGUGAUAUUUGUUGCACAGAGAAAAUGUAGUUCACAUUAUGCUUGUACCGUGAUCAUUUUUUAGUUAACAUAUCUUUAUGUGAAUCAGAGGUCUCUAGCUCGUAGUGCUUACAAUAGAGGGGAGUACGAGACGUCUAAAAUCCUUUGGUAUGUUGCUUUAAUGCUUUACUUCUCUUUCUGCCACACAGUAAUUUGCUGCAUUGACAACUGAGAUGGCUGAAUGACAAUUUACCCUUGGUUUUGUCUCAGGGAGGCUGCCAUGGCCUUGAAUUCUUUGUAUCCAGAUGGCUGGUUUGCUCUUGGUGCUGCUGCAUUGAAGGUAUCAUAUUUUUGUAUUAGUAUGUGUUUAGUGUGGAGAGAUUUCUUAUCCUUUUGCCCCAAGUUUCUGAAACUCUCGGCUGAAAUAUAAAUACAGGCUCGGGAUGUUGAAAAGGCUCUGGAUGGGUUUACUCGGGCUGUUCAACUUGAUCCAGACAAUGGGGAAGCUUGGAACAAUAUUGCUUGCUUGUAUGCUCUUUUCUUUGUCAUCAUGUCAUUCCAUCCUCUUGCUCUGUAUUCUUUAAUAUGGUGUCAAUCACUUUCAUCUUCUAUCUGCAAGAGUAUGCUUCCCAUAUUUGGUUUACUUUGUUUUGACUUUCUUGUUGCAGUUGUUCUAUAUAAAUUUUAUAUGGUUCCAUAUUCCCUUGAUGAGUGAAUUUAGUUGCUGCAAAUGCUAAGAGCUAGAUAGUACUGUUAUAAUUAGGAAUAGGGCAAAUAUUAGCCAGCUCUUUUGAGGAUUAUCCAUAGCAUAUGCCUCCGUCGUUUUCAAAGCAAUUGAAGUUCUCCUUUUCGUCUUAUUUAAAAGAAAAAAGCACAAAUUGCUUCCCUCACAUCUCUCUACAGUCUCUUUUCUCUCUGUUUAAUUUUUUCUUGUGCUUAUUAUUUGUCUUUUAAUGCGUCUUUUCUUCUUAUUUUAUACUGUACUAGAGUUUGUGCAGUCUCAAUUUCAUCUUGUCUGUGACUUACUGUUUUUUUCGCAAUUGUGGAACUUUAUUUAGCAGCAUAAUUAUUAGUUAGUGAGACAUUAAUUGGUAAACACCACUUGUGAAAAGAUACGAAGAGCUACUUAUUCUCUCUACUAGUACAUUUAAAAAAUUCAUGAGAAAAUAUCUGGGAUGGUAAAAUUCUCGUCAAUUAUAACAAUGGAAGUCUUGAGAUUUAUGUAAUCUUGCAGGCAUAUGAUCAAGAAGAAGAGCAAAGAGGCUUUUAUAGCAUUCAAGGAGGCCCUAAAGUUCAAGUUCUGUUUUUUUCCCCCCUGAUCACAACAUUUUUAUUUUCUGUCAUGCACAAUGCAGUCGGACACUAUCUGAUCACUAGAACACUGUCAUACAUAAUUUGUUGCUGCUAGGCAAAAGGUGAUAUCUAAUGUAAUAACCUAUAACAUGAUUUUGUAACAGACGGAACAGUUGGCAAUUGUGGGAAAACUACAGCCAUGUUGCUUUGGAUGUGGGCAAUAUUGGUCAGGUAACCGCGGUUGUGCGCUUAAUUUCGAUCAUUUAUCACUGAAAUCUUUUGAGAUGAAGUUGGCAUUUUCUUAGCCACCCUCUGAUGGUUUUGAUUGCUUCAUGUAUGUUGUCAUCUUUGUCAACUAAUGAAAGCUGCAGAGAUUUUGUCAUCUUUUCAUUUAAAAGAAUUUGAUAGUUUAUAGCCCAUUGUCAUUUUUGCAUAUGUAUGUUAUUGUUCUUUUGACCUUUUUGUACCUCAGCUUCAUCCUUUUAUGCAAGCAAUUCGUUGUCAAGAAAUAUCUGGAUAACAAUUUUUUCCCAUGAAUAUUUUUACGCUCAUCAAGGUCCUUGAACAGUCAUGGUUAAUGGAUUACAGAUUCUCAAAUUUAUAAUUAUUUUUUUCAGGGUCAUUGUCCUUUGAUAUAUGCAACUUGAUGCAUGACUUUCUAAUGAUUAACUCCCUGCCCUCACCAUGGUCGUAUAAAUAUUUUGACAAGUGGGGAUUGUAUGAUUACUUUGUGCUAGGAAUUUUUUUGGUUGGAAAGAAAUGGGAGGAUUUUUCAAGAAGCUAGGGAGGGAAGACACCAAAUUAUUUUUGGUGGAUAAAGCCUGCUGUCACUUUGGGCAUCAAUUUCUAAUGAAUGCAAUAAUGUUCCUUUCUUUGCUAUUCAUUAAAAUUGAGUUGUUCUUCUUGGAUGGCCUUCUUUUUACUUCUCAUUAUUUUGCCAGCUUGUUGAUUGUCAUUUUUGCUUGUUGGCAGUCUUUUCCUGCAGUGUUAAUAAUAUUUAAUUAUAAUAUUAGACAUCAGUGUCCUCAACAUGAUCUCUCUCCCAAAUUUUUACUCUUUUAUUCAUUAUAGUUUUAGCAGUUUCUUUAUUUUUGUUUUAUUUUAUUUUUGCAGGCUCUAGAGGCUGUGCAGACGGUGUUGAACAUGACUAAUAAUAAAAGAAUUGAUACUGAAUUAUUAGAAAGAAUAGUGCUAGAUCUGGAAGGAAGGACUUCAAUUAUAGAAUCUGAGUCUUGCAGGACUACGCAUAAUCUUAACAGAACUAAUAACACUUGUGCAAAAGAUUUACCUGUAGAAUCUGUCCAUGUAUCAUCACCUGAGGAGUCAAUCAUGGGAAGAUCACGAGAAAAUGAGCACUUGAUGGAGUUUCUUGGGAAAAUUCUUCAGCAGGUUGCACAUGUUUCCGUGAUCAUCUUUUUUCCGUCUUUUAAUACUGAGCUAAGGGACAUUCUCUCUCUUUCACGCAUAUCCAAAACACAUGUACAUAUUUCUCAUAUUUCUAUGCGUAUAUAUUAUCAUUUCUGAUCUUUCUUAGUUUAUAUGAUAAUUGUCUUUGGGCAUAUGAUUCAUAUUUGCUGGGCAUCCUAUGGUCUGUGGGUCAAUAAUAAUCCAUAGUAUCUGAAUUUCUUGACAAAAUUGGUCAUUUUGGCAAAUCAUUUGGACGUAUCUAUGCAGCAGUUUACUAUUUUAGUGCUUGCAGGAAUUGGUAUGCUUAAAUUUUGGGCUUAAAUUGUGGGAAAAUAAUCAAAGUGAUAUGCAAAUUAAUUCAAGCCACACGAGGAAAGAAUAUCCUUUCUUUUUUUUUUUUUUUAAGCUUAUGUUACAUGUUUCUCUGUAUGGCAUAGGUAGUUCGAAGUGAGAGUAGUGCAGAUAUGUGGGGAUUAUAUGCAAGGUGGCUUAAAUGUAAAGGAGAUCUUACAAUGUGCUCUGAAGCCCUCUUAAAGCAAGUCAGAUCAUAUCAGGUUUUUCCAUAAAUCUCAUCAUCUUAUAAUAAGUUAGCAUUAUGUUUUACUUUGAUGUUGAUGGAAUUUGUUAAUGCUAAUCAAAUUUUGUUAAUCUCUCUCUCUCUCUCUCUCUUUUAAAAAGAAGGCAAAGAAAAAGCUGUGAUUUCAUUUUUGUUUUCUAAAUUUGUUAAAUAAAGGAAUGACAAGUUGACAACUCAGCCUCUCUCUCUCUCUCUCGCUCUCUCUCUGUGUCUGUGUCAGGGAUCUGAUUUGUGGAAAGAUAGAGAUCGGUUUAAAAGGUUUUCAUAUGCAUCCUUGGAACUUUGUAAGGUUUACACGGAAAUUUCUUCCUCUUCUGGUAGCCGUCGAGAACUCUUUGCUGCUGAGAUGCACCUGAAGAACGUACUUAAACAAGUAAAACACCUUAUAAUUUGAUAUUUAGGACACUUACAGUUGGUUUAAAGAUUGCAUUUUCCGUUUCUGUUUUUGACUGGUUCAGGGUAAAACUUUUUCCCACUGUGUUAGAGUGCAUUUCUGUUAUUAUAUAGUUUCUUAGAAGAGAAUGCGCUUUUUGGAAUCUCAGGCUGAAGGAUUUGCUGACAUGGAAGAGUUCAGGGAUCUUCAAGCUUGCCUUGAUGAAGUGAAGACGAAACUCCAAUCUGGUCCCGUGGCUACCUAAGUAUCAGGAACGUGCUAUUUUUGAAUAUCAGGAAUGUGCUAUUAUUUUAGUUCGUACUGUAGUUGAGACCUUAACCAUGACUGAAUAUCUUGUAUUGCUGUACCACCUUUUCUGUAACAAAACAGUCUAGUUUUAGUAUUUUUAUUAUUUUUGUAUUUUCAGUGCUGUAACUAAUCUCAUUUGACAAUGUAAAUAUAUGGCUUCAAGUUAUUUAAAUGUAAAAUCAAGUGUUGUUUUCAACCUCUGUUCUUUUAUGUAUAGCUUACAUGCCGUGAUUUCAUUAACCUCAAUUUAAGGACAAUUUCAUAUCUUUUUUCUUUCUGCUUUUCUUUUAUCAUUUAAGAACAAAUAUGAAUAUAUUUCAGACAGCAUUUAAACAAAGCAACCGAACGUCGCUGGUUUCUAUUAUUACAUUGACAGCAAUAAAACAAAGAAGCAACUGAAAGUUAUCUUCAUAUGAGAAUGAAAGCUUUUCAGCAGCAUAACACUAUUCAUUUCCAAACGAGUUCCUCAACAUGAGAACAAAUUCGUAGACCUUUUCUGGGUCUGGAAGGAUCCUGGCAACAGUUUCCCUUUGCAUGCACUUGUUCAUCCAAGCGGAGAAUUUGGGGCACUCAUUCGCAUCCUUAAAUCACCCAAAUUUCUCAACCGCGUAAAACCAACAAAUUUCUCAACCCCCAAAUUUGGGACAUCAACGAAUCCAAAGCUAUCCCCGCCAAAGAAAUCCUUCUCCCCUAAAGCUCCCUCUAGUUGCUUCAAUAUCUCUAUAAAUUCAUUCUUUGCCGUCUCCUGUGUUUUAAAAAAUCUAUUGUAAUGGAUCUAUUGUAAAUUUAUCUAACUGCUUGUUAUAAUGCUUCUAUUGCGGUGUUAUUCGAGUUGUCAUUUUCAGUUUUAUUUUAUUUGUUCUUUAAACAUAGUUAAUUUGAAAUGUUCUUUAAUAUCCAUUACACUUGAGAUCAUCAAAUAAGUGAUUCUUGAAUAUAAUUGCUGUUGUUACUCGAAUAAGAAAAGAAAACAAAAAAUAGCUAAGGUAAAAGUAAAUGGAAAUGAGAGCAACGUGAUUUUGCAAAGAGAACUUCACACUAUCAUAAAACCGAAAACAUUACAAUUUAAAGCUUUAAUAACAACACAUCAAAGUCAAAUAACGACCCACUAGAAUCAUGGUCCAAAGAUUGUGCCAUGAUCACAACAUGAACUACAAAAAAAUAACCAACACCAGAAAAGUAGGAACAGUUUGAAACUUUCAACUAAGCAGCAUUUAUGAUUCCACAUCAGCAGCCCUAAACACAUCUUCUAACAAUCGCAACUGCUCAUUUUUGCUUCUGCCAAUAAAGAGUUGAUUGUAACCAAAGAUUGUUGUCUUUAUUGUCAUUUGAGAGUAACAAAUUACUUACGCAGUCACGUAAGUUGUUGGUUGGCCUCGCACAUUUUUGAGAAGUUUGUUUCUGAAGGAAACCAGCUGAGCCGCAACCUCUUCCAUGCUCAUUCGUUCUCUCGGCAACUCUGAAGAGCAAAUGGCUCCGAUUCCCAGUACGGAAACCAAGCACUCUUUACCACUAAAACUUCUGGUCCAUUGUUUGUGAGCAUUGGCGUUGCUUUUCUCCCCUUCUUCUCUUUCUACAAGAAGCACUGGAUCAACAAUUUCAGCGAGUCUUUCAGGAAGAGCUUCCUUGACAAAAUUAUGUAGGGUUAGAUUGCCUGUAAACAUUUCAUUCGUCGGCCUCUUUCCUGUAAACAUUUCCAGCAAGAGUAUUCCAAAACUGUACACAUCUCCACUUGUUGAGACUUCGCUCCCCAUUCCGUACUCUGCAAUUCGAAAACUAAAAUUGUUGGUUCAACUAGUAAAAUCUCAAAGGAUUGAAAGACAAGUUAAUUAAAUAAUAGUAAUUACCUGGAGCAGCAUAACCAACGGUUCCUUUUACUCCAACAGAGCUUGAUUGAUUAGAUGACAAGUUAUUGGUGGCUUCCGGAAGGAAUUUUGCUAAUCCAAAAUCACCUACAUGGGCAGUCAAUUCACUAUCCAGAAGAACAUUGCUUGGCUUGAGAUCACAAUGGACUAUUGGAGUUUCGCAAUAAUGAUGAAGAUAAUCCAAUGCAGAAGCAACAUCAACGGCAAUACUCAGUCUUUGCAGGAGAUUUAGAUUCUUAAGUGCCUCACGGUUUGGAUGCAACCAUUCCUCCAGGCUUCCGUUAACCAUGAACUCAUAAACUAAAGCCUCGAAAUCAUUUCCUUGGAAGUCAACACUUGCACAGGAAGUUAUUAUUUUGACGAGAUUCCGAUGCCUAAUAUUUCUCAAGGCCUGACACUCCGCUAUGAAACUCUUUGAAGCUCCUCGAUGUUGAAGAUUAAGCACCUUAACUGCCACCAGCGUUUCAUGAUCAUCAUGAUUGAGGACUCCUUUAUAGACCGAACCAAAGCUACCGGCACCAAUCAAGUUUUCCAAAGAGAACCCGUCAGUUGCUUUGAACAGAUUCUCAUAGGACACUCGUAAAACCGAAGCCAAGAGAGCUGAUGGAGGAGUGGCCGGCUUCCUUUUUGAUUUGCCCCGCCAGGAAGUAAUUAUCAAACACGACAUCCCUGUUACUAACAAAAUUCCUGUAACAACAGGAAUAAUCAGUUUCAGGAAACGGGAACGUGAUUGCAUUGAUUCUUUGAUGGAACAAGUAGAUAAAUGCAACUCAGAUAUGCCACCACAGAGGUUAUCAUUUCCGUCAAGAGAUAUAGCACUCGAAUUGCUGAAGACUCCUUUUAUUGGUACUUCACCCUCAAAAUGAUUAAAAGACAGAUUUAAAUUCUGCAAAAAGGGAAAGUUUUCCAGAUAUUUUGGAAUUCGGCCAGACAAAUUGUUCCUCGAAAGAUCAAGAUUCUCAAUGCCUCUCAAAGAACUGAAUGAUGAAGGGAUAUUCCCUUGAAAGAAAUUACCAUUCAUGAUGAGUUGUACCAACAUAAUGCAACUUCCUAUACUGCUUGGAAUUUCACCAGACAAUUUGUUCUCCGAUAUGUCUAUAAAACCCAGAUUUUUCAAGAUACCAAAAUUAGAGGGCAAAGGACCAUUCAAAUGGUUUUGAGAUAGAUCAAGAUAGAUUGACAAGGAAGAGAGGCCAAUCACUUCAGUGGGUAUGGUACCACUGAGGUUGUUAUUGGAGAGAUCUAAUAAUAUCAAGUUUUGGCAUUUCCCUAGACUUGAUGGAAUGUUUCCCUCUAACAUGUUUUCCGCAAAAUCUAGUAUAGCUAACGAUGUCAAAUUUCCUAUAGAAGAUGGAAUUUCCCCCCAAAACUUGUUCCCCAGAAGCCACAACGUCUGCAGCUUAUGAAGAUCUCCUAUACUUCCCGGAAUUCGGCCUGUGAAUUGGUUGCCCCCAAGGUGUAAAAGCUCUAAGUUAACAAGAUUUCUUAAUCGAUUUGGGAAAUUUCCGAACAACUGAUUGUUUCCAACUAUUAAUAUUCUAAGUCGGGUUGACAAGUUCCCCACAGCUUCAGGUAACAUUCCACCAAAAUUGUUGUCACUAAUUUGCAGUAGCUCUAGUCUGGAAGCGUUGACCAAAGAAUUGACAAAUUCCAAGUCAUCCUUUUUCCCAUUUCCUAAGUGAUUCAGAUAAAAACUAACCCAUUGGAGUUUAUGUAAAUUUUCCAAACUAGGCACCUUUCCACUGAAUCCAUUCAUUGGGAUUGUAAGUCUCAUUAGAUUUGAGGCAUUGGAUAUUGAAGCAGGAAUAGGCCCAGUAAACUGAUUACCACCAACGUUUAAUCGUUCAAGAUUAGGCAGAGUGAAGCCUAAGUCUGAUGGAAGGCUUCCUUGAAGUUGGUUAUGAGGGAAAUCCAAAUAAUUAAGCGAAGACAAGUUGUAGAUUGAGAAAGGGAUUUCACCUGAUAGCUUAUUUACUCCCAAUAAUAUAUCACGCAUCCUCUUUAGCUGACCCAGUGUUUCAGGAAUUUGUCCCACAAAUUGAUUUGCAGCUGCUGAGAGGACCUCGAGUGAUGACAAAUUGCCCAAGGAAGAUGGGAUUUCUCCCGAAAAAUUGUUGUAGUGUACUGUGAGCAUCCGGAGCUUUGAUAUGGAGCCUAGUAACCCAGGAACUUUCCCCACAAGCUCAUUGACGCCUAACCUGAGGGAUUCAAGGUUAACGCAAUGCGAUAUGUUGUCAGGAAUUUGACCUCCGAAUGUAUUGUUGUUCAGCUCCAAAAUUCGUAACCUGAACAGAUAUCCAAUCUCUUGAGGGAUUUCGUUGCGGAAGCUAUUGUUUUUGAGAUCUAACACUCUGAGAAAACUCAAAUUACCAAUGUGAGGCGACAGAGACCCCUGCAAGAGUAAAGAUGGAAGACGUAAUCCAGUCACCCUUUGGUGCCGUCGACUGCAAGUGACACCUUUCCAUUGACAAAAGUGCCUGGAAUAGUUCCAUGAUCUCAAAACCUCAAGAGGGUCAUGAGUAACUUUGGCCUUGAAUUGAAGCAAUGCAAGUUGAUCAGUUUCAUUGCUUUUGAGCAUAUAAUCGGUUGAUUGCAAGCUGAAGCUGAAGCAACAUAAAAUAAAGAAACAAAUGCUUACAAUGAUUGAACUCAUCAUGUUUACAAAAUUCAUUUAACUGCCGAAGGAAAUUAAAAUGAUAAAACUUUUAUAGAGGUUUGUAAGAUAAAAUAUGUUUGUAUAUAUUUUGCAAUGAUUUAUGGACUCUGUCUUUGAUGCUCAAAUGUGAACCAGGUGGCACCGUGACAGUGAAACUAAUACUUUUUCUUUUUCUAAUAAUAUUAAUUAUCAUAUUUAUUACUAUUGUAAGAAUAAUAUACUGCAGCUUUAAAGAAAGACUCACCAUACUCUCUUUUGAGUUUAAUCACCAAUAUUGAAAAGGAAAAAAAAAGUAGGGCAAGAGAAAGGUAAAUACGAUGGGUGGAGUGUUAAGACUACUGUUAAAUGAGUUGGGAAACGUUCAAAGCACGAUGGGAAUUAAAGAUUCACAACACCUUUUUUCUAAAAUUUUCAAUACAGUCUCCCCCAAAAUUUGCUAGUGCAACAAAGAGACGUCGCGCCGUUAACAAUUUUAAACUGUAAAUGACAUGUCGUUUUCACAGAAUUCGUUUAACUGCCGGAGGAAAUUGAAAUUAUAAACUUUUAUAAAGGUUGGUAAGAAAAAAUAUACUUGCACAUAUUUUUUUUUCAAUGAUUUAUGGACGCUGUACUUGAUGCUGAAAUGUGAACCGGCUGGCACCGGGACAGUGAAAUUAAUGCUUUUUGUUUUUCUAAUAAUAUUAAUUAUCCUUUUCCUUUAAGGAAGACCCGCCACACUCACUUUUGACGCUCUAUCAGUUUCCAGCAUGUUGUCGUUUUGUAUUUUAGUGCAUUAAAGAAAUCCACAAUGAAUAUAAAAUAAUUUAAUCAACAGUAUUAGAAAAAGAAAAAAAGUAGGAUAAGAAAGUUAAGUAUGAUGGAUGGAGUUUCACAUUUCUGUUAAAUGACUUAGGAAAUGUUUAAAGCACCACAGGAAUCAACGUUUCACACGCUUUUUAGAUUUUUUUUCUAAAAGGAAAAAGAUAUUCUCACGAAAGAAAGUACAAAAUUUCACACAAAACGGUGCAUUUAAAUAAAGUAAAAUUGCAAAAAUACUCAAAAUAUAUAAGAUUGAUCAUUUACACCCUCCUUGUUUUUUUUGGGUGAACUAUUUCUGGAAAAUGGGCAGAGCCUAGUUUUGGUUCAAAAUUUGAAAUAACAAAUGGUAUAUUGGUGGAAAACCAACGACAUAUUUUCUAAUGCUUAACCUAAAUGGGAAUUAUAUCGGUUUGUACUGUCAAUAUAACAAACAACUAACUAAAUUAUUUAGAAGUCAUGAAUAAAAAUGGAUAGAACAAGAAGUAUAUUGCUAUUCGAUGCAAGAUGUUGGAUUAUUAAACCAUAAUAAAAUAAUAUAACUACACAUGUGCAAUGUUAUUCACUAAAAAGAUUUAAUUUAGAUAUUAAACAGUUAGUGCAACUGUAUCGAUCUCAUCCUCAUUAAUUUAGAGUUUGAGAACUCAUAAUAAAAGAAAAUAGAAAUUUAAACAUAGAUCCUAUCCUAUUAAGUAGAAUCAGAAAAGAAGUUUAUAGAAAUAAUUUUUCACGGAAGCAAUGAAAUAUUAAUCCGGUUGAUGGAUAUAUUGGUGAACACAUAAUAGAAUAUUAUAAUAGAUUUUUAUCUAUCAAGCAAAGGGAAGAAUAUAAUUGGAAUAACAAAAGAAUUAGAAGUAAAUAGUAAUAUGCUAAUAGGAUAUAAAGGAUUAUUAUUAAUUAUCGUAUUUGUGUAUAUAUAUAUAUAUUUUAAAUGAUUUAGGGACUCUGUACUUGAUGCUGAAAUGUGAACCGGCUGGCACCGGGACAGUGAAACGAGUACUUUUUUUAUUAUUACACGGCCUGUCGUUUUCAAAGAAAAAUUUUAUCAUGGUAUUCUUAUCCCCUAGCUGCCGUUUGUCGUUUGGAAUUUCUCUGUAUAAGAUUUUAAAGCAGCAAAAAUUUCGCCAUCUCGCGCCGGGGGGGUGGGGUGGGGGGAAGAUGAUGAUUCCGUGGAAUAUUAUCUUCGACUUAUCUGCUAUAAUCAGUGCUAACCGAUUUUGACACAUUUGCAGUAACGGAAGGGUUACAAUUACACGAGAUUGACACGAGGUAAUUAGCUAGUCAAGUCUCCGUGGGAAAAUUGUAAGCACUCAAGACUUAAAAAAGACUUUAUAAAGUAAGGCGUAUUAUGGAUGGUGUGGUUUGAUUCUCACUUGCAUCAAUUGUUCUUUUCAUUUUUCAUUGGAGGAAAGGAAAUUCAAGAGCCUGGUGUAUCUAGCAAAUUUUGUAACACGUUCUUGUAAGAUAAAAUAAAUAAAUAAAUAUAUCGGAUCCUAUUUCAUAGUUUAGUUAUAGGGUUAUUCGGAUGUCUGAAUUCAAAACAAGUUAAGUUUAAUCUCUAAAUAAUUUUGAGGAAAUCUUUCUACAAGGAGAGUUUGAAAUCAAUCACUACCCAUGUGUCAUUGGUCAGAUAAAUAGGUUAAGAACUCUAAUCCUAUCCCGACACAAAAAAAAAUCGUAUCGACUCGGACCUAGUCCAUUUUAAAUAACGGUUUAUUUAAAAUAAUUAUUUUUAUAAUAAUAAUUACUACUAUUAGUUGUCCUAUUAUUAUUAUUAACAAUAAUUAUUUUAAAUAAAAAUUGUAAUUAUUAUAAUAAAUGAUGACAAUAAUCAACUAAGAUUAUUUUGGUAUUGUAAUAAUCAAUUCCAAUUCCAAUAAAAAUUAGAUACAUUAGUGACAAUAUAAAUUAGGGUAGGGGUGGGCAAAUUCGGUUUGGAUCGGUUUGGGACAUAUCCUCAAACCGAUCCAAACUAAUCGGUUUGAAAUAUUUUCAAACCGAUAUCAACCUAAAAUUUUUUUAAACCGAACUGAUCCAAACCGAUUGGAUCGGUUUGGAUCCGGUUUGAACUUAUUAGCUAAAAUUUCACUUCUUUUAUAUUAUUUUACCUAAAUUAUUUGUUAUUUUUUUGUGUCCGCAAUCUAAAUUGAUACCUCUUUUAUAUUAUUCAUAUCUACUUUGAUAUCUACAUAACAAUUCAAAGAUACAUCCAUACAAGUUUACAGCAUAAUACAUCCUAAUAAACAAGUUCUUAACCUGUUCAUUCAAAACAAACUCACAAAAUUAAAAUAAACUUAAACCACACUUGACAAUUAAAAUAUUGUGCAUCUUGUCCGUCAAAAUUUAUAGUCCAAUUACUUUUGAUUUGUUAAAAUCUGCAUAAAAUGAUAAAUAUAAUUAUUUAGAUUGAUUAACUUAAAAUAUAAUGUAAUUAUAUAAUAUUUCUGGAUUGGAUCGGUUUGAAUCGGUUUGGAAUCCUUCCAAACCGAGUGAUGUCGGUUUGCAAUCCAAUAAACUGAAACCAGUUUUUUUACUAAUGAAACCGAUCCAAACCGAUCCAAAAGGUCGGUUUGGAUCGGUUCGGUUAAAAUAUGCCCACCCCUAAAUUAGGGGUUAUUUUUAGAAACCUCCCCUGAAGUUUAGUGUAUUGACAGUCGGAUAGAAAGUAUUCAUAUAAUUACAGGGACCUCCCCUGACGUUAGUAUUCCGCUAAGUGGACUGUCAGUUGACUAUUGAAAUUCCAAAAAUGCCCUUGCCGCAAAAAUAUAUUUUUAACAUAGAGGAGGUUGCGCUCUGAUCCUUUGUUCUGAAUUCAUUUUUUAUCCUUUGUUCUUAGUCACGGUAUAUAAGCCCCAUCCUUACCAAACAAAAUUUUAGAUCAAACAUGCUUAAAGAAAAUGGAUAAUGCAACAUCUAAAAUAAUUUUAAAACACAAAACAACAAAUACUCCACAUUUCAAAGUAAUAAAAAAAUAAAUAAUCGUAGUGCAAAUAGAUUAAACCUGAGCAGAUUUAUAGGCAUUAAGAGUAUUCUCAACGGCGACUUUCCUCUCAUCGCCAGUCUUAAACUCAGCCAAGUUAAGCAAACUCAUGUCGAAACCAAAAUUAGAAUUUAGAAAGGAAAAAAACAGAAUUGAGAAUCAAUUUAUUUUUUGGGAGCACGUGAGUGAUGAGUUUUGGAAUCUAAAAUGAUAUCAAGUUAUGAAGUAUUUUUGGUGUAAACGCAACAGCCAUGAGAGGAGAGUGACGAGAAACUUCCAAAAAGAGGUGAAAAAAAAAACAGAAGAGAAAAAGGCCAAAAGGAAAAAGACUCAAAAAAACAAAAACAGAGAGGAGACGCAAGGGCAAUCAAGCAAGCAGACAAACAAUUUAAAACCUGAGCAGAUAAUCACCCUUCAUCUUCAAAUAAAACACCUUGGAAUCGGCAGCGGCAGCGGUGGGAACCAAUUUCUGGUCCAAUAAUUUCAAGAUCCCGCCACAGGAUCUCCAUCAACUCGGCUUCGAUCUUCGAUCUGUACUCCUUAAUCACGGAGACAUGGUCUUGGUUGCCGUGCGACUCGUCCUUCUGCUCGAUGGAGGACACGAUGCACCAAGAGGCGCGCCGUGCGCCGAUGACGUUCUUGUAGGCGACGGAGAGGAGGUUCCUCGCUGGUCGAGGCAGAGACGACGACUUUUUCCAUGUAUUGGACCAUCUCCUCGUACCACUCGGCUUGCUCCGCAAGUUUUUCCAUGUAUACGUUUUCUUCCCGUGGAGAAGGGGCUGCCAUUGUUCCGUUCAGUUAUCUUUGUGUUUGUUUGAAUUUUGUUUUUGUUUAAAUUUUAAAUUUAUUUUUACGUAUUUACCCUUUAUAAUAACGUUAUACGUAUUUUUGUAUUAACGUUAGGGGAGGUCUUUGUAAUUACAUGAAUAUUUUCUAUCCGACUGUUAAUACACUAAACCUCAGGGGAGGUCCCUAAAAAUAACCCUAUAAAUUAUUACAGCUAAAAUAAAUAAUUUAUAAUAAUUCUAAUUCUUUAUUUCAAUUCUAUUUUGAUUCUAUCUUAUUCCGAUUACUGAUUGGUAAGCAUACCACUAAACGAAAUGAAACUGUCCAUACACAAUAAAAUCUCUUUAAUUGAUCAUCUAGCCCAGCUAAAAUCAACGGUCCCGAAAGAAACAAUUUCGGAACUACUCAAGCCUGCAAAUCUUGCACUGUCGUAGUAAGUUACAGGAAUUUGAUUGGACGAUGUAAUAAAGAUGAAGGAUAAGAUCGCCAUUCGCCAAUCAAUUUUCUGUCCGCAUCAAGCAAAUAGGCCAUCUGUGAGGCGCAAAAUGAGUUAAAAAGAUGGAUAAUUUUGGAAUCCAUUAAUCCACAAUGAACAUAAAACAAUUUAAUCAACAGUAUUAGGAAAGAAAAGAAAAGUAGGAGAAGAAAGUUAAGUAUGAUGGAUGGAGGUUCAGAUUACUGUUAAAUGACUUAGGAAAGGCUUAAAGCACCACAGGAAUCAACGUUUCACAAAGCUUUUUUCCCUUUCUGAAAUAUUCGGUGCAGUCUCCCCCAGAUUUUGCCAGUGCAACCAAGAGACGUCAUGCCGUUAUCAAUUAUAAACUGUAAAUGACAUGUUGUUUUUACAAGACAUAUUAUGCGUCGAUACAUACCUAUGAAUGGGUUCAAGAAAUUCAGCAGGUUGCGAAACAAUAAGAUUCAUUCAAUCCGCGUAGAUAUCUGACUGACUGAAAUUAAAUAAACGAUGAUGAUAAGAAAUUUGAAAUCAACAAAUCUCGGCACAUCUAUUCUGCAGUUUGGCCGUACUUCAAAUAACCUUGCGAUAAAAAUUUCAUAAAAAAUCUCAGAAAGAGGACAGAACAACCAAGGCAUCAGCGAAAGCAAUCGAGGCAGGGCACGCUCAAGCCACGAAUUAGAGGAAUUUUAAAUAUCAAAACCUGCUCAGAAUAAUAAGAAAUAAAAUGAAACUACAAAAGGCUCAGAUUUUUGGAUGAGUGAAGGGAAGAUGAGAAGAUGAAAUGCAGAAAGUCAAGAAAUGAAUAAACCAAUAUUAAUAAUCUUGGACCCACAGCUCUAAUUUGGAUUAAGCAUCCAUCUACCUAUGUGGAUAAUAUUUUUGCUAACUUUUCAGCCAUGCAGCAGGAUCAUGUUCGUCCUGUUUUAUUUGAUAGAAGGAAUUUUCCCCUGGAAGAAAAUGAUGAGUCGUUUCAACGUCAUGCAACUGCCUAGACUGCAUGGAAUUUCACCAGACAAUGACAAUUUAUUCUCAGAUAUAUCUAACGCCCCCACAUUUGCCAAAUUUGAAGGCGUCCGUUUUGAGACUGAUAAAAACGUUUUCCAAAAAUUCGGGAUUCAGGUCGAUCAGACCGGUUAUGUUUUGCAAAACUUGUAAAUUUUCAGUGAUCAAAAUUCAAAACUUUGCAAAUAGGUCAAAAUAUGAAAAAUACUUGAUAUAUUAUUGAAUACUCAUUUUGUUUUGCAUUAAUAUACGGCUGUGGGUGCUAUCUAGUUCUAUUAGUAAAAUUCCUUGGGUUGAAAACAAGAAAACUAGCAUUUGAAACUCACCCAUAUGGAUGGGAAAGAAAUUUAGUUACCAUUGGAUUAAAAAAUAAUAAUAACAAUUAGAAAAAAAUUGUAAGGCUUCGACAAGAUUUGCUAAUCAUGUAUAGAUUAAUAUGAAGAUUAAGAACAUCACCUAAGCCAAUUAUUGAAAUUGAAAUUUUAGGAGAAAAAUUUAUGUGGGUUUGGCCACCAAUUUAGCAUUAGGAACUUAUUGUUUAGGAAGCUAUGGUGGGUUUCGUAGUGGGACUUAUCCUCUUUAAUGCAUAUGGUGAUUUUAAACCAACAUUUAUAUAAUCCCAUUAUAAAACUCAUCAAACCUUCUAAAAUAACUCGUUGAGAUAGUGUGCUAGAUCCAUAUAAAUAUUUCUCCAACUUCUUAGCUUGAAGCGAUAUUCAUUUCCAUUGAUAGUUUAAUGGGCAAAGCCUUUUGAAUUCUCCAGGUUAUCAAGUUAUUUUUUGCUGGAAAAUGCAAUCCGGAUAUGAAUAGAUUUUUUUGUGCAAUCAAAUUUUCUAUGUUGACGCAUCCUCUAGAACUUUCAGUAAAUUUUAUGGAGAAGCUUUAAUUUCUUAGUUGUUGAUUUCGAAUAAAAAAUUAAACUUAACUUUAAAAUUACAGUUGUAAUUAUAAAAUAUUUACUGAAUACAUUAGUGUUAAUACUACAAAUUGUUCCAUUAAAAGUCUCUCAAAAAGGAAGAAGUGACUUAAAAAAUUAAAAGAAUGCAGGAGCUGAAGUUGGCAAUUUUGUAAAUUGCAAUGGCAAUUGUGGGCUAGUAAAAUCCCUCAAUGAGUCACAGCACUAGCAAUUUCGUAAUAUACAUUAGUGGCAAUUUUGUAAAAUUGAAGUUGUGAUAGUUUUGCAAAUAAAAGUAAAAGCUUUUUGCCUAAAUUCGGCUGAGCUAAAAGCCAGCUUAGCCCACACUCUCCUUCGCCACCGGUUGACGAGCUCUUCCUUCAAUUUUUGAACUUGAAGUGAUGCCCCAUCGAUGUCCAGAAUUUUUAAAGUCAGAAUGAUGAUCCUAAUGAUUCUUUUUAGAUAGUCACCUGUACGUUGACGUGUUUAAUUGAUGUUUAUUUAAGCAGAAAUUGAAGUUUGAUCCCUGAUUAAUUAGAUGAGAACACACAUUCAUGAGUAAAUACUUAAAAUUAAAUUAAUCAAAAUAGUAUAAAUACAGGAGAAAAUCGAUCAUAUGCGUGCAGACAUCACAAUCGAAUUAUAUAUAUCACCGCCGCACAUAAAUUUGAUUCCCAUGAUAUGUGAUUAAUUAAUUAAUUUUUUUAAUAACAAUUAAAUUGUAAUGUCAAUUGUCCACAUAAGUUUUUUGUUUUUGUUGAUGAAAGUUAGUAAUUUUUUUCCAUCUUUUUAAAUAAAAGUUGUUAAUAAAUAUCAAGAAAAUAUUGGGACUUGAGAUCAGGGUCUACUUAAGUUAGAAUUUUUUAUUAGAAAAGCUAUAGCCAGCGAUGAAAAAUAAAGAAGUAACACAAGAUAAAGAGUAAAAUGAGAGAGCAUAUAUUAUAAAAAGAUUUUACCCAUUUCAAGUGUGCACCAAACAAAGAGACGAACUCUCAUUUUAUAGUUACAUAAUUAUUACAUGAAAUUAAUAAAAAUAUUAAGAAUUAUAAUUCCUUGCGAGAUAGUGGGAGUUAUAGAAAAGUCAAGAGUUGUUAGUGGAAGAUAGCAAGAAGAGUAAAAAAUAUAUGUUAUGAACAUUCACAUUUAUUUUAAUAAAUUUACAGUAUUUUUUUCGUUAAAUAAUAGGGUGUGGAGAACAAUUGGAAGGACUUUACGUGUGUUUAUAUAUUGACAUAAAAAUUGCAGGACGUGUAGUUUAGCGUUUCUUGGUUGUUCAGUGCUAGUUUUCUAAAUCUCGAGCGUGCGGGUUAUUUUUCGUUACCUUUAUCACCGAAAGGCUGUUUUAACCAACUAAGAACUAAAAGCUAAAACCCAAAACCCCCCUCUUGUUCUUUUCCAGGGACUUUACCUUGUCCUUGAUGGCCGAAAAGCAACUGGAAAUCCUCCGCGGGUACGAGCUGCGGCUCUUGCGCUGCACCCUCGCUCCCCCACCGUCCGAUCUUCGCAUUCAAUCGCAACCGUUGAACGAAGAAAGCCAAUGCUCUAUCCUUCCACUCCACGAGCACAUCAACAGCCUCAUCAACUCCAUCGAGUCCGGCCACUAUCUCCAGGCUCUGUCCUCCGACGAGGCUAAACACGCUCUCGACACGCUCGAUUUCGUCGACAUCAACGACUCAGCCGAGUGUGCCGACCGCGUCUACUCCGAGCUGCUCCAGCUUGUCGAAGCGUCUAUAGUGAACGAUUCCGAAAUUGACGUGGAUAAGGCUUGUCGAGUUAUUCUGCUCAUGUGUCUUUCAAUUGCUGCCCUUUUUUGGUUCACUCAGUGUAACGUGACUGGGUGAGUUUCUUAUUUAUAAAUUUUUAAAUAAUUGCAAUUAAUUAAUAAUAAAUAUUAGUAAAAAAUUAAUCAAAAAAAAGGUUUAGUGAUGAACCUUGUCGAGGUGCCUUCUAAUAGAAAAGAGCUCACGGCAAGAUGAAAUGCAAAGUAAGUUGUUUUAUGGUUGGGCGGUGUGUAGCCGUCUUGUUGAAGGCCAUAAGAUGUUAAGCAUAUUGCUGUUUAAUUUUUAAAUCAUUCUCAGUAAUAAUUCCUUUAGUAGAUUGAUGAUAAGAGAUUGCAUUGCAGAUGAUAACUGAGCACAAUUUCUGUAGUUGUAUCCCUGUACAUCCAUCUUAAUAUCCUCAUUAUAUUCACAUGCCUUUUACGGGUGUUAUUUCUGGAUGCAGAAUGCUUUGUUCCACGUCUGGAUACCAAAUGCUUUGUUCCACAAAGCUGAGCUGGUUGAAAAGCUAGCUGAUGAGGUCAACAUGUCCCUUAAGUAAUUUGAGGAUGAACACUGUGUUCCCGAAAGUCUUACUCUAAUGAUACUUAAAGAAGCAAUGAGAAUGGAUGUUGCAGCAGCUUUGCUGAACUCAACCCCAGUUCCAAAAAUGGAACAUGUGAAAAUGCAUUGUUUUUUUUUUUUUUUUUCUCUCUCUUUAUGACUUCUUUGGUUGGGAAUGUAUUAGAUAUUCACCUAAUCAGUAGGCCUUGAAGGGAUCCCAUGUUAGCCCCUUGAUGUUGGUCUGUAACUAAGUAAAUACUUGACCUUGAAAAAGCUUUUGGAGGCAUCAGUUCUCUCUGACUGUGUGCUACUUUUUGGAUCUGUUGAUUUGGUCAUUUGCUGAUUUAUAGUUAUUUUUCUGAUUCAGGAUGGGAUAUGGCUCCAUACAUAUAUAGGCAAUUGAUUCACAGCAGUCGUCAUGCUUCAUUGUAAUUAUAUAUACAAUACAGCAUCAGUUUUUCUUGAUUUUAAAUCUCGUAUUCUGAAGUGGUACUUCUGAUUCUCACAUGAUUUUUCCAUCUUUCAGCUAAAGUUUUUCUGUGAUCUCUUCCGUAUUAGAUGGGAGUUCACCCGUAGUCGCACAAAAGGGCGUGCUUUAGAGAUGAUGGACAAACUGGUAUGAUCUGUGAGCCUUUUCUUCUUAAAUAUUUUGUUACCUAAAUCAUUUUCAUUCAAAUUUACAAGAGUUGCCUAUGGAUCUAUAGAAGAUUCCAAACUUUCUGCAGCUAGUAGUUUCUUGGUUUCCGUACUGUCCAUCGGGUAAAGAUUGAAUGUGCAUCAUUUAUAAACUUGUCGGGAUCUUCCUUCUUAGCUUUGAGAUUGCUCCUGCAUAUAGGUAGAACCAAAGGCACAAAUGGUACUUGUUGCAAACACAAGCUCAUCCAACACUUCUGAUGUCUGCCCUUCAAUAAACCAAGUCAUUCAUACACAUGAUUCUACUAUUGGUGAUGCCUCUGAUGUUUUUGUGACCCCAAAAUUAUUGGGGAAUAGUCAUGAAUCUGAAUCUGGAGUCCAAUGCAUUCAUGCUGGUGGCUCAGCAGCCCAUUUAAAGGCAAUCCAACAGGCAGUGAUCUUGUCGAGGUGCCUUCUAAUAGAAAAGAGCUCACGGCAAGAUGAAAUGCAAAGUAAGUUGUUUUAUGGUUGGGCGGUGUGUGGUCCUCUUGUUAAAGGCCAUAAGAUGUUAAGCAUAUUGCUAUUUAAUUUUUAAAUCAUUCUCAGUAAUAAUUCCUUUAGUAGAUUGAUGAUAAGAGAUUACAUUACAGAUGAUAACUGAGCACAAUUUUUGUAGUUGUAUCCCUGUACAUCCAUCUUAAUAUCCUCAUUAUAUUCACAUGCCUUUCACGGGUGUUAUUUCUGGAUGCUGAAUGCUUUGUUCCACUUUUGGAAACCAAAUGCUUUGUUACACAAAGCUGAGCUGGUUGAAAAGCUAGCUGAUGAGGUCAACAUGUCCCUUAAGUAAUUUGAGGAUGAACACUGUGUUCCCGAAAGUCUUACUCUAAUGAUACUUAAAAAAGCAAUGAGAAUGGAUGUUGCAGCGGCUUUACUGAACUCAACCCCAGUUCCAAACAUGGAACAUGUGAAAACCAAAAAUGCAUUGUUUUUUUUCUCUUUAUGACUUCUCUAGUUGGGGAAUGUACUAGAUAUUCACCUAAUCAGUAGGCCUUGAAGGGAUCCCAUGUUAGCCCCUUGAUGUUGGUCUGUAACUAAGUAAAUACUUGACCUUGAAAAAGCUUUUGGAGGCAUCAGUUUCUCUCUGACUGUGUGCUACUUUUUGGAUCUGUUGAUUUGGUCAUUUGCUGAUUUAUAGUUUGUUUUCUGAUUCAGGAUGGGAUAUGGCUCCAUACAUAGAGACAAUAGAUUCACAGCAGUCAUCAUGCUUCAUUGUAAGUAUAUAUACAAUACAGCAUCAGUUUUUCUUGAUUUUAAAUCUCAUAUUCUGAAGUGGUACUUCUGAUUCCCACAUGAUUUUUCCAUUUUUCAGCUAAAGUUUUUCUGUGAUCUCUUACGUAUUAGAUGGGAGUCCACCCGUAGUCGCACAAAAGGGCGUGCUUUAGAGAUGAUGGACAAACUGGUAUGAUCUGUGAGCCUUUUCUUCUUAAAUAUUUUGUUACCUAAACCAUUCUCAUUCAAAUUGACAAGAGUUGCUUAUUUAUCGAUAGAAGAUUCCAAACUUCUGCAGCUAGUACUUUAUUGGACCCAAAAGCUUUUUUGCUUUUUCUAAGCUGCUAAUCAAGACUAGGUUUCUCUCCCUUAUAUCGCUAGAUAUGCCAUUAAUCGUUUGAUUUAAUUGUCUAGAGAGAUUAGAUACUUGCAUCUUUGCUUUUCACUUCACAAGUGAUUUCAUGUGCUAUCCUGUAUUCUGGUUCAAGAUUUUUGAUGGUUGCUUACUAUCAUAUUUUGCUUUGUUUCAGGUUGAGGGCAUUUCUAACUCUUCUCCCGGUGUGACUCAAAGUAUUCCCUUUUGUUAUGUGAUUUGCAUUCCAACUAUUCCUGCCCUGCGAAAGUAAAACUAUUUCUUCUGCAUCUUUGAAUGAUUGUGAUUUAAUUUUCUUGUCAUUUUGCCAACUAUCAUUAUGCUGUCAUUGUUUCAUAUCUUAUUUGACAUAUGUUGAUUUGGAUAGAUUUUAAUUGCUCUGUUUAUUCUCUUUAUAAUCUGUCUAUUUCGAUUUUUCUUCAUUUUAGGGAAUAUGCUAAACUUUUAGUAAGCCGUGGCUUGAUUGGAGAGGCUAUUAAAAAUUUUGAGGAUCUGGUGUUGUGGGAUAGUCUAAUACUGCAAUUGGUAUGAUGUCAUAGAUAACCAUUACCCUAAUCUCUCUGUCUAUCUCUCUCUCUCUCUCUUUCGUGUUGCUAAUGGGAGUUGGUUUUGUGUAUGAUGUAAAAAACAGCCUAUUGGGGAAGAAAGCAGCAGCUGUUGAACUAAUAAAAGCAAGGCUGUCUGAAAAGCCUAAUGACCCUACAUUAUGGUUUGUUGAUGAGCCUUUUCUAUGAUCCAUUUUAUAGUUACUUCUCAUUUCAGUUAAAUCCAUUGUUGAUGUCACUUAUUGCAAUCUAGGGAUGAUUGUUCAUUGGAUGUGAGGAUAUUGUCAGAAGAAAAUGAAACCUUUUAAUUUUAUCUUUUACUUGCUGUAGCCGACUUAAAAGGUCACUGUGCGUUCUUACUGAUUGCUUUUGGUCUUGCAUUUGAGUCAGUGGAUUUUAUACUCAUAUUCUGACAUGUAUUGUUAGCCUUCUGACGGUUCUGCACCUUGGUCCUAUAUUAUCUUCAGCAGUAUUAUCUAAAAGAUCAUUUUUUGCCGAAGAAUAUUUGCAUUCUAAACUAGAAAAGGAGGGGCCGCCCGGGCCCGGGGGGGGGGGGGGGGGUGUGUGUGUGUGAAGGAAGCAUCAGGAGGUUGUUUUCCACUUAUCCUCUUCCCUGCCUGCAUUUUAGAUGAUUCUGAUGCACCAGGUGCCGUGAAAUGGUUGAGAAAUACAUACCAUCAAGUGAAUUCUGAAAAUCAUAUCCUUUUUGAGAAUAUUUGGUGCUAGACAUUUGAAUAUGUGGCCACAAUUUAAACAAUAAAGAUUUUCUGCACUGAUUUCUUAUAAUGGAUAUAUGCAUGUAAUUAUAAUAUGAUAUCUUUUGAUUAUUGACCCAUUUGUUUAGAAAGAAGGGGAAAAAAAAAACAUGGUUGAAAGACAACUGUUACUUGACCUUAUCUUGGUCUGUUCACUGCCGUUUGUUUCCUAUAACUUCUGGUGAUAAUGUAGCCAGAAUGAUGAGUUGAAUUGUGGUUUACUGACUUGUGAUACAUUUUGUAGGUGUUCAUUUUUGUUUUCUAAAUUUGUUAUCUAAAGGAAUGACAAGUUGACAACUCAGCCUCUCUCUCUCUCUCUCUCUCUCUCUCUCUCUGUGUGUCUGUGUCAGGGAUCUGAUUUGUGGAAAGAAAGAGAUCGGUUUGAAAGGUUUUCAUAUGCAUCCUUGGAACUUUGUAAGGUUUACAUGGAAAUUUCUUCCUCUUCUGGUAGCCGUCAAGAACUCUUUGCUGCUGAGAUGCACCUGAAGAACGUACUUAAACAAGUAAAAUACCUUAUAAUUCGAUAUUUAAGACACUUACAGAUGGUAUUACAUUGACAGCAGUAAAACAAAGAAGCAACUGAAAGUUAUCUUCAUAUGAGAAUGAAAGCUUUUCAGCAGCAUAAGCCUUUCACUAUUCAAUUCCAAACACGUUCCUCAACAUGAUAACAAAUUCGUAGACCUUUUCUGGGUCUGGAAGGAUCCUGUAACAGUUUCUCUUUGCAUGCACUUGUUCAUCCAUGCUGAGAAUUUGGGGCACUCAUUCUCAACCUUAAAUCCCCCAAAUUCCUCAACCGCGUAAAACCAUCAAGUCAGUGGAAUGGCAAUCACAUCAACGAAUCCAAAGCUGUCCCCGCCAAAGAAAUCCUUCUCCCCUAAAGCUCCCUCAAGUUGCUUCAAAAUCUCUAUAAAUUCAUUCUUCGCCGGGGACCUCGCCCUUCGUUUUGCAUAUGUUGCAGACUGGAUCGAAUACCUGCCAAAAAAGUGGUGUCAUCUUUUAAGUUCGCAUUUAGAAAGAUACAAACAUUUACACUUGAGAAUUAUAGACUGACCUUCUUGUCAAUAAAAUCUGCCCAGAACCUUGCCUUAGCUCUCUCAGAAGCACAGGAUGGGAGAAGUGAUGGCGAAGGCCAAGUCUCGUCAAUUUAGUUGACUAUAAUAGUGGAUUAACACAAUGGUUCCCCAUCGUGCAGCAAAACUGGGACUUUCUUGUAGAUGGGGUUUGAUUUGAGCAACAGGUCACUCUUGCCCCCGAACAAGUUCUCAGCUCUGGCUUCAUAUCCAACUCCUUUCUCAGCCAAUGCAAUCUUUGCUCUCAAGCAAAAUGGGCUAACCCAACAGUCCAAAAGAACAACCUCUCCCUUUGACAUAUUCAACUAUCAAGGUUGGUAUUUAUAUAGGAGAAAAGAUGAAAUUCCCAAAGAUUGUGUCGCAAUCAAGGUUUGUUCGUUGGCACUUCGAUAAAGGAUGUGGCCUUGUUCUUAUCAUUUCUUAGUUUUUGAAGCUAAAUGUUUUACUUGGCUUUCAACAGGCACAAGAACAAGUUUGUCUUGUGUAAAUAAAAUAAAACCAUAAAAUUCCAUUAUUAGUGUAAAACCAAAAUAAUUAAAAUAAUAAAAGUGAGUUAGUCGUGCGUGUGGACCUCCUCUUUAUGAGUUUGUUAUCACACCAUAUUUGGUUUCUAUAAAUAAAAUAACUAAAACUCUCUUAUCUAAGUAAGAAUAUUGUUAUUUUGAAAUACCAACUCAAUCUCUAACAAAUCUUGAGAUAUAACUUAAGAUUCUUGAGCUUCCAAUAUAAAACAAGUAAGAUUAACAUAACUUUUUCACUUCCUUCCAUCAAAGAAGGGAAUAAGUUAUAUAAUUUAAUUUAUGUUUAAUUAAAUUAUUUUAAAUGGGUAAUAAUUAUAAAUUUUUCCACUUUAUUUAAUUAACUAGAUAAGACCAUAUUGUAAAUUCUUACAUUUAUCACUUUAAUCUCUUUCCUUUUUCAUUCCAACUCCGGUACAAACUAUUCCUUUUCAAAAAGUUGUACUCAAAUUGAUAAGUCUUGGAAGACCAAAACACUAUUUAAAAUUUAUUAUUUGCUUUAGUAGCUUUCAUGGGUGCAAGGUAAGGAACAAAACUCGGUGGAUUUUAUGACAAAAGCUUUAUCUUAUGUAGCACUUUUUUCGAUAUCUCGAACUUUACUCUUUAAGAAUGUUGUAUAAUAUUUCUACAAUAACAACAAACAAAUUAUAACCCUGAAAGAUCUAUAUACACCUCGAUCUCUAGCUAGUUCUCUACAAAAUAUGGCACUAAGUAACAAUGUAAUCGGAGCCAUCAACUUUGUUGCCGUACUUCUUUCAAUCCCAGUCAUCGGUGCCGGAAUCUGGCUUGCCACCGAGGCAGACAAUUCUUGUGUCAAGCUUCUACAAUGGCCAGUCAUUAUUUUGGGAAUCUUGAUUCUAGUCGUGGCUCUAGCAGGCUUUAUUGGAGGAUUUUGGCGCAUCCCUUGGCUCCUUAUACUUUAUCUCGUUGCCAUGCUCAUUCUUAUAAUAUUGCUGGCUUGUCUAGUUGUUUUCAUUUACAUGGUCACGAUUAAGGGCUCAGGUCACCUUGCACCCAGUAGAGCGUACUUGGAAUACCGCCUCGAUGAUUUUUCUGGAUGGCUACGUAGAAGAGUUCGAAGCCCUUACAAAUGGGAUCGGAUCAAAAGCUGUCUCAGCUCGACACAGAUGUGCCCUGAGUUGAACCAUGUAAAAAUGAGUUGCAAAUACUGUUUGGUUACUGAGAAACAGAGAGAAAAUUGAUGAAUAUUCCAGAUCUUAUUAUUUCAUUAAUUACAAAUGAGUAAAUCACAAGUCUUUAUACUUGCAUUUCAUUAGUAAAAGCUAUUAACGAAACUGAUCUGUAUUAACUAACUAAUACUAACUAACUAAUCACGCGAACUCUCAUUGCUGCAUAACAGAAUCAGCUGACUCAGCAUUGUUGACGUGGCAUUGCUGACGCACCUUAGCUUCUGACUUCUUCUCUCUUCUUAGCUCAGCACAAUGAGCUUUCUUCACAGCCCCUCUCAAACUCAAGGGGCAUAAAUGCACAUUGAGUUUGUUCCUCAGAUAAAUGAACUGAGAAGAGUUUAAGGGCUUAGUCAUUAUGUCUGCUAUCUGUUCUGUACUAGGAACAUAUAGAAUCUUAAGAUCUCCAGUUAGAACCUUAUCUCUGAUAAAAUGCAGAUCGAUUUCUAUGUGUUUUGUUCUUGAGUGAAACACUGGAUUAUGAGCAAGAUCUUUGGCACUUACAUUGUCACACCAUAUAACUGGUUUCUCCACACGACAUAGAUUAAUCUCAAGAAACAAAGAUUUUAUCCAUGUUAUCUCUGAAACAGCUGCUGCAAGUGCUCUGUAUUCACUUUCUGCAGAAGAUUUUGUAACUACAGAUUGCUUCUUUGAGGACCAUGAGAUUAAGUUGUUUCCUAGGUACACACAAUAUGCACCAGUGGAUCUUCUGUCAUCAAGAUCACUUCCCCAGUCUGCAUCUGUAAAUGCUGUAACCUUCAGCUCACCUUUCUUAACAAAUUUCAGCCCAUAGUCUUGUGUUUCCUUCAGAUAUCUAAGCACACGUUUGCAUGCCAUAAGAUGUUGAAGUGUUGGUGAAGAUACAUACUGACUUAGCUUAUGAACUGAAUAGGCAAUUUCAGGUCUUGUCAAAACUAAAUACUGAAGACCUCCUACAAUGCUUCUGUAAUGAGAUGGAUCUUCUAUGUAAUAACCCAUUUCCCCUUCUAUAUUCUUCUGCAAUCUGUAAUCUUUGCUGCUGCUCAUUGGUGUAUCUAUUCCUUUACACUCGAGCAUAUCAGCUUUAGCCAGCAAGUCUCUGAUAUACUUCCUUUGUGAUAGAUACAUACGGCCAAGAUCAUACAAAACUUCAAUUCCAAGAAAAUAAGAUAACUUUCCCAGAUCCUUUAAUGCAAAUGCAGAACUGAAUAGCUUGAUAAAAUCUUCCAGCUCAUCACAAUUUGAUCCUGUAAUCAAUAUGUCAUCCACAUAUAUCAGGAUUAAAAUAAUUGAUCUUUUAUUCUUUUUCAAGAACAAAGAUGAGUCAGACUUAGAAUUCUCAAAUCCCCAUUGCACAAGACUGUUUCUCAGCUUGUCAAAACAUGCUCGUGGAGCUUGUUUCAAACCAUAAAGUGCCUUGUGAAGCUUGCACACAAAAUCAGGUCUUUUGGAAUCAAUAAACCCUUCUGGUUGACUCAUAUACACCUCCUCAAUUAAAUCUCCAUUUAAGAAUGCAUUAUUCACAUCAACCUGUCUUAUUUGCCACUGAUUCAUUACUGCUAGACUCAGGACUAUUCUAACUGUUGCUGCUUUCACCACUGGACUGAAAGUCUCAAAGUAGUUCACUCCUUCUAUUUGCUGAAAUCCUUUAGCAACCAACCUUGCCUUAUAUUUUGCAACACUUCCAUCAGUAUUUGAUUUCACUCGAAAUACCCAUUUGUUGCCAACAAGUUUGUGAUGUUCUGUUCUUGGCACAAGUGUCCAGGUACCAUUUGACAUUAGUGCAUCAUAUUCAGCUUUCAUUACUUGAAACCAUCUCUCAUCAUUGAUAGCCUCCUGAACUGUAUCUGGUUCUUUAUGCAACAAUACUGCAGUAUAUACCUUUGGCUUAAAGAUACCUGCUUUCCCUCUAGUGAUCAUGGGGUGUUGGUUUAGUGAUGGUGAGGUUGUCAUUGUUUGAUUGAGAUGAGGGAUAUUGUUAUUGUGUUGGUUUUGUGAAUUUUCAUUUGAGGGCUGUUCUAAUGUUGUGUCAGGUAUAGAAGGUAACAUUAUAGGUGCAGAUGGAUUAUUUCUGUCUGUGUUUGAGGGUUGUUGAUCUGUUACCUGUGUUGAGACUACUGUUGAAGGAAAAAUGUUGCCACUGGAGUAUGCUUGAGAGAAAGAUUCAUUGCUGGUGACUGAAAAAUCUGUUAUGACAGGUAAUGUUGAUAACUGGAAAACUUGUAUAGGAGUAAUUGUGCAAUAUGUAUCAGACUUAGAUUUAUUUGAAUUAUGAAAGCUAGGAUCAGCUGCAAAUGGAUAAGAGUGUUCAUCAAAGACAACAUGCCUAGCUAUAUAUAUAUGUCCAGAGGGGUGAUAACACUUGUAGCCUUUAUGAGAUGGACUAUAACCAAGAAAAAUGCAUUUGGUUGUGUGAUAGUCAAACUUGUGCUUAUUGUAAUCUCUCAGAUAUGGAUAACAAGCACAUCCAAAGCAUUUCAGCAUUUUAUAAUCAGCCUUGUGUUUAUAAAGCUUUUCAUAUGGAGUAGACAUCUUAAGUGCAGAAGUAGGGAGUCUAUUAAUGUGAUAGACUGAGGCAUGAAAAGCAUCCCACCAGAAUUGAAAAGGGAGUUUGGCUUGAGCUAGAAGUGUCAGUCCUAAUUCUACAAUUUGUCUGUGUUUUCUUUCAACAAGUCCAUUCUGAUGAUGAGUGUAAGGGCAAGAGUGUCUAAAGAGAAUGCCACAUUCAUUUAGAAAGGCAGUAAAUGGUCUGUAUUCUCCCCCCCAGUCAGAUUGUAGAAUUUUGAUAGAAGUUUGAAAUUGUUUUUCAACUUGAAGUUUGAACAGCUUGAACACUUCUAGAGCUUCUGAUUUAAGUUUCAAAGGAUAAAUCCAGGUGUAUCUGGUAUGAUCAUCCACAAAGCUAAUGUAAUAUCUAAAGCCAUCUCUAGAAUAUGCUGGUGAGGGACCCCAUAGAUCAGUGUGAACAAGUUCUAGAGCUGAUGUGGAUUUGAUAUCAGUGAUUGGAAAAUGAAGUUUAUGAAAUUUUCCUAGUUGACAUGCUUCACAGAAAUGCUUUGUAGCUUGAUUAACAAUAUUUGUAGAGCACAAAUUGGGAUGCACAAGCUUAAGCAAAUGAAUUAGACUUUGAGUAUUAGGAUGACCAAAUCGUUUGUGGAGUAAAGACAUUUUAUUGAAUGAAUUAGUGCUACAAGUAUUCUUAUUUGACUGAAAACAUUUUCCAGAACAAGAACUAUUAACUGAAGUGCUGAAAUAACACUGAGAUAGCAUGGACACAGGCUUAUUUAUUGAGCUCUGAGAUAGAAAAGAGGUAAAUGUAGAUUGUGAUGAUGAACUCAGCUGCAAUUUGUAUAAACCUUUCUCAGCAAUACCCAGUAGCAGAAUUUUCCCUUUCAGUAUAUCCUUCACAAAGCAAACAGAACCAAGGAAUUCAACAGAUAAGUCAUUAUCAGUGGUCAGUCUAGAAACACUUAUUAAAUUCUUUGUAAUAGAUGGAACAAGCAGUAUAUCUUUAAGUGCAAUGCAUGUACUUGCAUAUUGUAUUUUAGAGCUUUGAAUUGUAAGAUUGGCAUUACCAACAUGUGUGAUUGACAAACCUUUACCAUCACCAAUGAUAAGCUUGUCAUUACCUCUAAACUCAUUGCUGACAUGCAUAUUUGCCAUACUAUUUGUUAGAUGAUGUGUAGCUCCACUGUCAAGGUACCAUCCUUCAUCUGUUGGUCCUUCAAAGUUAGCAGCAUAAGCAGCUCCAGCUCCACUCACAGGUGAGCUCAUUGAGUCAGAUAUGUAUGAAGAAUAUGGUGUAUUAUACACGUGAGGUAUCCCUGAAUAAUCAGCUGCAGCAGGCCAUGAAUCUUCAGUAGGUGCAUUAAAAUAUGUCAUAUAGGCUGAUCUCUGAUUUCUUCCUCUUUUCAUGUGUUGAGGUAUAUAAUUUUCUUCAAACCUAUGCCAACAUUCUACUGCUGUGUGUCCAGAUUUAAAACAGAUCUGACAAACAACAGUCUGUUCCUCAUUACCAUCAGAAUUCGACAAACCAGAAUUAACACUAUAUUGUCCUCUCAUGAAUUGUGCCUGCUUAUUAUUGUUUCCAAUCAUUUGACCUCUGCCAAGAUUAUUACCAAGAUUUCCAGAUCCAGAGGGAAAGCCUCUUGGAUGAGAAUUGAUAAACAUUCCUCUUCCAGUAUGAAAAUUGUUUCUUCCAAAUUGAUUUCCACCAUGAAAUCCUCCAUUAUAUCCACCUCUUCGAGCACUACCUCUUGUUUGAGCAUAAUAAGCAUUCAUCAUACCAUAGCCAUUAUUAUUAUGAGAAACAUUAGCAAGAUUUGCAUUGAACAUCUGUUUUUCAUUUAGACUCUGUUCUAAUCUUGUUUCAUGCGUGAGCAGCAAUGCAUAGGAAUCAUCAAAAUCUAGCUUACUAGCAGUAAUGAAAGUUGCUAAAUCUAGAUAGCCUGGUCCAAGACCAUUAAGGAUCUGUUGUAACAGAUCUUUGUCAGAAACUGGACUACCAGCACAGGCUAAUUUAUCUGCUAUUUGUUUCAUUUUCAAACAAUAAUCUUCUACAUUUAGUGAAUCUUUUCUCAAAACACUCAUCUCAUAUUUGAGUUGAAGAACUCUAGCUUCAGAUUUUGCACCAAACUUUUUCUCCAAUGUUUUCCACACAUCAUAUGCAGUAUUACAAGAAUGAACAUGACUGAGAAUACCUUCAGUGAUUGAGCUUAAUAGCCAGCUUAGUAAUGUCUGAUCCUGUGACCUCCAGAUUAUAUAUUCUGGAUUUUCAACUUGUUGUGUAACUCUUCCCAUUGUUUCAGCAUAGCUUCCUGAAGUAAGAAAUUGAGUAGGUGCUGCCUUUUCUCCAUUGAUGUAGCCUUCAAGUCUGUUUCCUCUUAUAGAAGCUAAUACUUGAUUUCGCCAGAGCAUAUAAUUGGAUCUAUCCAAUUUGAUUGGCGUAAUGAAUGAGAAGGUAGUUUGUAUUGAUUGAUUCAUGUUUGUUGUGUUUGGAUUUGUGUUUAAAUUGCUUGAGCUUACCAUAUUUCUGGCUCUGAUACCAUGUAAAAAUGAGUUGCAAAUACUGUUUGGUUACUGAGAAACAGAGAGAAAAUUGAUAAAUAUUCUAGAUCUUAUUAUUUCAUUAAUUACAAAUGAGUAAAUCACAAGUCUUUAUACUUGCAUUUCAUUAGUAAAAGCUAUUAACGAAACUGAUCUGUAUUAACUAACUAAUACUAACUAACUAAUCACGCGAACUCUCAUUGCUGCAUAACAGAAUCAGCUGACUCAGCAUUGUUGACGUGGCAUUGCUGACGCACCUUAGCUUCUGACUUCUUCUCUCUUCUCAGCUCAGCACAAUGAGCUUUCUUCACAAACCAGAGUUAUAGGAUGGCUCAAGAUUUCUUCAAUGCACAUAUUACCCCUUUACAGGUAAUUAUAAUUAAUUAAGUUCUCGAUUACCAUUAAUUUUAUUUUAUUUUUUUCCAUUAAUUUCUAGAAAUUAAGAUUUAUUAGAACUCUAAAGUUAAAUUCUGAUUAAAAUUUUAAUUUUUAACGUACACAUUCCUCUUUAUAAUUAUGACCGUACGUAAUUUUAUAGCAGAGGAUAAUUCCUACCCAUUAAUUAAGCUAACCCACACGCCCAUGGAACAAUGAAGAAGUAGCUAAUAAAGUAAAAACACUGUAUUAGAUUCGGAAAACCAAGUUUCAAAUCUUCUUUUCAAAAAUAUUCUUCGUCUUUAUCUUUAUUGCGUGCCUUUGUGCUUUUUUUUUUCUAUUUAUUUAUUUUUCUUGUUUACAGUCUGGAUGUUGUAAGCCUCCGACAGAGUGUGGUUACACAUUUGUAAACCCAACAUAUUGGAUAAGUCCAAUUAACAACGCGGCGGACAUGGAUUGCCUACAGUGGAGCAAUGACCAAAUGCAGCUUUGCUAUAAUUGUGAUUCAUGCAAAGCAGGAUUACUUGCUAAUCUGAAAAAGGAGUGGAGAAGAGUAGAUAUCAUAUUACUCGUUACUCUUGUUGCUUUGAUAUGGGUUUAUCUGAUUGGAUGUUGUGCUUUUAGGAACGCCAAAACUGAAGACCUCUUUCGCAAGUACAAGCAAGGCACUUACACGUAAUUGUUAGCUGCACGUAAACUCUCUUUGAUAGUAAUAUUAAUGUGUAAUUAGGGACUGGCUUGAAUUGUUAUUUUGAUAAUUUUAUGAAUUUUUUGUUUAAGAUCCGUCUUCUUGGUUACUUACAUUUGGUUAAAUUAUGUGUGGGGUUUGAUUUGAUGACGACAUAAUCUUGAGUUGUGCGUGCGUGAUUUGUGGAGGGCGCCGAAAGUAGGUGGCUUUUGAAUAUUUGCUUUUUAAGGAGAAGGGAUUUCGCACUUCCGCUCCCUGCUUGCUCGCAUAGGGCAUUAAUUGUAGCUUUGAAAAAAGUUCUGCUUCAGCAUGCGCAAAAGUCAAAGAAAUGGGACAUGUGCUCAUGCAUUAUGCAGCCAGCAUAUGGGUGAUAGCAGACGUAUUUAAUCUUUUAGUCUUUGUUGACAACUCAGCCUCUCUCUCUCUCUCUCUCUCUCUCUCUCUCUCUCUCGCUGUGUCUCUGCGUCAGGGAUCUGAUUUGUGGGAAGAUAGAUAUCGGUUUAAAAGGUUUUCAUAUGCAUCCUUGGAACUUUGUAAGGUUUACAUGGAAAUUUCUUCCUCUUCCAGUGGCCGUCGAGAACUCUUUGCUGCUGAGAUGCACCUGAAGAACGUCCUUAAACAAGUAAAACACCUUAUAAUUCGAUAUUUAAGACACUUACAGUUGGUUUAAAGAUUGCAUUUUCCGUUUCUGUUUUUGACUGGUUCAGGGUAAAACUUUUUCUCACUGUGUUAGAGUGCAUUUCUGUUAUUAUAUAGUACCUGUCAAAAUUUUCCAUUCCAAUUAGUUACAGAGUGAAUUCUGUAAGGUGUGGCGCCCCCUUGAAGGCCAGGAGAGCCGUGUUUAGGGCUUAUCACCCCUCCAAGGUGUAAUCCCUUGUAUCCCUGUAGCUUAUACCAGAGGUCCGGAGUACUGCAGACUUGUGGAGAUACGGGGCUAUGAGUUUCCAUCUUUCGGACAUCACAACACUUGUUCUGGAGAAAUUAUGGGUUUAUUUCAGAACAGAGGAAGGUUACUUCAUUAAGAGGAAUGAGAGAUUUACAAUACACUAGAUUUAGGCUCCAAGACUCGAUGCCUAGAUACAAACCAAGGGUUCCCUUUUAUAGGCACAAGGGAACCACUAUUACACACUGUAGUCAUUAUUGAUCCUUAUCUCUAAGGAAUCUAUUUUACAACUCACUCCUUACUUUAUGUCACACUCAUACUCUCAUCCUUAUCACAAAGGAUGGUACACAAUACAUACGAAUACAAAUACAUAUAUUAUUAUUAUUAGAGAUACAAAUACAUAUAUUAUUAUUAUUAAAUAUACAAAUACAUAUACGAAUACAAAGGAUGGUACACAAUACACUCUGAUAAUAAUAAUAUAUGUAUUUGUAUUCGUAUGUAUUGUGUAUCAUCCUUUGUGAUAAGGAUGAGAGUGUGAGUGUGACAUAAAGUAAGGAGUGAGUUGUAAAGUAGAUUCCUUAGAGAUAAGGAUCAAUAAUGACUACAGUGUGUAAUAGUGGUUCCCUUGUGCCUAUAAAAGGGAACCCUUGGUUUGUAUCUAGGCAUCGAGUCUUGGAGCUUAAAUCUAGUGUAUUGUAAAUCUCUCAUUCCUCUUAAUGAAGUAACCUUCCUCUGUUCUGAAAUAAACCCAUUUUGGUAUCAGAGCCAUAUUUCCCAAAAGGAAACCCCUGGGUGUGCAACAAUAUUAUGCUCUGUGGUUGCCGAAACACUUCGGAUCCUCCACAUCAGAAAGUUGUUGAAUACUGAUCUACCUGUCAAAAUUUUCCAUUCCAAUUAGUUACAGAGUGAAUUCUGUAAGGUGUGGCGCCCCCUUGAAGGCCAGGAGAGCCGUGUUUAGGGCUUAUCACCCCAAAGAAAACCCUUUGUUUUCUCUUAGCCAUGGAAAACUCAAACAGUAAUAGAUCUGGAAACCAAACAGUUUCUGACCAAGGAUCCACUUCGGCUAUCAGAGUUCUAACUGAUAGUUCACCCUCUAUAAACUUCCAUUACGAAACCCAAGAGGAUGAAAGCAGUGAGAGAGCGGUUCAGUCCUUUAGACUUGAUCCGUUAGAUCCCUAUAGAUACUACCAUAUCAAUUCUACUCUUAAUCAAUUAAGAGCCAUAAUUCCUAUUAGACAACCCAAGCUUAAAACCAUCUAUAAAUCCUCUGAGAUUACUGUCCAGUUCAUCUCCUCCAGUUCUAAAGAAACAUACCUUCCUAUAAUCUCUACCAAUGAGGUUACAAGGUAUAAGCUACAGGGAUACAAGGGAUUACACCUUGGAGCAAUCUAGAUAGGAAUACAACCAUUGUUCCUAGCUGGAAAAGAUAUCACAUGCUUCAUUGCCAUCCUUGACACUAGAUGGCAAACUUUUGAGAAAGCCUUGAUCACUGCUGUCGAAGCAGGACUCAACCAAGGUCAUGUUGUUCUCCAAGUUGAACCCAACUUCACCCUUGACAUACACAAGCCAUUUCUCACAGAUGCCAUUAAGGUAUUAAUUCAGGUCAAUGGUCUAACCAUAAAACCUGAUGAAUCUGCCUUGGCAAUUCACCACACCAUGACCUAUAAAGUCCAAACCCAUCUGUUCUCUAUGAGCAGCUCUGGCAGGCCCAUUACCAGAUUUCUUGCUGGUGAUGGCAGAGUCUUUCAACCUCGGACUUAUAGGCAAAAUCAGCUCAUUUUUCUACCUCAAUGGAUCAAUGAGUAUGAAAAAAACAGCAAGCCUCAACAAAUCCAUGAGGUUCCAAAGAUAAGCCGGUUACAAGAAGGAAGGGUAUCAGUCUCUUUUCCCACUGAGACUAAAGCCCUCUAUCCAUGUGAAAAAUGCCAGCUUGAAGGAAGGCAUCCCUCCUUGUGCACUCAUAUGCCAAGAAGAAUCACCUCCUGCAGAAUCAUGGGUCCAAUUAACAUGAUCACCACUCCGGAUCUUGAUAAUGAAUUCCUCAAGGAUAUUCCUGGAGGAAUGUAUGUUGCCAAAUGGGUAAUACAAAAAACCAACCCAACUGAAUUUGGCCCAAUUGAGAAGGCGAUCAACUGGUCAAACAUCAAUGCUGUUGAACAGAACCAAGCGUUGGGAGACAUCAUGGUUACCCAACAGCAAAUUCUUGCUGACUUAGCUGUUAUCAGAAAACAGCUAAAGAAAACCAGAAAACAGCAUAAGGUGACUACCCAGCAGUUUUCCCAAAUGCAUGACAGUGCCUCCAGAUCUAUCAACAUGAUCGUAAUGACCGGAGCUGCAGAUGAGGACGGAAUGAGAAGAACCAGAGAAAGCUAUCAAAGGACAAAAGUGUCCAGGCACUGGAAGAGCAAGCCCACAAAGCCAUGGCAUGUCUGGGAAGAAAAUGCAUCUGGCAACUGUCAAAAGGCAUUUUGGAGAAGCUAUGCUCCACCUCCACAAUAUCCAUGGCCCACUAAGGCUACAGGAUGGGAUGAGGAUAAAGAUACGGAUACUGAAACAAGUAUCUCCUCUGAUGACCAGAUCCCUCUUAUACCAAUUCUUAUGCAAAGAGCAAAUCCUCCAAAUCCAUUCUAUGUGGAUACUCGAGCUAGAUUUGCAGCAUCCACACCAACACAGGGUCAAACCUCUGAUCCUACAAGACAAGAGCAAACUCAACACCCAUCAGGAACAACCCAGUUCACUGCCCCAGAAUUCGCUAAUCCUGCUGCCCAACCAGAAGCAUCUGGAGUAGAAUCCACAAAUCAAGAAGACAGGGCACCACAUAUUGAUGAGGUAAAUCAGGGAGACGAAUGGGAAACCCGUGUCCAACUUGGGCAUUCUACGACGGGAAAAAUGUUCUGGAACAUCGAUAGAAUGAAGCCAAAAGAAAUAUUGGCUUACUUUGAAAAGAUGGUAGCUUGGUAUGAAGGAGAAUGCCAACGAACUCCCCAGUUGAGCAGAAGAUCGGCAGCAAUGAGACUUGUUGCAGGAUUCGUUGGAUCAUUGAGAAGAUGGUGGGGAAGAAAGCUCAGCAGAGAACAAAAGGAAUUCAUACUCAGCAGAGAAGACCCUUGUGGAAGCUUGGUAGAAAAUCUAUCCUUGGAUUUUCUCGGCCAACACACAAGAGAAGAAGAAGUAGCUGAAAAACAAUUUCUCCAGAACAAGUGUUGUGAUGUCCGAAAGAUGGAAGAGUACUACCUAGAGCAAGAAAGGUUGUACUACAUCUUUGACAAACAAACUGACACCAUCCACAGAACAUUCGUGCUAAACAUGCCAGGCCCAGUAGCGGAAAUGAUGGAGGCUAAAUUCAAAGCUGAUGCAAUUGUUGAUUUAGCACAGCUUAGCCUUGCUCAGCUCUAUCAGAUAUCUAUGGAGCUGAUCCAAAGUCAUUGCAGAUCUCAAGACUUAAGAAGGCACAUGAAGCAGAUUGAGAAAUCCUCUCUGCAAAAAUUCUGUAAUGAGGAACCAAACAAAUUUGGUUGCCACCAUACAGACAAAAUGUGCUCUUGCAAGAACAACAGGCAGAAAAGGCCAAAGAAACCCUGGAAGCCCUACAAAGGAAAGAAAUACCGUUUCAUCAAAAAACGAAAACAAAAGAAAGGCUCGGGGAGAUGUUUCAUUUGCGGAAAGAAAGGUCACUAUGCCAAACAGUGCAAAUCCAAGAAAAGACUUCCAGCAAAACUUCUCCAGAUGAUCCAGCAGGAAGAUUUUGAUGAUGACAUCUAUACCUGGUCAGAUAGCCCUACGGUGUUGUAUACACAAUGGAUAAAUAUCCUCUUUCAGACGACGAUGAUACAGAUUCUCUUUCUAGCACUGACAGUGAUUCUGAUGAUGAUCCUGUCAUGACCAUCCAUGAGCCUCUCCAAGCUAACCUGGCAAUGGCCCCUGCCUCUCUCUUCAGACCACAUAUAAAGGUUAUCCUCAACCCAUCUGAGGAUAAACAGGUAGCACUCACUGCUCUUAUUGACACUGGAGCAAUGUGCUCAUUCAUUCGAGAAGCUUGUGUUCCUUCCACCUUUUAUGUUCCUACUAAGGUCUCGUUUGGCUCCGCUAGUGGAAGUAACUUCUCCAGUAAAAAGAUUACCCGGCCUAUAGAAAUCCAGCCCUUUAUGAUAAGGCAUGGCUUCUUUGCCUUUGAUUAUUCAGGCGAAGAUAUCUUGCCAGGCACCGACUUUUUAAGUCUGAUUGCCCCUUUUGCCUUCUUUCCCGAUGGCUUCUCUUAUACCAUUCGGAAUCCUCACACGGGCACCACUAACACUUUCUGGGUACCCUGGGUUGAAAAACAAUCCAUUUUUGGGGAGGGUGGAAAACUACAAAAUUACACCAUCCAUAAAUAUGAACCCCAAAUUAAAGAACUCCUUGAAUGCUGUGCAGAAGUGCCAAACCAGUUUUGGGCUAGAGAACAACAUUUUGUGUCUCUACCAUACAAGGAUGGAUGGACCAUGCCUCACCAGACGGCCUCUCAUCCAGGCAUUCCUCAUGACGAAGAACUAUGCAAAACAGAGAUCCAGGCUCUUAUGGAUCUAGAGCUCAUCAGGCCCUCUAAGUCUCAUUGGGCUAGCCCAGCAUUUUAUGUCAACAAGCAUUCAGAACAGAUACGUGGAAAAAAGCGAUUGGUAAUUCACUACAGAAAACUGAAUGAUUGCUUGCAGGACAUAAGAUACCCCAUUCCACGGAGGACACACAUUUUAAAACGCAUUGCUGGUGCAAAAGUGUUUUCAAAGUUUGACAUGAAGUCAGGCUUUUGGCAAAUUGGGAUUAAAGAAGAAGACAGACACAAGACAGCAUUUGUGGUCCCCCACGGGCAUUAUGAAUGGAAUGUGAUGCCUUUUGGCCUAAAGAAUACACCGUCAGAAUUCCAAAACAGAAUGGAUGAGGUGUACAAAUCUAUCUCAGGAUUUUGCCUUAUCUACAUUGACGAUGCUCUUAUCUUCAGCAACAGUGAAGAAGAACAUGCUGAACACCUGUCCCAAUUCAAGGCACUAACCUAUAAACAUGGGUUAGCUUUGUCAGAAUCCAAAAUGAAGAUAGGCCUUGAUGAGGUGGACUUUCUAGGAUUACACAUCAAGCAGAGAUUCAUCAUUCCUCAGCCACAUAUAGCUGAAAAAAUAUCCCAAUUCCCAGACCAGCUGUCAACCAGAAAGCAGAUCCACCAGUUCCUCGGGAUAAUCAACUAUGCAGCAGACCAUGUGCAGGAUCUGUCAAAGAUGACGAGAGUCAGAUAUCAAAGCACUUAAAGAAGAGUGCCCCACAAUGGUCGGAAGACGCAACAAAAGCAGUGACAGACUUAAAGCAAAAGUGCCAGUCACUUCCACCAUUAAAGAUACCUGACAAGGGACAGCUCAUCCUCCAGACAGAUGCAAGUGACCAUUAUUGGGGAGCACUGUUGAUAGAGGAAUCCGAGGGAAACAGAAAAGUGUGUGGCUAUAAAUCAGGCCAGUUCAACGAUGCUCAAAGCCACUACCCCUCCUCCAAAAAAGAAGUCUUAGCAGUUGUCAAAGGGAUCAAAAACUUUCAAUUCUUUCUUUCACUAACUCCCUUUGUGAUUGAAACAGACUACAAAUACCUACAGGGAUUACUCAGGAGAAAAGAAGGAGAAAUACCAGAUCCACAGCUUGCAAGGUGGUCUGAGUCUCUCUCGAGAUUCAAGUUUGAAGUAAAGCACAUCAAAGGAGAAUCCAACACUGUUGCGGAUUUCCUUUCCAGACCGAUCACCAUGAUCAAAAGAAGAAGCCUUCCAAAAAGAUGGGACGAAGGCAGUUCUAGUGCUCACGCAGCCCGAGCACACUUUCUCAAAGAUCUUAACAUCUUCAUUGCUUGGCUUCCUUCGGAAGUUCAAGAUGACAUCUUUGAGAAAGUCAUCUGCCACAAAAGAGAUCCAGAAGAUCAAGCUCUGACAUGGCGGGUAUGGCAGCUCAUGGCCAUGCAGGAACACAGACCUGCCCAUAACAAACAAUGUCAAAGAGCUUUUGAUCCACAUCCAAAUCCUGACCAGAUGCAUGAAACGGUCUUCAAGGUCGGUUGCACCUUCCACUAUGUAAUAGACGAGAACUCCAACUGGGGUCACUAUGUUAUCUGCGAUAUAACCCCUCAAGCCUAUUACAUAACUUGGUACUGGCCCAACAUUUACCCAGUGGCAAUCCUGUUUGAACCACAUCUGAUCCAUACCAGCAGGAGAUAUGGGAAGGGAAGAUGGUUCGACCGAAUGUUCGCUCCUAUCUUCGAAGACAUCCUAACACUCCGGCUAAUCAACGGAUAUCACAUCACUCACUCUACUAUAGUGAUUGUGAAACUCACAGAUAUCUGGGGAAGAUACAAGCAGCCUCUUGUGCAGGUGGUCCAGCAUGACCUCAACCAUGAAGAAAUUGAUUCCAUGUGGACAGGCUGUUGGAAUGCUAGAAAAGCUUUAGCUGAGGUAUACGGAACUAUUCCAAUGUAUAAUACUCAUAGCCCCGUAUCUUCACAAGUCUGCAGUACUCCGGACCUCUACUACAGAGAGGAGAUCAGGAAUCUCAAGCUUCAUGGAGAAGAAGAUGAAGCAGCAGACUUGCAGCAGUGGUAUAAUGAUUACCUCACUCGCCAUGGCAGGCCAAAAGAAGUCACUUAUCUGGACACUCCAGAUAUUGAAAGAUGGAGGAACGAGCUUGAAGAAAUGGCCCAUUGGCUAGACCUCCAAGAUUGGCCCCAACCUGAGUUAGACCCCCAGCCGGAUAACAUUGAAGAUCCCAUAUGGCCAAAUAUGGGAGAAGAUAUGGAUGCAGCAUCCGAAGAACGAUGGAACCACAGGUCAGGACGUAGCACACCAACAAGUGGCAACUCUGGACUAUAGCGGAAGCUUAGUGGACCCUACAGUGGAAGCAAUGGUGAUAAUAAUAUAUGUAUUUGCAUUCGUAUGUAUUGUGUACCAUCCUUUGUGAUAAGGAUGAGAGUGUGAGUGUGACAUAAAGUAAGGAGUGAGUUGUAAAGUAGAUUCCUUAGAGAUAAGGAUCAAUAAUGACUACAGUGUGUAAUAGUGGUUCCCUUGUGCCUAUAAAAGGGAACCCUUGGUUUGUAUCUAGGCAUCGAGUCUUGGAGCCUAAAUCUAGUGUAUUGUAAAUCUCUCAUUCCUCUUAAUGAAGUAACCUUCCUCUGUUCUGAAAUAAACCCAUUUCAUGGUUAGACCAUUGACCUGAAUUAAUACCUUAAUGGCAUCUGUGAGAGAUGGCUUGUGUAUGUCAAGGGUGAAGUUGGGUUCAACUUGGAGAACAACAUGACCUUGGUUGAGUCCUGCUUCGACAGCAAUGAGAAGAAAAUGCACUUUUUGGAAUCUCAGGCUGAAGGAUUUUUGGUGCUUUAACUAAUCUCAUUUGACAAUGUAAAUAUAUGGCUUCAAUUUCUUUAAAUGUAAUAGCAAGUGUUGUUUUCGACCUCUGUUCUUUUAUGCAUUGCUUACAUGCCGUGAUUUCAUUAACCUAAAUUUAAGAACUGUUUGAGGGAAAUACAUCGAGGAGACCAGACGUGAUGAGCAGGUGUUUGGUGGUGGAGUUCUGCGAGCAGGAAUAUUCUCCUCGUCCACGAAUAUGCCAUUCGCGAGACCGAAUUCAUGUUAGAGGCAUAAGGUCAUUCCUGCUAAGGGUCGAGGCGAGGAGACCCGGUCAACGGCAGUUGGCAAGACGUGCCUUCCUAUCCGAGAAUCAAGGCACGAGGUCCAUCUCCAUUUGCCCACAAUGACGACAAUGGGGCAUCCACAUCCGAGGGUGGGGAGAAUAACGGGCGUAAACUGCGGAAGAUCGGGACUCAGAGGAAGCCUAUAAAAAGGUAGCCAACAAAGGUAAAAGGGUUAGAUUUUUUGCUAUUUGAACUAAGAAAAUAGAGAACUCGAAGGUCUGAGAUUAGUGAAAAGCCAUAAGAUCCGUGGCAAGCAUUCCCAGAACCUUCAUAUCUGACUUGAGCGUCGGAGGGUUUACGCCGGGAAAACAACCGGCGUGCUCUGACCUGUUUCUGUGGACGCAAGGAUACUUAGAGAAGAAAGCGUACGAGGAGAGAUCCUGAUCGAGGUGAGGUUGAUCGAGCAGACAUCCUGGUCGUUGGAAGGUGUAACCAGAAUCUCGCAUCAACAAGAACAAUUUCAUAUAAUUUUUUUUCUGCUUUUCUUUUAUCAUUUAAAAACAAUACUACGCACACACACACGCAUAUAUUUCAGAAAGCAUUUAAACAAAGCAACCGAACGUUGCUGGUUUCUAUUAUUACAUCGACAACAAUAAAGCAAAGAAGCAACUGAAAGUUAUCUUCAUAUGAGAAUGAAAGCUUUUCAGCAGCAUAAACCUUUCACUAUUCAAUUCCAAACAUGUUCCUCAACAUGAUAACAAAUUCGUAGACCUUUUCUAGGUCUAGAAGGAUCCUGGCAACAGUAUCUCUUUGCAUGCACUUGUUCAUCCAUGCUGAGAAUUUGGGGCACUCAUUCUCAAGCUUAAAUCCCCCAAAUUUCUCAACCGCGUAAAACCAACAAGUCAGUGGAAUGGAAAUGACAUCAACGAAUCCAAAGCUAUCCCCGCCAAAGAAAUCCUUCUCCCCUAAAGCGCCCUCAAGUUGCUUCAAAAUCUCUAUAAAUUCAUUCUUCGCGGUCUCUGGGACCUCGCCCUUGCUUUUCCAUAUGUUGCAUACUGCAUCGAAUACCUGCCAAAAAAGUGGUGUCAUCUUUUAAGUUCACAUUUAGAAAGAUACAAACAUUUACACUUGAGAAUUAUAGACUGACCUUCUUGUCAAUAAAAUCUUGCCUUAGCUCUCUCAUAAGCACAGGAUGGGAGAAGUGGUGGCGAAGGCCAAGUCUCGUCAAUGUAGUUAACUAUAAUAGUGGAUUCACACAAUGGUUUCCCAUCGUGCAGCAAAACUGGGACUUUCUUGUAGAUGGGUUUGAUUUGAGCAACAGGUCACUCUUGCCCCCAAACAAGUUCUCAGCUCUGGCUUCAUAUUCAACUCCUUUCUCAGCCAAUGCAAUCUUUGCUCUCAAGCAAAAUGGGCUAGCCCAACAAUCCAAAAGAACAACCUCUCCCUUCGACAUAUUCACUUUCUUUGUUCUUGUUUCUUUUACUUGGUUGAUAGUAAUUAAACCUUGAGUAUCAAGGUUGGCAUUUAUAAAGGAUAAAAGAUGAAAUUCCCAAAGUUUGUGUCGCAAUCAACGUUUGUUCGUUGGCACUUCCUUAAAGGAUGUGGCAUUAUUCUUAUCAUUUCUUAGUUUUUGAAGCUAACUGUUUUACUUGGCUUUCAACAUGCACAAGAACAAGUUUGUCUUGUGCAUACGGAGUUUACUAUGGACAAGCCGAAUUGUAAGUAACCAUUUACACUAAUCAAUCGGUAUUGUCCAAUGAAAAUAAGUAAUGUAAACUUAUCAAAAAAAAAAGUAAUGUAAAAAGUGUCUAGGAUUUUGCCUAAUAUUUCUUAAAAUAGGCUAAUUAAGCCCAAUUCUGGUGCUAGAUUGGUUCAACUUUGAAUCAAACUUGGAAACAUUUUGCUUUAGAUUAUUAUUAUUAAUUUAGAAGAGUCAAAAAGCUAAGAGUAUCGUUGGUAAAGCUCAAACAUGUGUAAUAUCACAUAUUACUUCUUUUUUUUUUUUAUACAAGUAAUAUCACAUAUUACUAGUGAGUGAGUUUCAUAAACUUUCCUAUUGAAAAAGACACAUUUUGGGUUGUAAAUCCUAACACAAUAUUUAUUCAGUUGUUGAGCCUGAAAUAUUACAGAUAUAUCAAAUAUUAUUUGAUGUGGGCGCACAACCCUGCGUCUUCUUAAUUAGGACAACCAAUGAAACCCUGCGUCUUCUUACAUAACUUGUAUGUACACAUUGGCGGGAUAUCCCAAUUAUGUACUCGUUUGUCUUCAUGUGUUUUAAAAAAAUCUAUUGUAAUGGAUAUAUUGUAAAUUUAUCUAAUUGCUUGUUAUAAUGCUUCUAUUGCGGUGUUAUUCGAGCUGUCAUUUUCAGUUUUAUUUUGUUUUUUCUUUAAACAUAGUUAAUUUGAAAUCCAUUACACUUGAAUCAUCAAAUAAGUGAUUCUCGAACAUAAUUGCUGUUGUUACUCGAAUAAGAAAAGAAAACAAAGUAUAGCUAAGAUAAAAGCAAAUGGAAAUGAGAGCAACGUGAUUUUGCAAAGAGAACUUCACACUAUCAUAAAACCAAAAACAUUAAAAUUUAAAACUUAAAUAACAACACACCAAAGCCAAAUAACGACCCACUAGAAUCAUGGUCCAAAGAUUGUACCAUGAUCACAACAUGAACUACAAAAAAAUAACCAACACCUGAAAAGUAGGAACAGUUUGAAACUUUCAACUAAAGUGGGAAAGACCAGGAUGGCACUGCAUGCCCAGCCCACCAACAUUAAAUGCUUUUUUCCCUUAUAAUUUAUCAGUCACAUAAUUUAGAGUGAAGACUUUAAUGCUGUGUUUACUUGCUGGAGUGGGAGUGAGGAGUGUGGAUUCCUCCCACUCCAGCGUUUACUUUCUCUGAAUGGGAAGGGAGUGGGAAUUCCACUCCGUGGGCCCCACCCAUUUUUGGAGUGGGGAGUGGGAGUGGGACUCCCAUAUUCCCACUCCCACCUCUCCCUUUUUUACCCUUUUAUUUUUUUAAUUUAAUUUAAUUUAAUAUUUUAUAAUUAAUAAAAUAAAAUAAAUAUUAUUAUAUUUAUUUGAAUAAUAAUAUUAUAUUUAACUAAAUAAUAAUUUGCAUUGAUUCUAAGUUAAAAUUAUUUUAAAAUAAUAUUAUUAUAUUAAUAGAGAAUUAAUAAAUAUAAUAUUAUUAUAUUUAUUUUAAAAAUAAUAGUACUAUAUUUAUUUAAUAUUAAUAAAUAGUUUAUUCUAAGAAAAUAUUAAUUUUGUACUAAAUAAUAUUAUAUUAUUAUUUUAUAUAAUAAUAAAUUUAAUAUAAUUAUAUUAAAUAAAAUAAGGUUUCAUUUUGUAUUAAAAUUAAUAAUUUAUUGUUGAUAAUUAAGAAUAUUAAUAAUUAUAAUAAAUUUACAAAUAUAAUAAAAUAAAUAUUAUUCAUUAAAUAUAUUUUUUAUUAGUUUUGUAAUUAAAAAUUAUAAUUCUUUAAAUAAGAAUAAAAUUGUAAUUUGAAACUAUUUACUCCCAAUCCAAGACAAAGUAAACACAUAAAUUGGAUUUUGAUCUCUAUUCCAUGCUUCCAUUCCAGUGUAAGUAAACAACCUACUCUCACUCCCACUCCACACUCUCAAUCCUAGGAUUUCCACUCCUCAGGAUUCCCAAUCCAAUCCAAAAAGUAAACGCUACCUAAAAGCAAAUAAAUGAAUUGGCUGAAUCUAGCUAGGAUGCCAGGAUGGGCACGGAUCCACAGAUAACAAGUAACAGUCUUUAAAUCUUCUGUUGUAAGUUCUUACGCCCCUUUUUUUUUAUACGACGAACCCCCGAUUCUACCCUCCAAAAUCAACAAUAGAGAAUUUAGUCUUAGCCUCUCAAGAUGCACUCAAACCUAAGGAUGGCAAUGGAUCAGAUCUGACCCAAGAUCCAUGUGAUCCAAAUCCAAUUGGAUCGAAUUUGGGUCGGAUUAAAAUAGAUUUGGAUCGGAUUUGGAUAUCGAUGCGUGGAUCUAAGGCGGAUCUGGAGCAAAUUCAGAUUUAUCUUAAUAUCUAUAUCCAAAUCCAUAUCCACUCACCAUUUAAUGUAAUUUUAUUUUAAAAAAUUCUUAACAAUUAUGUAAUUAUAAAUGAUGAUAAAAUUUAUUCAUUAGCAUGUAUUUAAGAAUCUUAAAACUUAAAGGUACUUAAUUGAUAAUAAGAUAAAAAUUUAUCAAGUGUAAAAUAAAAUUAGGAUAGUCUGCCCUAAUUUUUUUAAGUUUUUCACUCUACAAUUUAGUCUCUUUUUUCCUCUUUAGUCUACUCUCGCUUCUCCACUUCAUUUGAAUGCUUGGAUCAGUUCUUUAAUUGUUAGGAAAAUCCAUAGACUUGAGUUUAUUUUUCUAUCAUUUUCUCAUAAUCUUAUUUAUUUUGUAUAAUCACUAAUCAAUGGUGGCUAUCAACUAUAAAAUAAUUAUGUUAAUCAUAUAUUUAGUUAAAUAUGAUCAUAAUAAAAAUAAUAAAGCACUGAAUAUAAUAAAUCAUUUUUAACUUAUAUGUUAUUAUUUAAUGAUAUAGGAAUGAUGAUGGUGUGCAGUGGAUAUCAAGAUAGUAAAUGAGACAUUAGAAUAUUAUAAUGAUCUUAUUCAUGCAAUUACUUUUUAUCGAUAUUUUAUUAUCUUUUUUAUUUGUUUAUUUUGGUGUAAAAGCAGAAGCUACAAUACUUAUUAGAUUUUUUGUACAAAUUAUAUAAUUUAAUUGUUACCAAUGCAUUUUAGUCUUAAAUUUUUUUUCUAAAAAAAAUUGAUCUCUUAUUAUUGAGAUUUAGAAUUCAUGAUGGAUCUAGAGCAUAUUUAGAUUGUAAUUUUUCAAUUUGGAUUUGGAGCAGAUAUAGAUCUUUAUUUUUGUUUCGAAUCUAGAUAUGGAGCGAAAAUAUAGAUCCAUAACGGAUCUGGAGCAGAUACAGAUCUUAAUUUUUAUUACGGAUCUGGAUAUGGAGCAAUGUAGAUCCAAUCCAUAUCUGCUCCAUUGCCAUCCCUACUCAAACCUUGAGUAUGGUUUUUACUUACGUAUUAUCGAUUAUGAUUUUAACUAAUCUCUCUUGUCAACGAACUUUUGGUUGAUUAUGGACGCCUUUUUUUUUUUAAUCUAAACAAUAUAAGAUUUCGUACAAAUUGAAUUUGUAUAGACCUCAUCAUUUGGAACUUGUGUUGUAUCCAAAAAUAUCACCCAACCCAAAGAAAAUAAGUUCAAUUCUAUAACUCAUUCAUUUUUCUUAUAGCCCAAUGGAUUGAGAGAAUAGGCGUCAGAGGAAACUUUAUUUCAAUAUAUAAAUAUAGGCUUGCAUACAAUGCAAAAUCAUAUAUUCGAACCAAUAGGCGAAGCAUUGUCCCUCGUUGAUCCACAUGAGCCAACUAGUCAAAGUGGAUCCACAUGAGCCACUUUACAGACUGGGCAUGCAUUGCAACUGUUCAUUUUUGCUUCUGCCAAUAAAGAGUUGAUAGUAACCAAAGAUUGUAUUCUUUAUUGUCAUUUGAGAGUAACCAAUUACUUAGGCAGUCACGUAAGUUGCUGGUUGGCCUCGCACAUUUUUGACCAGCUUGUUUCUGAAGGAAACCAGCUGAGCUGCAACCUCUUCCAUGCUCAUUCGUUCUCUCGGCAACUCUGAAGAGCAAGUGACUCCGAUUGCCAGUACUGAAACCAAGCACUCUUUAACACUAAAACUUCUGGUCCAUUGUUUGUGAGCAUUGGCCUUGCUUGUCUCCCCUUCUUCUCUUUCUACAAGAAGCACUGGAUCAACAAUUUCAGCGAGUCUUUCAGGAAGAGCUUCCUUGACAAAAUUAUGUAGGGUUAGAUUGCCUGUAAACAUCUCAUUCGUCGGCCCCUUUCCUGUAAACAUUUCCAGCAAGAGUAUUCCAAAACUGUACACAUCUCCACUUGUUGAGACUUCGCUCCCCAUUCCGUACUCUGCAAUUCGAAAACUAAAAUUGUUGGUUCAACUAGUAAAAUCUCUAAGGAUUGAAAGACAAGUUAAUUAAAUUAUUGUAUUUACCUGGUGCAGCAUAACCAACGGUUCCUUUUACUCCAACAGAGCUUGAUUGAUUAGAUGACAAGUUAUUGGUGGCUUCCGGAAGGAAUUUUGCUAAUCCAAAAUCACCUACAUGGGCAGUCAAUUCACCAUCCAGAAGAACAUUGCUUGGCUUGAGAUCACAAUGGACUAUUGGAGUUUCGCAAUAAUGAUGAAGAUAAUCCAAUGCGGAAGCAACAUCAACGGCAAUAUUCAGUCUUUGCAGGAGAUUUAAGUUCCUUGGUGCCUCAGCGUUCGGAUGCAACCAUUCCUCCAGGCUCCCGUUGACCAUGAACUCAUAAACUAAAGCCUCGAAAUCAUUUCCUUGGAAGUCAACACUUGCACAGGAAGUUAUUAUUUUGACAAGAUUCCGAUGCCUAAUACUCCUCAAGGCUUGACACUCCGCUAUGAAACUCUUUGAAGCUCCACGAUGCUGAAGAUUAAGUACCUUAACUGCCACCAGCGUUUCAUGAUCAUCGUGACUGAGGAUUCCUUUAUAGACCGAACCAAAGCUACCGGCACCAAUCAAGUUUUCCAAAGAGAACCCAUCAGUUGCUUUGAACAGAUUCUCAUAGGACACUCGUAAAACCGAAGCCAAGAAUGCUGAUGGAGUGGCCGGCUCCCUUUUUGAUUUGCUCCGCCAGGAAGUAAUUAUAAAACACGACAUCCCUGUCACUAACAAAAUUACUGUAACUACAGGAAUCAUCAGUUUCAGGGAACGGGAACGUGACUGCUUGGAUUCUUUGAUGGAACAAGUAGAUAAAUGCAACUCAGAUAUGCCACCACAGAGGUUAUCAUUUCCAUCAAGAGAUAUAGCACUUGAAUUGCUGAAGACUCCUUUUACUGGUACUUCACCCUCAAAAUGAUUAAAAGACAGAUUUAAAUUCUGCAAAAAGGGAAAGUUUUCCAAAUAUUUUGGAAUCCGGCCGGACAAAUUGUUCCGCGAAAGAUCAAGAUUCUCAAUGCCUCUCAAAGAACUGAAUGACGAAGGUAUAUUCCCUUGAAAGAAAUUACCAUUCAUGAUGAGUUGCACCAACAAAAUGCAACUUCCUAAACUACUUGGAAUUUCACCAGACAAUUUGUUCUCAGAUAUAUCUAUAAAACCCAGAUUUUUCAAGAUACCAAAAUUUGAGGGCAUAGGACCAUUCAACUGGUUUUGAGAUAGAUCAAGAUAGAUUGACAAGGAAGAGAGGCCAAUUACUUCAGUGGGUAUGGUACCACUGAGGUUGUUAUUAGAAAGAUUUAAUGAUAUUAAGUUUUGGCAUUUCCCCAGACUUGAUGGAAUGCUUCCCUCUAACAUGUUUUCCUCAAAAUUUAGUGUAGUUAACAAUGUCAAAUUUCCUAUAGAAGAUGGAAUUUCCCCCCAAAACUUGUUCCCCUUCAGGCCCAACCUCUGCAGCUUUUGAAGAUCUCCUAUACUUUCCGGAAUUCGGCCUGUGAAUUUGUUGCCCCCCAGAUGUAAAAGCUCCAAGUUAACAAGAUUUCUUAAUCCACUUGGGAUAUUUCCGAACAACUGAUUGUUUCCAACUGAUAAUAUUGCAAGUCGGUUUGACAAGUUCCCUACUGUUUCAGGUAACAUUCCACCAAAAUUGUUAUCACUAAUUUGCAGUAGCUCUAGUCUAGAAGCGUUAACCAAAGAAUUGACAAAUUCCAAGUUAUCUUUUUCCCCAUAAUUUCCUAAGUGAUUCUGAGAAAUACUAACCCAUUGGAGUUUAUGUAAAUUUUCCAAACUAGGCACCCUUCCACUGAAUCCAUUCUUUGCGAUUGUAAGUCUCAUUAGAUUUGAGGCAUUGGAUAUUGAAGCCGGAAUAGGUCCGGUAAACUGAUUACCACCAACGUUUAGUACUUCAAGUUUAGGAAGAGUGAAGCCUAAGUCUGAUGGAAGGCUUCCUUGAAGUUGGUUAAAAGGAAAAUAAAAACCACUAAGCCAAGACAAGUUGUAGAUUGAAAAGGGGAUUUCACCUGAUAGCUUAUUUGCUCCAAACGAUAUAUAACGCAUCAUCUUAAGCUCGCUCAGGGUUUCAGGAAUUUGUCCCACAAAUUGAUUUGCAGCUGCUGAGAGGACCUGGAGUGAUGACAAAUUGCCGAAGGAAGGUGGGAUUUCUCCUGACAAAUUGUUGGAGUGUAUUACGAGAAUCCGGAGCUUUGGUAAGGAGCCCAGUUUCCCUGGAACUUUCCCCACUAGCUCAUUGAAGUCUAACCAGAGGGAUUCAAGGUUAACGCAAUGCGAUAUGUUGUCAGGAAUUUGACCUCCGAAUGUAUUGUUGUCCAGCCUUAAAAUUCGUAACCUGAACAGAUAUCCAAUCGCUUGAGGGAUUUCGUUGCGGAGGCUAUUGUUUUUUAGAUCUAACACUCUGAGAAAACUCAAAUUACCAAUGUGAGGCGAAAGAGACCCCUGCAAGAGUAAAGAUGGAAGACGUAAUCCAGUCACCCUUUGGUGCCGUCGACUGCAAGUGACACCUUUCCAUUGACAAAAGUGCCUGGAAUAGUUCCAUGAACUCAAAACCUCAAGAGGGUCAUGAGUAACUUUGGCCUUGAAUUCAAGCAAUGCAAGUUGAUCAGUUUCAUUGCUUUUGAGCAUAUAAUCGGUUGACUGCAAGCUGAAGCUGACGCAACAGAAAAUAAAGAAACAAAUGCUUACAAUGAUUGAACUCAUCAUGUUUACAAAAUCCAUUUAACUGCCGAAAGGAAAUUAAAAUGAUAAAACUUUUAUAGAGGUUGGUAAGAUAAACUAUGUUUGUAUAUUUUUUGCAAUGAUUUAUGGACUCUGUACUUGAUGCUCAAAUGUGAACCGGCUGGCACCGUGACAGUGAAACUAAUGCUUUUUAUUUUUCUAAUAAUAUUAAUUAUCAAAUUUAUUACUAUUGUAAGAAUAAUAUAAUACAGCUUUUCCUUUAAGGAAGACCCGCCACACUAACUUUUGACGCUCUAUCAGUUUCCAGUAUUUUGUCAUUUUGUAUUGUAGUGCUUAAUCCACAAUGAAUAUAAAACAAUUUAAUCAACAUUAUUAGAAAAAGAAAAAAAGUAGGAGAAGAAAGUUAAGUAUGAUGGAUGGAGGGUCAGAUUACUGUUAAAUGACUUAAAGGUUUAAAGCACCACAGGAAUCAACGUUUCACAACGCUUUUUUCCCUUUCUGAAAUAUUCGGUGCAUUAGUUGACUAGAAUUAUAAUAUAUCAAACAACUACAAGAAAUAUUUUAAUUUAUCAUUUUACUAUUAUAUAUUUACAUAACUUAUCAUUUUACUAUAUUUCCGUAGUACCAUUAGUUGACUAGAAAAAUGUUAAUUUUACUUUUGAAAAAAAACACAAAUGGAUAUAUUAAAUAUUUUUAGCUACUUUUUAUUUUGAAUUUAUAAUGUUGUAAUACUUUGUGUUAUUAUUACUUUUUAUUUUGCAAAAACAAAUUAUAUAAAGAGAAAAAUUAAUAUUUUAUCAAUUAACUAAUUGAUCUAUAUUAAUUGAAAUAUAAUAAAUUAAUAUUUUAUCAAUUAACUAAUUGAUCUAUAUUAAUUGAAAUAUAAUAAAAUAAUAUUUUAUUUUUAAAUAUAAUAAAAUAAUUUUCCCAUGAAAGAAAAUGAUGAGUUGUUUCAACGUAAUGCAGCUGCCUAGACUACAUGGAAUUUCACCAGGCAAUGACAAUUUAUUCUCAGAUAAAUCUAACGCCACAACAUUUAUCUAGUCACCCAAAUUUGCAGGCGUUCGUUUUGAGACUUGUCAAAACUUUUUCCAAAAAUUCGGGAUUCAGGUCAUAUCAGGCCGGUUAUGUUUUGAAAAACUUGUAAAUUAUCAGUGAUCAAACUUCAAAACUUUGCAAAUAGGUCAAAAUACGGAAAAAAACUUGAUAUAUUAUUGAAUACUCAUUUUGUUUUGCAUUAAUAUAACGCUAUGGGUGAUAUCUAGUUCUGUUGGUAAAAUUUCUUGGGUUGAAAACAAGAAAACUAGCAUUUCAAACUCACUCAUAUGGAUGGGAAAGAAAUUUAGUUAUUAUUGGAUUAAAAAAUAAUAAUGAGAAUUAGAAAAAAAUUAUAAGGCUUCAACGAGAUUUGCUAAUCAUGUAUAGAUUAAUAUGGAGAUUAAGAACAUCACCUAAGCUAAUUAUUGAACUUGAAAGUUUAGGAGAAAAAAUUAUAUGGGUUUGGCCAUCAAUUUAGCAUUCGGAACUUAUUGUUUAGGAAGCUACGGCGGGUUUCGUAGUGGGACUUAUCCUCUUUAAUGCAUAUGGUGAUUUUAAACCAACAUAUAUAUAAUCCUAUUAUAAAACUCAUCAAACCUUCUAAAAUAACAUGUUGAGAUAGUGUGCUAGAUCCAUAUAAAUAUUUCUCCAACUUCUUAGCUUGAAGCGAUAUUCAUUUCCAUUGAUAGUUUAAUGGGCAAAGCCUUUUGAAUUCUCCAUGUUAUCAAGUUAACUUUUGCUGGAAAAUGCAAUGCGGAUAUGAAUAGAAUUUUUUGUGCAAACAAUUUUUCUAUGUUGACACAUCCUCUGGAACUUUCAGUAAAUUUUAUGGAGAAGCUUCAAUUUCUUGGUUGUUGAUUUCGAAUACAUUAAGCUCUUAUUUGGUAUUAAAGUAUUGUGGGCUAAAAGCUAUAGUUUUUAUGGAAAGAAAUUUGUAAUUGCGAAAUAAAAGUUGAUUCAGUGUGAUAAAUAUAAUUUCAGAAUAAAAAAUAAAGUAAACUUCGAAAUUAUAAUAGUAAGUAUUUAUUAAAUACUUUAGUGUUGCAGUAACUGUUUACUACAAUAUCAAAUAGGGGGCUAGUACAACAAGUUGUUAUAUUAAAAGUCUCCCAAAAAGGAAGAAGUGACUUAAAAAAUUAAAAGAAUGCAGGAGCUGAAGUUGGCAAUUUUGUAAAUUGCAAUGGCGAUUGUGAUAUAGUAAAAUCCUUCAAUGAAUCACAGCACUAGCGAUUUCGUAAUAUACAGUAGCGGCAAUUUUGUAAAAUUGAAGUAGUGAUAGUUUUGCAAAUAAAAGUAAAAACUUUUUCCCAAAAUUUGGCUGAGCAAAAAGCCAGCUUAGCCCACACUCUCCUUCGCCACUGGUUGAUGAGCUCUUCCUUCAAUUUUUGAACUUGAAGUGAUGCCCCAUCAACGUCCAGAAUUUUUAAAGUCUCCCCACUGUACAAGUUAAACAAUAAAGUCAGAAUGAUGACGGAGUUACAAACAAUCAAAUAUGAUCCUAAUGAUUCUUUUUAUACACUCACCCGUGCAUUGAUGUGUUUAAUUGAUAUAUAUUUAAGCAGAAAUUGAAGUUUGAACCUGAUUAAUUAGAUGCGAACACACAUUCAUGAGUAAUUACUUAAAAUUAAUUAACCAAAAGAGUAAAUAUAGGAGGAAAUCGAUCAUAUGCGUGCGGACACCACAAUCGAAUUAUAUAUUUAUAUCACCACAGCACAUAAAUUUUAUUCGAAUGAUAUAUGAUUAAUUAAUCAAUUUUUAAUAACAAUUAAAUUAUAAUGUCAAUUGUGCACAUAAGAUUUUUUUUCUUGAUGAAAUUAUGAAAGUUAGUAAUUAUUUUCCAUUUUUUAAAUAAUAGUUGUUAAUACAAAUCAAAAAAAUAUUGGGACUUGAGAUCAGGGUCUACUUGAGUUAGAAUUUUUUAUUAGAGAAGCUAUUAGCCAGCAAUACAAAAUAAAGAAGCAACACAAGAUAAAGAGUAAUAUAUUAUAGAAAGAUUUUAUUCGUUUCAAGUGUGUAUCAAACAAAGAGAUAUUUAUAGUUACAUAAUUACUACAUGAAAUUAAUGAAAACAUUAUGGAUCAUACUUCCUUGCGAGAUAGUGAAAGUUAUAGAGAAGGCAAAGGUUGCUAGUGGAAGAUAGUAGAGAGAUUAAGAGAUGUAUGUUAUAAACAUCCAGAUUUAUUUUAAUAAAUUCAUAGCAUUUUUUCCCCUCAAAUAAUAGGGUGUAGAGAACAAUUGGAAGGAGUUUACGCAGCCUAUAAAUUAAUACUCUGACGAAUUAAUAUCCUCUAUUAUAUAAUGACUUUUUUUAAGCACACUAAUAGGCUAAAAUGACAGUUCCAAUAAAUAAAUAAAAUAAUAUAUUUUUUUUGAAAACCCUUACAUAAUAUUGUGGUCCUACUCAUAUCAUAAAUUAAUAAUUUUUAAAUUAUAUAUAAUUAUUACACAUAAAUUAUAUAUUUUUUAAUAAAUUCAUAAUAUUUUUUCUCAAAUAAUAGGGUGUAGAGAACAAUUAGAAGGAGUUUACAAGACUCGCCUAUAAAUUAAUACUCUGGCGAAUUAAAAUCCUCUAUUAUAUAAUAAUUUUUUUUAAGGUUGCUAGUAGGCUAAAAUGAUAGUUCCAAUAAAUAAAUAAGAUUAUAUUUUUUUUUAAUGAAAACCCUUACAUUACAUUAUGGUCCUACUCAUAUAAUAAAUUAAUAAUUUUUAAAAUUACAUAUAUAAUAUUUUAUUUUAAAAAUAUGAUUUUAUUUUUUAUUAUUUUUUCUUGAAAUUUAAAUAUAGUUAGAUUUCAUCUCUAAUUUUUCUUAUUACUUUUGAGGUUAAAUUUUGAAAUUGCAAAAAUUUUGAAUUUUUUUGGUUAAUUAAAUCUGCAGUGAGUGUAUAAGAUGAUUAGAUUAGUAAAAUAUAAUAAAUUUUUAGUUGAUUAAAUAUAUGUUCAUUUAAUAUGUCUUGUGUAUACAGAGUUUACUAAGGACAAGCCGAAUAGUAAGUGAGCAUUUACACUAAUCAAUCGUGUUGAGUUGUGUCUCAUAUUGGCUAGUAAAGGGGAGAUACUUGGGUUUAUAAGAAGGUAUGUCACUCCACCUAAAAGACUAGUAUUUUGGGUUGGAUACCUAGAAAUCUUAUGUUAAGUCCCCUCAACAAAUCGGUAUUGUGCAAUGAAAAUAAGUAAUCUAAAAAUUGCCUAGGAUUUUGCCUUAUAUGUCUCAAAAUAAGCUAAUUAUGCCCAAUUAUGGCACUUGAUGGUUCAACUUUGACAUCAAAGUUGGAAACGUUUUUCUCUAGGGUGAGGCUAUUUGCACUUGAAUAUCUACUUUGAACACUCAUUUACUCAGCGCACUCAAUUAAUAAUUUCAAACUAUUAAAUUUUACUUGGAACACUCUUUUGAAUUCCUAUAUUAUCCACAUUUCUUUAAUUACUUUAUUUCUUCUUUGUACCCAAUAAAAUAUUCAUCAUCACAAACAAAAUAUCUAACUUUUUUUUUCCAUUUUUAUUCACUUUUAUUUUCUGUUCAUAAUCUGUUUUGAUAUGUAUUUGUUCUUCUCUUAUUGCUACAAUUUAAUUCUGUUUGUCAACCCAUAAAAGCAUGCGAAUUGAGUGAAAAUCAAAGUGCAAAUUUAAAACAAAAUCCUUUGAUUUACUUGCGUUUUCUUAUGUUGGAGUGGUGCAAUUUGUUGUUUGUCCUCCACCUCUAUUUUUAAUUCCUUUUGUUUCAGUUAUAAAGAUGAUCAUGAACAUGUUACUUGAUGUUUUCCUAGCAAUUCUAUUAACCAAAAAAAUGAAAAAAAAAAGUUUAGUCCAUAAGUAUAGACAAUGUUUUCAUUUGAAUAUUGAUUCAAUUCUUCGUUGUUAAUGUGGUUUAUUGUAGAUAAAAUAUAAUGUUAGAUAAAAAUUUGUUAUACUGUAUUUUAUAAUUGUCCUUAAUAGAAAAUUACAUUAAGGUUAAUUUAGUAAUAUAAAAAUUAUUAAAUGUGAGUGUCCAAAGUAAAUUUUAGAGUGCAUAUAGUCUCACCCUUUUCUUUGUGUUAUUAUAAUUAAUUUAGAAAGAGUUAGAAAGCUAAGAGUAUCCUUAGUAAAGCUCAAAUAUGUAAUACAUAUCACUAGUGAGUGAGUUUCAUAAACUUUCCUAAUUAAGUAGAUGAAUUUUGGGUUGUAAAUCCUAACACAAUAUCUAUUCAGUUGUUGAGCCUAAAAUAUCACAACUAAAUCGAUAUUGUCCGAUGUAGUCAUGCAACCCUACAUCUUCUUAGUUAGGACAAUUCAUGAAACCACUUAUUUGGGAUGUAGGAGAUGAUACAAAAUUUGUAUGUGCACGUUGGCUUAAUAUCCCAAUUACACACUCGUUUGUCUUCAUGUGCUCCGAAAAGAUCUAUUGUAAUGGAUAUAUUGUAUCUUUAUCAAAGUGCUUGUUAUAAUGAUUCUAUUGUGGUGUUAUUCGAGUUGUCACUUUUAGUUUUUGAUUAUCUUUUUUAAACAUAGUUAAUUUGAAAUGUUCUUUAAUAUCCAACACACUUGAGAUCAUCAAAUAAGUGAUUCCCGAACAUAAUUGCCUCUGAUCAUUUUGUUUGUGCCAAUAAAGGGUUGAUACAAACCAAAGACUUCUUGUCUUUAUUGUCAUUUGAGAGUAAUCAAUUACUUACGCAGUCACAUAAGUUACUGGUUGGCCUCGCACAUUUGAGAGUAACCAAAUGGAAAUGAGAGCAACGUGAUUUUCCAAAGAGAACUUCACACUAUCAUAAAACUGAAAACAUUACAAUUUAAAGCUUAAAUAACAACACACCAAAGCCAAAUAACGACCCACUAGAAUCAUGGUCCAAAGAUUGUUCCAUGAUCACAACAUGAACUACAAAAAAAAAAAAAAAAAAAAAACCAACACCAAAAAAGUAGGAACAAUUUGAAACUUUCGACUAAGCAACAUUUAUGAUCACAUCAGCAGUCCUAAACACAUCUUCUAACAAUUGCAACUGUUCAUUUUUGCUUCUGCCAAUAAACAGUUGAUAGUAACCAAAGAUUGUUGUCUUUAUUGUCAUUUAAGAGUAACCAAUUACUUACGCAGUCACGUUAGUUGCUGGUUGGCCUCGCACAUUUUUGACAAGUUUGUUUCUGAAGGAAAGCAGCUGAGCCGCAACCUCUUCCAUGCUCAUUCGUUCUCUCGGCAACUCUGAAGAGCAAGUGACUCCGAUUCCCAGUACUGAAACCAAGCACUCUUCAACACUAAAAUUUCUGGUCCAUUGUUUGUGAGCACUGGUCUCGCUUGUCUCCCCUUCUUCUCUUUCUACAAGAAGCACUGGAUCAACAAUUUCAGCGAGCCUUUCAGGAAGAGCUUCCUUGACAAAAUUAUGCAGGGUUAGAUUGCCUGUAAACAUCUCAUUCGUCGGCCUCUUUCCUGUAAACGUUUCCAGCAAGAGUAUGCCAAAACUGUACACAUCUCCACUUUUUGAGACCUCACUCCCCAUUCCGUACUCUGCAAUUUGAAAAUUAAAACUGUUGGUUCAACUAGUAAAAUCUCUAAGGAAUGCAAAAGAAGUUAAUUAAAUUAUAGUAUUUGCCUGGAGCAGCAUAACCAACGGUUCCUUUAACUCCAGUAGAGCUUGAUUGAUUAGAUGACAAGUUAUUGGUGGCGUCCGGAAGGAAUUUCGCUAAUCCAAAAUCACUUACAUGGGCAGUCAAUUCACCAUCCAGAAGAACAUUGCUCGGCUUGAGAUCACAAUGGACUAUUGGAUUUUCGCAGUAGUGAUGAAGAUAAUCCAAUGCGGAAGCCACAUCAACGGCAAUAUUCAGUCUUUGGAGGAGAUUUAAAUUCCUUGGUGCCUCAGGGUUUGGAUGCAACCAUUCCUCCAGGCUCCCGUUCACCAUGAACUCAUAAACUAAGGCCUCGAAAUCAUUUCCUUGAAAGUCAACACUUGCACACGAAGUUAUUAUUUUGACGAGAUUCCGAUGCCUAAUACUUCUAAAGGCUUGACACUCCGCUAUGAAACUCUUUGAAGCUCCUCGAUGUUGAAGAUUAAGCACCUUAACUGCCACCAGCGUUUCAUGAUCAUCAUCAUUGAGGAUUCCUUGAUAGACCGAACCAAAGCUACCGGCACCAAUCAAGUUUUCCAAAGAGAACCCAUCAGUUGCUUUGAACAGAUUCUGAUAGGACACUCGUAAAACCGAAGCCAAUACUGCUGAUGGAGGAGGGGCCGGCUCCCUUUUUGAUUUGCUCCGCCGGGAAGUAAUUAUCAAACACGACAUCCCUGUCACUAACAAAAUUACUGCAACUACAGGAAUAAUCAGUUUCAGGGAACGGGCACGUGAUUGCUUUGAUUCUUUGAUGGAACAAGUAGAUAAAUGCAACUCAGAUAUGCCACCACAGAGGUUAUCAUUUCCAUCAAGAGAUAUAGCACUUGAAUUGCUGAAGACUCCUUUUAUUGGUACUUCACCCUCAAAAUGAUUAGAAGACAGAUUUAAAUUCUGCAAAAAGAAAAAGUUUUCAAAAUAUUUUGGAAUCCGGCCAGACAAAUUGUUCCGCGAAAGAUCAAGGUUCUGAAUGCCUCUCAAAGAACUGAAUGAUGAAGGGAUAUUCCCUUGAAAGAAAUUACCAUUCAUGACGAGUUGUUCCAACCUAACGCAACUUCCUAGACUGUUUGGAAUUUCACCAGACAAUUUGUUCUCAGAUACAUCUAGAACACCCAGAUUUUUCAAGAUGCCAAAAUUUGAGGGCAAAGGACCGUUCAAUUGGUUUUGAGAUAGAUCAAGAUAGAUUGAUAAGGAAGAGAGACCAAUCACUUCAGUGGGUAUGGUACCAGUGAGGUUGUUAUUAGAGAGAUCUAAUAAUAUCAAGUUUUUGCAUUUCCCUAGACUUGAUGGAAUGCUUCCCUCUAACAUGUUUCCGUCAAAACUUAGUGUGAAUAACAAUGUCAAAUUUCCUACAGAAGAUGGAAUUUCCCCCAAAAACUUGUUCCCCUUCAGUCUCAACCUCUGCAGCUUUUGAAGAUCUCCUAUACUUCCCAGAAUUCGGCCUGUGAAUUGGUUGUCCCCAAGAUCUAAAAGCUCCAAGUUAACAAGAUUUCCUAAUCCACUUGGGAUAUUUCCGAACAAUUGAUUGUUUCCAACGGUAAAUCUUUUAAGUCGGGUUGACAAGUUCCCCACAGAUUCAGGUAACAUUCCUCCAAAAUUGUUAAUACUAAUUUCCAUCAUCUCUAGUCUAGAAGCGUUGACCAAAGAACUGACAAAUUCCAAGUCAUCUUUUUCCCCAUUUCCUAAGUGAUUCAGAGAAAAGCUAACCCGUUGGAGUUUAUAUAAAUUUUCCAAACUCGGCACCUUUCCACUGAAUCCAUUUUUCUGGAUUGUAAGUCUCAUUAGAUUUGAGGCAUUGGAUAUUGAAGCAGGAAUAGGCCCAGUAAACUGAUUAUUACCAAAGUUUAGUACUUCAAGAUUAGGAAGAGUGAAGCCUAAGUCUGAUGGAAGGCUUCCUUGAAGUUCAUUAACAGGAAAAUCCAAAAGACUAAGCGAAGACAAGUUGUAGAUUGAGAAAGGGAUUUCACCUGAUAGCUUAUUUGCUCCGAAUCCUAUUGAACGCAUCCUCUUAAGCUCGCUCAAGGUUUCAGGAAUUUGUCCCACAAACUGAUUUACAGCUGCUGAAAGGAACUCGAGUGAUGACAAAUUGCCAAAGGAAGAUGGGAUUUCUCCUGACAAAUUGUUGAAGUGUACUGCUAGAGUCCGGAGCUUUGAUAAGGAGCCUAGUUUCCCUGGAACUUUCCCCACAAGCUCAUUGAAGCCUAACCAGAGGGAUUCAAGAUUAACGCAAUGUGAUAGGUUGUCAGGAAUUUGACCUCUGAAUGUAUUUUUCUCCAGGCUUAAUUUUUGUAACCUGAACAGAUAUCCAAUCUCUUGAGGGAUUUCGUUGCGGAAGCUAUUGUUUUUGAGAUCUAACACUCUGAGAAAACUUAAAUUACCAAUGUGAGGCGACAGAGACCCCUGUAAGAGUAAAGAUGGAAGAAGUAAUGCAGUCACCCUUUGGUGCCGUCGACUGCAAGUGACACCUUUCCAUUGACAAAAGUGCCUGGAAUAGUUCCAUGAACUCAAAACCUCAAGAGGGUCAUGAGUAACUUUGGCCUUGAAUUCAAGCAAUGCAAGUUGAUCAGUUUCAUUGCUUUUGAGCAUAUAAUCGGUUGACUGCAAGCUGAAGCUGAAGCAACAGAAAAUAAAGAAACAAAUGCUUACAAUGAUUGAACUCAUCAUGUUUACAAAAUCCAUUUAACUGCCGAAGGAAAUUAAAAUGAUAAAACUUUUGUGGAGGUUGGUAAGAUAAACUAUGUUUGUAUAUUUUUUGCAAUGAUUUAUGGACUCUGUACUUGAUGCUCAAAUGUGAACCGGCUGGCACCGUGACAGUGAAACUAAUACUUUUUGUUUUUCUAAUAAUAUUAAUUAUCAUAUUUAUUACUAUUGUAAGAAUAAUAUAUUGCAGCUUUAAAGAAAGACUCACCAUACUCCUUUUCGAGUCCUGUCAGUUUCCAGCAUUUGGUCAUUUUUUUAUUUCACCGCUUAAUCCACAGUAAAUAUAAAACAAUUUAAUCAACAAUAUUGAAAAAGAAAAAAAGUAGGACAAGAGAAAGGUAAAUACUGUUAAAUGAGUUGGGAAACGUUCAAAGCACGACGGGAAUUAAAAUUAUAAACUUUUAUAAAGGUUGGUAAGAAAAAACAUAUUUGUAUAUAUUUUUUUCAAUGAUUUAUGGACGCUAUACUUGAUGCUGAAAUGUGAACCGGCUGGCACCGGGACAGUGAAACUAAUGCUUUUUAUUUUUCUAAUAAUAUUAAUUAUCAUAUUUAUUACUAUUGUAAGAAUAAUAUAAUACAGCUUUUCCUUUAAGGAAGACCCGCCACACUAACUUUUGACGCUCUAUAAGUUUCCAGUAUUUUGUCAUUUUGUAUUGUAGUGCUUAAUCCACAAUGAAUAUAAAAGUUUAAAGCACCACAGGAUGAUGGAUGGAGUUUCACAUUACUGUUAAAUGACUUUGAAAGGUUUAAAGCACCACAGGAACCAACGUUUCACAAUGCCUUUUUCCCUUGUGAAAUAUUCAGUGCAGUCUCUCCCAGAUUUUGCUAGUGCAACAACGAGACGUCAUGCCGUUAACAAUUUUAAACUGUAAAUGACAUGUUGUUUUUACAAGACAUAUUAUGCGUCGAUACAUACCUUUUCUGGUUGUUGGUUUAUAAAAAUAUAUGAAACGGCAUGAGUGUGACAACUCUUGUAAAAUUUUUAAAAACAACAUAAUCAAUGGUAUUCUUAUCUCCCAGCUGCCGUUUGCCGUUUGGAAUUGUUCUGUAUAAGAUCUUGAUCAUCGAAUUUACCACUAGGGCGUAUGCUUUAUUUUCUCGAAUUACAUUGCUGCCUCAUCUUUUGUGUUUUCGGUUCUGUUGUGGAUCUCCUCUGUUUUUUUCUGAUUUUGGGCCCGAAGGGCACGUUAAUUGAAAUCAACAAAUCUGGUAAAAAUGACGUUAAAUUCGAUCAGAUUUACAUAUUUAAUUACAAAUGCAGUAACCCCGAUCAGAUGCAUACACUAAUUUUAUUUAUUUUGUCAGCUUUAACCUCACUGUCAUUUUGAAUAGCCUACAAGAGUCGAAUGACUAGAUUUCCAAUUUGCUAUCAUCCCCCUUGAAUGGGUUCAAGAAAUUCAGCAGGUUGCGAAACAAUAAGAUUCAUUCAAUCCGUGUAGAUAUCUAACUGACUGAAAUUAAAUAAAUGAUGAUGAUAAGAAAUUUGAAAUCAACAAAUCUCGGCACAUCUAUUCUGCAAUUUAGCCGUACUUCAAAUAAUCUUGCGAUAAAAAUUUCUUAAAAAUCUCAGAAAGAGGACAGAACAACCAAGGCAUCAGCGAAAGCAAUCGAUGUUAGGAAAUUGGUGGGUGCAGCAGUACCGCAACUAAAAUAAAAUUGGAAAUAAAAUAAAGAACAAGCACAAUAGAGGACACCAAAAAUUACGUGGUUCGGCUUUUAGCCUACAUCUACGGGCGAAGACAGAAGGAAAUAUUUUACUAGUGAAAUAAGGAUUACAAGUAUUGUAAGAUUUUAGCUCACUACCCAAAACCCCAAUACACCCAAUCUCUCACUCACUACACAUGCAAGAGUUUAUUAAACUCUUGAAAACUCUCAACACUCAAAGAAAGAAAAAUUUCUCUCAAUGGAAUUGAAUACAAAAUGAAAUGAGGAGCUCUGCCUUUUAUAGCCAAAAAAUGGCUAUUAAAUUAUUAUUUUUACCACCGUCUUCAUUCUGCUAUUUUCUUCUUUCUUCUUUUUUCUUCAUUCCAAAUUUGCUGCUGCCAAAUUCUUCAACAUUUUCUUUGGCCGGCUGUCAAAGCCAACUUUGCUUAUUCAAGGGUUCUAGAUGCAGUAGCUUCUAGAUGCAGCCAAAUUUGACAUUCUCCCACUUGGAGAUUAGAUUGAGAAUCAAUCAAUCUCCACAUCAUCCUUUCUGUUUCGCCAUAAUCAUGUUGCCUACGUUGCUGCUAGGCCACAAGAGGAUCUACUCCAGAUAAACUUGUCAGCAUUUAUUGGCUUGGUCAAAACAUCUGCUAGGUUCUCCUUCGUAUGGAUUUUCUGCAAAUCCACACUUCCAUCUUCCACUACUUCUCGAACGAAGUGAUACUGAACUCCUAUGUGCUUUGUCCUGGAAUGAAAGGCUAGAUUCCUUGCAAUGUGCAAGGCACUCUGACUGUCACAAAACACAAGAAUUUUCUGUUGUUUGUGCCCGAGCUCCUCCAAUAAUCUUUGUAUCCAAAUAGCUUCCUUGCAAGCUUGUGUAGCUGCCAUGUAUUCUGCUUCUGUUGUAGAUAAUGCCACAACGGUCUGCAGUUUCAAAACCCAGCUUACAGCUGCUCCCGCAAGUGCAAACACAUAACCAGUAGUGGAUUUCCUUUUAUCAAGGUCUCCUGCAAAAUCUGAAUACACAUAGCCCCUGACAGUAAACUCUGAUCCUCCAUAACAUAAUGCAACAUCUGAGGUUCCUCUGAUGUAUCUCAGAAUCAUCUUCACAGCUAUCCAAUGCUCUCCGCCAGGAUUCGCCAUGUAUCGACUGACUGCUCCCACUGCUUGUGCAAUGUCCGGUCUUGUACAUAUCAUAGCGAACAUUAAACUUCCCACUGCUGAUGCAUACGGUACUCGAGACAUCUCCUUCCUCUCUGCUUCAUUGCUAGGACACAUACUUGAGGAUAAUUUGAAAUUAACAGGAAAUGGGGUAGAAAUUGACUUACAAUCUUGCAUGUUGAAGCGCCGCAAGAUUUUCUUCAAGUAAUUCUUCUGUGAUAGCCAAAUCUUCCUGUUAUUUUUGUCUCGGUGAAUUUGCAUCCCUAGAAUCUUGUUUGCUGGUCCCAAGUCCUUCAUUUCAAACUCCCUAGCCAACUGUGCCUUCAAUUCUUGGAUUCGAUCUUUGUUGGGACCUGCUACCAACAUGUCAUCUACAUACAACAGCAAAAUGAUGAAAUCAUUAUCUUCAAACCUCUUGUAAUAUGCACAAUGGUCUGAACUGAGUCUGUUGUAUCCAAGGCUCAUGAUGAAGGAAUCAAAUCUCUUAUACCAACACCUCGGCGCCUGUUUGAGACCGUAUAGAGAUUUGUUCAACUUGCAAACCAAGUUCUCCUUUCCUGUUUCUGCAAAACCUUCUGGUUGGAGCAUAUAUAUUUCUUCUUCAAGUUCUCCAUGAAGAAAUGCAGUUUUCACAUCUAACUGCUCUAGAUGUAGGUCAAAUGUAGCACACAUUGCCAAGACUAUUCUGACUGUUGUGAGUCGAACCACGGGCGAAAAUAUCUCGUUGAAGUCAAUGCCUUCUUUCUGAGCAUAUCAUUUCACCACCAAUCUUGCACGAUACCGCUCCACUUGGUCAUUGCCAUCACGCUUGAUCUUGUAGACCCAUUUGUUUCCAAUGGCUUUUCUUCCAUGUGGUAGUGGUACAAGUUCCCAUGUCUUGUUCUUGUGUAGAGCUUCAAUUUCUUCCUGCAUUGCUGUCAUCCACAAAGCAACAUCUGAGCUGUUUAAAGCUUCAUGGAAAGUUGAAGGCUCUCCAUCCUCUGUUAAAAGACAGUAUGCAACGUUGAUCUCUGUGACAUACUCAGAGUGCCACACCGGCGGUCGUCUCUCACGAGUUGACCGACGAACUUCUGGAGCCUCGGACUCGACUGGUUCUUGUUCCUCGUGCUCUGGUGCUGCUUCAGAAGAAUCUGAAUCUUCUGGAUUAUUUUCUACAUAUACCGGCACAAUCUCUGACUUUUCUUUUACAGUGCCAUCAUCUCCAUCUUUCAUUUGCAGUUGAUCUUCUACAAAAAUAACAUCUCUGCUGAUGACGAUCUUGUGGGCAGUGGGGUCCCACAGACGAUACCCCUUUACUCCAUCAGCAUACCCCAAGAAGAUACAUCUUCUAGAUUUUGGAUCCAACUUUGUUCUUUCUUGGGCAUUGUACAUCACGUACACAGGACAUCCAAAUGCAUGUAGGUAGGAAUAAUCAGCUGGCUUUCCAGUCCACAUCUCCAUCGCCGUCUUCAACCCAAUCGCUGUAGAUGGUGAUCGAUUUACUAUAUAACAGGCAGUUUUGGCUGCUUCUGCCCAUAAUGAAUUGGGUAAACCAGCAGUCCUCAACAUAGCUCUUAUUCUUUCUGUAAGAGUUCUGUUCAUCCGCUCUGCCACUCCAUUUUGUUGAGGAGUGUACGCCACCGCGAACUGCCUCUGAAUACCUUCUUGCUUACAGAAAGCAAGAAACUCGCCCUCUGUAUAUUCUCCACCAUUAUCCGUCCUCAAGCACUUGAUCUUUUUACCAGAUUCAAGUUCCACACGCGCUUUGUAUUCUUUAAACACAGGAAAUACAUCUGACUUUUUCUUAAUUGGAUACACCCAACAUCUUCUAGAAUAAUCAUCAAUGAAAGUCACUAUGUACUUUGCACCUCCCAUGGAUAUAUCCGGUGAUUCCCAAACAUCAGAAUGAAUCAAGUCUAGAAUGCAUUUACUUCUAGCAAUAGAUCUACUGAAUUUUAAUCUAUGCUGCUUACUUAUAACACAAUGCUCGCAAAAUGGUCUGAAUUUUAAUCUAUGCUGCUUACUUAUAACACAAUGCUCGCAAAAUGGUAAACUUACCGAUUUGAGCCCCGGAAGCAAUUUUCGCUCAGAGAGAAUCUUCAAGCCUUGUUCUGACAUGUGACCAAGUUUGAGAUGCCACAUCAUCGUUGAUUCUUCUCCAUUUGACGCGACACACGUAUUAGCCUCCUGUAGUGUUUCUCCUCUAAGCAUGAAUAGAUUAGCACCGAUCUUUUCUGCUUUCAUCAAUACAAGCGCGCCUUUAACGAUCUUCAUAAUUCCAUUCUCCACAUGAGUUUUGUACCCAUGACUAUCCAUGUGUCCCAAAGACAAUAGAUUUUUCUUCAAGCCAUUGACAUGUCGUACCUCUCCAAUUGUGCGAAUUGUACCAUCAAACAUUUUUAUUUUGAUAGUACCAAUACCAGCGAUCUCCAAGGCAUGAUCAUCUCCCAUAUAUACAGAUCCUCCUGAGAUAGGUUCAUAUGUGUGGAACCAUUCUCUCCGAGAGGUCAUGUGCCAGGUAGCUCCUGAGUCUAUAAGCCAGACAUCAGACAAUCGUUUUCUGCCUUCUGAAACAGUUGUUGCCUCGCUGUAAAGAAUUUCGCCAUCAUCUGAGGUACUUGCUACACAACCCUGAGCAUUUGAUGACUCAGGUUCUUUUCCCUCUUUUCUCUUCUGGUUACUCCAACAUUCUUUCUUGAUGUGCCCUUUCUUGCCACAUUUGUAGCAUUUAACAUUAUUCUUACUCAUGGAUUUUGAUCUACCCUGAUUUUGACUCCCACUGGGGCCACGUUCCGUUGAUCUCCCUCUCGUCACCGAUAGCGCCUCCGCUUGCUGCGAACUUGCUUGUCUGUUUUCCUUAUUUUUCCACCUGCUCUCCUCAUUUAAUACGGAGGCUGCAACAUCGUCGAAAACUAGACUCUCCACUGGAUUGUUGUUCGUCAGGUUGAUGAUGAGUUGAUCAUACGAAUCUGGUAGACUUUGAAGUAGAAGCUCUGCACGUUCAUUUUCCUCUAUAUUAUGACCCAACAUUGUGAGUUGUGAAAAUAGAGUCUUCAAUGUGUUGAUGUGGUCGGUCACCAUUGUAGAUUCCGUCAUUCGAAGAGUAUAGAGUUUUCUCUUCAAGAAGAUUUUGUUGUGUAGUGACUUGGCCUCAUACAAUUUUGUGAGAGUAUCCCAUAUUUCCUUCGCCGUAUUUUUCUCUGCCACACUGGAUAAUACUCCAUCCGCAAGUGCCAAGUGUAGAUCAGAAAUGGCGUUGCCGUCUACCUCGUUCCACUUGUCAUCAGUUAUCUCCAUGGGCCUUUCUCCAAUUGCUGCCAAACAAUUAUUUUUCCUCAAUACAGCUUUCAUCUUCAUUUUCCACAAUGAAAAAUUAUUUCCGUUAAACUUCUCAAUUUCAUACUUUGCCGCCAUUUUGUUGAUAAAUACUGUACACAAGUUAGUGUACCACCUUGAAUAGUUGUGAGUAUGUGUGAUAAUGCACACCAGGAAAGUUCCCAGGAAAGACUGGAGGGGUCACAAUGGUCCCACUUAAAACCCAGACUCCUUAAGCUCUUAUCGCCUUUGUGACAGAACUUUCCUAGACAUGUACAAAACCACAGUUGUUUUUCUCACACUACUAUUCCCUGCUUUGCACCGGAAAAUUCUUGGAUCGCUUCCACCGUUUCACGUGAAUAGUACCGUAUACGUGAACAAUACCAUAUAUGUGAACAAACCCGUAUACGUGAACAACACAGUAUACGUGAAUAGUGUCGUAUACGUGUACAGUGCCGUAUACGUGAAUAGUACCCCUUACGUGAACAGUUCCCGACUCCAAAAAUACAACCAAUAGCUCUGAUACCACUGUUAGGAAAUUGGUGGGUGCAGCAGGACCGCAACUAAAAUAAAAUUGGAAAUAAAAUAAAGAACAAGCACAAUAGAGGACACCGAAAAUUACGUGGUUCGGCUUUUAGCCUACAUCCAUGGGCGAAGACAGAAGGAAAUAUUUUACUAGUGAAAUAAGGAUUACAAGUAUUGUAAGAUUUUAGCUCACUACCCAAAACCCCAAUACACCCAAUCUCUCACUCACUAGACAUGCAAGAGUUUAUUAAACUCUUGAAAACUCUCAACACUCAAAGAAAGAAAGAUUUCUCUCGAUGGAAUUGAAUACAAAAUGAAAUGAGGAGCUCUGCCUUUUAUAGCCAAAAAAUGGCUAUUAAAUUAUUAUUUUUACCACCGUCUUCAUUCUUCUAUUUUCUUCUUUCUUCUUUUUUCUUCAUUCCAAAUUUGCUGCUGCCAAAUUCUUCAACAUUUUCUUUGGCCGGCUGUCAAAGCCAACUUUGCUUAUUCAAGGGUUCUAGAUGCAGUAGCUUCUAGAUGCAGCCAAAUUUGACAAUCGAGGCAGGGCACGCUCAAGCCACGAAUUAGAGGAAUUUUAAAUAUCAAAACCAGCUCAGAAUAAUAAGAAGUAAAAUGAAACUAAAAAAGGCUCAGAUUUUUGGAUGAGUGAAGGGAAGAUGAGAAGAUGAAAUGCAGAAAGUCAAGAAAUGAAUAAACCAAUAUUAAUAAUCUUGGACCCACAUCUCUAAUUUGGAUUAAGCAUCCAUCUGCCUAUGUGGAUAAUAUUUUUGCUAAUUUUUCAGCCAUGCAGCAGGAUCAUGUUCGUCUUGUUUUAUUUGAUAGAAGGAAUUUUCCCUUGGAAGAAAAUGAUGAGUCGUUUCAACGUAAUGCAGCUACCUAGACUGCAUGGAAUUUCACCAGACAAUGACAAUUUAUUCUCAGAUAUAUCUAAAUCUAACGCCCCCACAUUUGUUUAGUCACCCAAAUUUGAAGGCGUCCGUUUUGAGACUGAUCAAAACUUUUUCCAAAAAUUCGGGAUUCAGGUCGAUCAGGCCGGUUAUGUUUUGAAAACUUGUAAAUUUUCAGUGAUCAAACUUCAAAACUUUGCAAAUAGGUCAAAAUAUGAAAAAUUCUUGAUAUAUUAUUGAAUACUCAUUUUGUUUUGCAUUAAUAUAAGGCUAUGGGUGCUAUCUAGUAAUGUUGGUAAAAUUUCUUGAGUUGAAAACAAUAAAACGAAAAUAGCUCUAAUAGAUCCACCCCUGUUUGAAACUCACUCAUAUGGAUGGGAAAGAAAUUUAGUUACCAUUGGAUUAAAAAAUAAUUAUUAUUAUUAGAAAAAAAAUUGUAAGGCUUCGACAAGAUUUGCUAAUCAUGUAUAGGUUAAAAUUUAUGUGGGUUUGGCCACCAAUUUAGCAUUAGGAACUUAUUGUUUAGGAAGCUAUGGUGGGUGUCGUAGUGGGACUUAUUCUCUUUAAUGCAUAUGGUGAUUUUAAACCAACAUUUAUAUAAUCCCAUUAUAAAACUCAUCAAACCUUCUAAAAUAACAUGUUGAGAUAGUGUGCUAGAAGUAUUUCUCCAACUUCUUAGCUUGAAGCGAUGUUCAUUUCCAUUGAUAGUUUAAUGGGCAAAGCCUUUUGAAUUCUCCAUGUUAUCAAGUUAAUUUUUGCUGGAAAAUGCAAUCCGGAUAUGAAUAGAAUUUUUUGUGCAAUCGAAUUUUCUAUGUUGACACAUCUUCUGGAACAUUCAAUAAAUUUUAUGGAGAAGUUUUAAUUUCUUAGUUGUUGAUUUCGAAUAUAUUAAGCUCUUAUUCAGUAUUAAAGUAUUGUGGCCUAAAAGAUAUAGUUCGUAUGGAAAGAAAUUUGUAAUUACAAAAUAAAAAUUGAUAAAGUGUGAUAAAUAUAAUUUCAAAAUAAAAAAUAAACUUAACUUCAAAAUUACAAUAGUAAUUAUAAAGUAUUUACUAAAUACAUUAGUGUUGCAGUAACUGCCCUACCACAAUGACAAAUAGGGGGCUAAUACUACAAAUUGUUCCAUUAAAAGUCACCCAAAAAGGAAGAAGUGACUUAAAAAAUUAAAAGAAUGCAGGAGCUGAAGUUGGCUAUUUUGUAAAUUGCAAUGGCAAUUGUGGCCUAGUAAAAUCCCUCAAUGAGUCACAGCACUAGCAAUUUCGUAAUAUACAUUAGUGGCAAUUUUGUAAAAUUGAAGUAAUGAUAGUUUUGCAAAUAAAAGUAAAAACUUUUUCCCUAAAUUCGGCUGAGCUAAAAACCAGCUUAGCCCACAGUCUCCUUCGCCACCGGUUGACGAGCUCUUCCUUCAAUUUUUGAACUUGAAGUGAUGCCCCAUCGAUGUCCAGAAUUUUUAAAGUCUCCCCAUUGUACAAGUUAAACAAUAAAGUCAGAAUGAUGAUCCUAAUGAUUCUUUUUAGAGAGUCACCUGUACGUUGAAGUGUUUAAUUGAUGUUUAUUUAAGCAGAAAUUGAAGUUUGAUCCUGAUUAAUUAGAUGAGAACACACAUUCAUGAGUAAAUACUUAAAAUUAAAUUAAUCAAAAUAGUAUAAAUACAGGAGAAAAUCGAUCAUAUGCGUACAGAAAUCACAAUCGAAUUAUAUAUAUCACCGCCGCACAGAAAUAACAAUUAAAUUGUAAUGUCAAUUGUCCACAUAAGAUUUUUUUUUUUUUUUUUUUUUUUUUUGUUGAUGAAAGUUAGUAAUUUUUUUCCAUCUUUUUAAAUAAUAGUUGUUAAUAAAUAUCAAGAAAAUAUUGGGACUGGAGAUCAGGGUCUACUUAAGUUAGAAGUGAGAGUAGUGCAGAUAUGUGGGGAUUAUAUGCAAGGUGGCUUAAAAGUAAAGGAGAUCUUACAAUGUGCUCUGAAGCCCUCUUAAAGCAAGUCAGAUCAUAUCAGGUUUCUCCAUAAAUCUCAUCAUCUUAUAAUAAGUUAGCAUUAUGUUUUACUUUGAUGUUGAUGGAAUUUGUUAAUGCUAAUCAAAUUUUGUUAAUCUCCCUCUCUUUUUUUUUUAAUUUAAAAGAAGGCAAAUAAAAAGCUUUGUGAUUUCAUUUUUGUUUUCUAAAUUUGUUAUCUAAAGGAAUGACAAGUUGAUAACUCAGCCUCUGUGUGUGUGUGUCUGUGUCAGGGAUCUGAUUUGUGGAAAGAUAGAGAUCGGUUUAAAAGGUUUUCAUAUGCAUCCUUGGAACUUUGUAAGGUUUACAUGGAAAUUUCUUCCUCUUCCGGUAGCCGUCGAGAGCUCUUUGCUGCUGAGAUGCACCUGAAGAACGUACUUAAACAAGUAAAACACCUUAUAAUUCGAUAUUUAAGACACUUACAGUUGGUUUAAAGAUUGUAUUUUCUGUUUCUGUUUUUGACUGGUUCAGGGUAAAACUUUUUCUCACUGUGUUAGAGUGCAUUUCUGUUAUUAUAUAGUUUCUUAGAAGAAAAUGCACUUUUUGGAAUCUCAGGCUAAAGGAUUUUCUGACAUGGAAGAGUUCAGGGAUCUUCAAGCUUGCCUUGAUGAAGUGAAGACAAAACUCCAAUCUGGUCCCGUGGCUACCUAAGUAUCAGGAAUGUGCUAUUUUUGAAAUUUAGUAACAAGGUUAAAUCUGCAACUAAAAAUUAUUUUAGUUUGUACUGUAGUGGAGACCUUAAGCAGGACUGAAUAUCUUGUAUUGUUGUAUCACCUUUUCUGUAACAAAACGGUCUAGUUUUACUAUUUUUAUUAUUUUUGUAUUUUCGGUGCUGUAACUAAUCUCAUUUGACAAUUUAAAUAUAUGGCUUCAAGUUCUUUAAAUGUAACAUCAAGUGUUGUUUCAACCUCUGUUCUUUUAUGUAUUUCUUGCAUGCGGUGAUUUCAUUAACCUCAAUUUAAGGACAAUUUCAUAUCUUUUUUCUUUCUGCUUUUCUUUUAUCAUUUAAAAACAACACACACACACACACACACAUUUAUAUUUCAGAAGAGGAAAUUGCACGGGAUAUGACUCAAUACUUGCUAAAUGCCAAGACUAUGACCCAAUUAUUUACAUGCCGAGACUAUGACCGAAUAACAAGUGAAAGUACACAAAUAUCCUUAUAAGUAACUAAGUUAAAAAUAUAAAACUUGAGUUAGGAAGUUUAGGAAUGCAUUGAACUUGUAUUCAUUACUUUGAUUAAUCCAUUUACCGUUAUACAAGACAAUAACACGUACCAUAUCCAUUUACAUAAAAAUUAUGAGUUGACAAAGUAAGAAUAUUAACAAAAAUAAGUUGUUAAAAGUUCUUGUAGACUUCUGUGCUUCAGUUCUAGACUUCUAGAUUUAUAGACUUACCUACAUGUCUAUAAGUCUAGAUGUAAAGAAGUCACGAAAACGAUAACAAUGAUAAACAAACUCAAUUCAACAACAAAUUUGAUGUGUAAAAAUUGUGUUGAAGAAUUUUUUGGAAUCUGUUUGAAUUUGUUAAGGGAAUGUGAUGAUUUUAGUAAGUGUUUGAUAACAACUUAGAAUGUUGGACGCAUUAUAGUGCUGGGUGCAUGCUUUUGUUGGAAAAGAUAAGGGCAUUUUAGACUAGGGAUCACCAAAAUGUCAUACAAAUUUAAUUGAGUAAAAUUUGUCAUAUUUAUAUAAAAUGUACAUGAUUUUGUCAUAUAUAAAUAAAAAACCCAUUUCAGAAAGCAUUUAAACAAAGCGAGAGUACAAUAAAAAACCCAUUUUAGAAAGCAUUUAAACAAAGCCAGAGUACAAUAUAGAAAGAUUUUACUCAUUCUAAGUGUGUACCAAACAAAGAAAUGAACUCUCCUUUUCUAGUUAUAUAAUUAUUACAUGAAAUUAAUAAAAACAUGACGAAUUAUAAUUCCUUGCGAUAUAGUGGGGGUUAUAGAAAAGUCAAGAGUUGCUAGUGGAAGAUAAUAGGGAGAGUACAAUAUAUAUAUUAUGAACAUUCACAUUUAUUUUAAUAAAUUCAUAGCAUUUUUUUUGCUUAAAUAACAGGGUGUAUGUAUAUAUAUAUUGACAUAAAAAUUGCAUGACGUGUGGUUUAGCGUUUCUUGGUUGUUCAGUGCUAGUUUUAUGUCAAUUUUUAUUGACAUAAAAAUUGCAUGACACAAAAAAGGCUGUUUUAACCAACUAAAAACCAAAAGCUAAAACCCAAAACCCCCCUCUUUUUCGUUUUCCAGGGACUUCACCUUGAUAUUCAACCAACACUUCUGAUGUCUGCCCUUCAAUAAACCAAGUCAUUCAUACACAUGAUUCUACUAUUGGUGAUGCCUCUGAUGUUUUUGUGACCCCAAAAUUAUUGGGGAAUAGUCAUGAAUCUGAAUCUGGAGUCCAAUGCAUUCACGCUGGUGGCUCAGCAGCCCAUUUAAAGGCAAUCCAACAGGCAGUGAUCUUGUCGAGGUGCCUUCUAAUAGAAAAGAGCUCAUGGCAAGAUGAAAUGCAAAGUAAGUUGUUUUAUGGUUGGCCGGUGUGUAGUCAUCUCGUUAAAGGCCAUAAGAUGUUUAGCAUAUUGCUAUUUAAUUUUUAAAUCAUUCUCAGUAAUAAUUCCUUUAGUAGAUUGAUGAUAAGAGAUUGCAUUACAGAUGAUAACGGAGCACAAUUUUUGUAGUUGUAUCCCUGUACAUCCAUCUUAAUAUCCUCAUUAUAUUCACAUGCCUUUUACGGGUGUUAUUUCUGGAUGCCGAAUGCUUUGCUCCACGUCUGGAUACCAAAUGCUUUGUUCCACAAAGCUGAGCUGGUUGAAAAGCUAGCUGAUGAGGUCAACACGUCCCUUAAGUAAUUUGAGGAUGAACACUGUGUUCCCGAAAGUCUUACUCUAAUGAUACUUAAAGAAGCAAUGAGAAUGGAUGUUGCAGCAGCUUUGCUGAACUCAACUCCAGUUCCAAAAAUGGAACAUGUGAAAACCGAAAAUGCAUUGUUUUUUUUUUUUUCCUCUUUAUGACUUCUCUAGUUGGGGAAUGUAUUAGAUAUUCACCUAAUCAGUAGGCCUUGAAGGGAUCCCAUGUUAGCCCCUUGAUGUUGGUCUGUAACUAAGUAAAUACUUGACCUUGAAAAAGCUUUUGGAGGCAUCAGUUUCUCUCUGACUGGUGCUACUUUUUGGAUCUGUUGAUUUGGUCAUUUGCUGAUUUAUAGUUUGUUUUCUGAUUCAGGAUGGGAUAUGGCUCCAUACAUAGAGGCAACUGAUUCACAGCAGUCGUCAUGCUUCAUUGUAAAUAUAUAUACAAUACAGCAUCAGUUUUUCUUGAUUUUAAAUCUCAUAUUCUGAAGUGGUACUUCUGAUUCUCACAUGAUUUUUCCAUCUUUCAGCUAAAGUUUUUCUGUGAUCUCUUACGUAUUAGAUGGGAAUCCACCCGCAGUCGCACAAAAGGGCGUGCUUUAGAGAUGAUGGACAAACUGGUAUGAUCUGUGAGCCUUUUCUUCUUAAAUAUUUUGUUACCUAAACCAUUUUCAUUCAAAUUGACAAGUGUUGCUUAUCAAUCUAUAGAAGAUUCCAAACUUUCUGCAGCUAGUACUUUAUUGGACCCAAAAGCUUUUUUGCUUUUUCUAAGCUGCUAAUCAGGACUAGGUUUCUCUCCCUUAUAUCGCUAGAUAUCCCAUUAAUCGUUUGAUUUAGUUGUCUAGAGAGAUUAGGUACUUGCAUCUUCGCUUUUCACUUCACAAGUGAUUUCAUGUGCUAUCCUGUAUUCUGGUUCAAGAUUUUUGAAGGUUGCUUACCAUCAUAUUUUGCUUUGUUUCAGGUUGAGGGCAUUUCUAAUUCUUCUCCCGGUGUGACUCAAAGGAUUCCCUUUUGUUAUGUGAUUUAAGUUCCAACUAUUCCUACCCUGCGAAAGUAAUACUAUUUCUUUUGCUUCUUUGAAUGAUUGUGAUUUAAUUUUCUUGUCAUUUUGCCAACUAUCAUUAUGCUGUCAUUGUUUCAUAUCUUAUUUGACAUAUGUUGAUUUGGUUAGAGUUUAAUUGCUCUGUUUAUUCUCUUUAUAAUCUGUCUAUUUCGAUUUUUCUUGAUUUUAGGGAAUAUGCUGAACUUUUAGUAAGCUGUGGCUUGAUUGGAGAGGCUAUUAAAAUUUUUGAGGAUCUGGAGUUGUGGGAUAAUCUAAUAUACUGCAACUGGUAUGAUGUCAUAGAUAACCAUUAUCCUAAUCUCUCUGUCUGUCUGUCUGUCUCUAUCUCUCUCUUUCGUGUUGCUAAUGGGAGUUGGUUUUUUGUAUGAUGUAAAAAACAGCCUAUUGGGGAAGAAAGCAGCAGCUGUUGAACUAAUAAAAGCAAGGCUGUCUGAAAAGCCUAGUGACCCUAGAUUAUGGUUGGUUAAUGAGCCUUUUCUAUGAUCCAUUUUAUAGUUACUUCUCAUUUCAGUUAAAUCCAUUGUUGAUGUCACUUAUUGCAAUCUAGGGAUAAUUGUUCAUUGGUUGUAAGGAUAUUGUCAGAAGAAAAUGAAACCUUUUAAUUUUGUCUUUUACUUGCUGUAGCCGAUUUAAAAGCUCACUGUGCGUUCUUACUGAUUGCUUUUGGUCUUGCAUUUGAGUCAAUGGAUUUUAUACUCAUAUUCUGACAUUUAUUGUUAGUCUUCUGACGGUUCUGCACCUUGGUCCUAUAUUAUCUUCAGCAGUAUUAUCUAAAAGAUAAGUUUUUGCCGAAGAAAAUUUGCAUUCUAAACUAGAAAAUGAGGGGCCGGGGGGAGGGGGGGGGGGGGGUAGGUUGGGAGGCAACGGGAGACUGUUUUCCACUUAUCCUCUUCCCUGCCUGCAUUUUAGAUGAUUUUGAUGCACCAGGUGCCGUGAAAUGGUUGAGAAAUACAUACCAUCAAGUGAAUUCUGAAAAUCAUUUCCUUUUUGAAAAUAUUUGGUGCUAGACAUUUGAAUAUAUGGCCACAAUUUAAACAAUAAAGAUUUUCUGCAUUGAUUUCUUAUAAUGGAUAGAUGCAUGUAAGUAAAAUAUGAUAUCUUUUGAUUAUUGGCCCAUUUGUUCAGAAAGAAGGAAAAAAAAAAAAAUACAUGGUUGAAAGACAACUGUUACUUGACCUUAUGAUACAUUUUGUAGGUGUUCAUUAGGUGAUGUUACAAAUAAUGAUGCCUGCUAUGAAAAAGCUUUGGAAGUUUCGAAUGAUAAGUCAGCUCGAGCUACGGUGAUAUUGUAGUUCACAUUAUGCUUGUGCCGUGAUCAUUUUUUAGUUAACAUAUCUUUAUGUGAAUCAGAGGUCUCUAGCUCGUAGUGCAUACAACAGAGGGGAGUACGAGACAUCUAAAAUCCUUUGGUAUGUUGCUUUAAUGCUUUACUUCUCUUUCUGCCACACAGUAAUUUGCUGCAUUGACAACUGAUACGGCUGAAUGACAAUUUACCCUUGGUUUUGUCUCGGGGAGGCUGCCAUGGCCUUGAAUUCUUUGUAUCCGGAUGGCUGGUUUGCUCUUGGUGCUGCUGCAUUGAAGGUAUCAUAUUUUUGUAUUAGUAUGUGUUUAGUGUGAAGCAAUUUCUUAUCCUUUUGCCCCAAGUUUCUGAAACUCUCGGCUGAAAUAUAAAUACAGGCUCGGGAUGUUGAAAAGGCUCUGGAUGGGUUUACUCGGGCUGUUCAACUUGAUCCAGACAAUGGGGAAGCUUGGAACAAUAUUGCUUGCUUGUAUGCUCUUUUCUUUGUCAUCAUGUCAUUCCAUCCUCUUGCUCUGUAUUCUUUAAUAUUGUGUCAAUCACAUUCAUCUUCUAUCUGCAAGAGUAUGCUUCCCAUAUUUGGUUUACUUUGUUUUGACUUUCUUGUUGCAGUUGUUCUAUAUAAAUUUUAUAUGGUUCCAUAUUCCCUUGAUGAGUGAAUUUAGUUGCUGCAAAUGUUAAGAACUAGAUAGUACUGUUAUAAUUAGGAAUAGGGCAAAUAUUAGCCAGCUCUUUUGAGGAUUAUCCAUAGCAUAUACCUCCGUCGUUUUCAAAGCGAUUGAAGUUCUCCCUUUUGUCUUAUUUAAAAGAAAAAAGCACAAAUUGCUUCCCUCACAUCUAUCUACAGUCUCUUUUCUCUCUGUUUAAUUUUUUCUUGUGCUUAUUAUUUGUCUUUUAAUGCAUCUUUUCUUCUUAUUUUAUACUGUACUAGAAUUUGUGCUGUCUCGAUUUUAUCUUGCAUGUGAGUUACUGUGUUUUUCGCAAUUGUAGAACUUUAUUUAGCAGCAUAAUUAUUAGUUAGUGAGACAUUAAUUGGUUAAUACCACUUGUGAAGAUACGAAGAGCUACUUAUUCUCUCUUCUAGUACAUUUAAAAAAUUCAUGACAAAAUAUCUGGGAUGGUAAAAUUCUCGUCAAUUAUAACUACGGAAGUCUUGAGAUUUAUGUAGUCUUGCAGGCAUAUGAUCAAGAAGAAGAGCAAAGAGGCUUUUACAGCAUUCAAGGAGUCCCUAAAGUUGAAGUUCUGUCUUUUUUCCCCCUGAUCACUACAUUUUUAUUUUCUGUCAUGCACAAUGCAGUCGGACACUAUCUGAUCACAAGAAAACUGUCAUACAUAAUUUGUUGCUGCUAGGCAAAAGGUGAUAUCUAAUGUAAUAACCUAUAACAUGAUUUUGUAACAGACGGAACAGUUGGCAAUUGUGGGAAAACUACAGCCAUGUUGCUUUGGAUGUGGACAAUAUUGGUCAGGUAACCGCGGUUGUGCGCUUAAUGUCCAUCAUUUAUCACUGAAAUCUUUUGAGAUGAAGCUGGCAUUUCCUUAGCCACCCUCUGAUGGUUUUGAUUGCUUCAUGUAUGUUGUCAUCUUUGUCAACUAAUGAAAGCUGCAGAGAUUUUGUCAUCUUUUCAUUUAAAAGAAUUUGAUAGUUUAUAGCCCAUUGUCAUGUUUGCAUAUGUAUGUUAUUGUUCUUUUGACCUUUUUGUACCUCAGCUUCAUCCUUUUAUGCAAGCAAUUCUUUGUCAAGAAAUAUCUGGUUAACAAUUUCUUCGCAUGAAUAUUUUUACGGUCAUCAAGGUCCUUGAACAGUCAUGGUUAAUUGAUUACAGAUUCUCAAAUUUAUAAUUAUUUUUUUCAGGGUCAUUGUCCUUUGAUAUAUGCAAUUGAUGCAUGACUUUCUAACCAUUAUCUCCCUGCCUUCACCAUGGUCGUAUAAAUAUUUUGACAAGUGGGGAUUUUAUGAUUACUGUGUGCUAGGAAUUUUUUUGGUUGGAAAGAAAUGGGAGGAUUUUUCAAGAAGCUAGGGAGGGAAGACACCAAAUUUUUUUUGGUGGAUAAAGCCUGCUGUCACUUUGGGCAUCAAUUUCUAAUGAAUGCAAUAAUGUUCCUUUCUUUGCUAUUCAUUAAAAUUGAGUUGUUCUUCUUGGAUGGCCUUCUUUUUACUUCCCAUCAUUUUGCCAGCUUGUUGAUUGUCAUUUUUGCUUGUUGGCAGUCUUUUCCUGCAGUGUUGAUAAUAUUUAAUUAUAAUAUUAGACAACAGUGUCCUCAACAUGAUCUCUCUCCCAAAUUAUUACUCUUUUAUUCAUUAUACUUUUAGCAGUUUCUUUAUUUUUGUUAUAUUUUAUGUUUUCAGGCUCUAGAGGCUGUGCAGAUGGUGUUGAACAUGACUAAUAAUAAACGAAUUGAUACUGUAUUAUUAGAAAGAAUAGUGCUAGAUAUGGAAGGAAGGACUUCAAUUAUAGAAUCUGAGUCUUGCAGGACUACCCAUAAUCUUAACAGAACUAAUAACACUUGUGCAAAAGAUUAACCUGUAGAAUCUGUCCAUGUAUCAUCACCUGAGGAGUCAAUCAUGGGAAGAUCGCGAGAAAAUGAGCACUUGAUGGAGUUUCUUGGGAAAAUUCUUCAGCAGGUUGCACAUGGCUCCAUGAUCAUCUUUUUUCUGUCUUUUAAUACUGAGCCAAGGGACAGUCUCUCUCUUUCACGCAUAUCCACAACACAUGUACAUAUUUCUCAUAUUUCUAUGCGUAUAUAUUGUCAUUUCUGAUCUUUCUUAGUUUAUAUGAUAAUUGUCUUUGGGCAUAUGAUUCAUAUUUUCUGGGCACCCUAUGGUCUGUGGGUCAAUAAUAAUCCAUAGUAUCUGAAUUUCUAGACAAAAUUGGUCAUUUUAGCAAAUCAUUUGGAUGUAUCUAUGCAGCAGUUUACUAUUUUAGUGCUUGCAGGAAUUGGUAUGCUUAAAUUUUGGGCUUAAAUUGUGUGAAAAUAAUCAAAGUGAUAUGCAAAUUAAUUCAAGCCACAUGAGGAAAGAAUAUCCUUUUUUUUUUUUUUCAGCUUAUGUUACAUGUUUCUGUGUAUGGCAUAGGUAGUUCGAAGUGAGAGUAGUGCAGAUAUGUGGGGAUUAUAUGCAAGGUGGCUUAAAAAUAAAGGAGAUCUUACAAUGUGCUCUGAAGCCCUCUUAAAGCAAGUCAGAUCAUAUCAGGUUUCUCCAUAAACCUCAUCAUCUUAUAAUAAGUUAGCAUUAUGUUUUACUUUGAUGUUGAUGGAAUUUGUUAAUGCUAAUAAAAUUUUGUUAAUCUCUCUCUCUCUUUCUUUUUUAAAGAAGGCAAAGAAAAAGCUUUGUGAUUUCAUUUUUGUUUUCUAAAUUUGUUAUCUAAAGGAAUGACAAGUUUACAAUUCAGCCUCUGUGUGUGUGUGUGUGUGUGUGUGUGUGUGUGUGUGUGUCUGUGUCAGGGAUCUGAUUUGUGGAAAGAUAGAGAUCGGUUUAAAAGGUUUUCAUAUGCAUCCUUGGAACUUUGUAAGGUUUACAUGGAAAUUUCUUCCUCUUCUGGUAGCCGUCGAGAACUCUUUACUGCUGAGAUGCACCUGAAGAACGUACUUAAACAAGUAAAACACCUUAUAAUUCGAUAUUUAAGACACUUACAGUUGGUUUAAAGAUUGCAUUUUCCAUUUCUUUUUUUGACUGGUUCAGGGUAAAACUUUUUCUCACUGUGUUAGAGUGCAUUUCUGUUAUUAUAUAGUUUCUUAGAAGAAAAUGCACUUUUUGGAAUCUCAGGCUGAAGGAUUUUCUGACAUGGAAGAGUUCAGGGAUCUUCACGCUUGCCUUGAUGAACUGAAGACAAAACUCCAAUCUGGUCCCGUGGCUACCUAAGUAUCAGGAAUGUGCUAUUUUUGAAAUUUAGUAACAAGGUUAAAUCUGCAACAAAAAAUUAUUUUAGUUCGUACUGUAGUGGAGACCUUAAGCAUGACUGAGUAUCUUGUAUUGUUGUAUCACCUUUUCUGUAACAAAACAGUCUAGUUUUAUUAUUUUUGUAUUUUCGGUGCUGUAACUAAUCUCAUUUGCCAAUGUAAAUAUAUGGCUUCAAGUUCUUUAAAUGUAACAUCAAAUGUUGUUUUCAACCUCUGUUCUUUUAUGUAUUGCUUACAUGCCGUGAUUUCAUUAACCUCAAUUUAAGAAAAAUUUCAUAUCAUUUUUUUCUGCUUUUCUUUUAUCAUUUAAAAACAACACACACACACAUAUAAGCAAAGAAGCAACUGAAAGUUAUCUUCAUGUGAGAAUGAAAACUUUUCAGCAGCAUAACCCUUUCACUGUUCAAUUCCAAACAUGUUCCUCAACAUGAUAACAAAUUCGCAGACCUUUUCUGGGUCUGGAAGGAUCCUCGCAACAGUUUCUCUUUGCAUGCACUCAUUCUCAACCUUAAAUCCCCCAAAUUUCUCAACCGCGUAAAACCAACAAGUCAGUGGAAUGGCAAUGACAUCAACGAAUCCAAAGCUAUCCCCGCCAAAGAAAUCCUUCUCCCCUAAAGCUCCCACAAGUUGCUUCAAUAUCUCUAUAAAUUCAUUCUUCGCCGUCCCUGGGACCUUGCCCUUGCUUUUCCAUAUGUUGCAUACUGCAUCGAUUACCUGCCAAAAGAGUGGUGUCAUCUUUGCAUUUAGAAAGAUACAAACAUUUACACUUGAGAAUUAUAGACUGACCUUCUUGUCAAUAAAAUCUGCCCAGAACCUUGCCUUAGCUCUCUCAGAAGCACAGGAUGGGAGAAGUGGUGGCGAAGGCCAAGUCUCGUCAAUGUAGUUAACUAUAACGGUGGAUUCACACAAUGGUUUCCCAUCGUGUAGCAAAACUGGGACUUUCUUGUAGAUGGGGUUUGAUUUGAGCAGCAGGUCACUCUUUGCCCCCAAACAAGUUCUCAGCUCUGGCUCAUAUUCAACUCCUUUCUCAGCCAAUGCAAUCUUUGCCCAACAGUCCAAAAGAACAACCUCUCCCUUUGACAAAUUCACUUUCUUUGUUCUUGUUUCUUUUAGUUGGCUGAUAGUAAUUAAACCUUGAGUAUCAAGGUUAAUUGGCAUUUAUAAAGGAGAAAAGAUGAAAUUCCCAAAGUUUGUGUCGCAAUCAACUUUUGUUCGUUGGCACUUCCUUAAAGGAUGUGUUUGAGGGAAAUACUCCGACGAGACCAGACGUGAUGAGCAGAUGUUUAGUGGCAGAAUUCUGCGAGCAGGUAUGUCCUGUAAGAGCCAGGUAGCAGGGGAACAGGGGCAGGAAUAUCCUGCUCAUCCACGAGCACGUCAUCUGCGAGGCCAAUUUCCUGUAAGAGGCAUAAAGCCAUUCCUGCUGUAUUCUCGCUGAGGGUUGAUUCGAGGAGACCCGGUCAACGACAGUUGGCGAGGCAUGCUCUCCAGCCCGAGAAUCUAGGCACGAAGGCCACGCAACCACCCAUGACUACGGAAAUGGGGAAUCCACGUUCGAGAGGUGGGAGGAUAACGGGCGUAGACUGCGGAAAACUGGGAUUCAGAGGAAGCCUAUAAAAAGGUAGCCAACGAAGGUAAAAGGGUUAGCAUUUUUGAGAUUAGAAGAGAGCUAAAGAAAUUCUAAAGAAGAGCAAACUACGAAAAAGCCAUAAGAUUUGUGGCAAACAUUCCCAGAACCCCUAUAUCUGACUUGAGCGUCGGAGGGUUUGCGCCGGGAAAACAACCGGCGUACUCUGACUUGUCUGUGUGCGCAGGAACCUCUGGAGAAGAAGCCUUACGAGGAGACCUCCUGGUCGUGGUGAAGUUGAUCGAGCAGAGAGCCUGGUCGUAGAACGAGGAGAACCAGAAUCUCGCAUCAAUAGGAUGUGGCAUUGUUCUUAUCAUUUCUUAGUUUUUGAAGCUUACUGUUUUACUUGGCUUUCAACAUGCACAAGAACAAGUUUGUCUUGUGCAUGCGGAGUUUACUAUGGACAAGCCGAAUCGUAAGUAACCAUUUACACUAAUCAAUCGGUAUUGUCCAGUGAAAAUAAGUAAUGUAAAAAGUGUCUAGGAUUUUUCCUAAUAUUUCUCAAAAUAGGCUCAUUAAGCCCAAUUCUGGUGCUAGAUUGGUUCAACUUUGAAUCAAACUUGGAAACAUUUUUCUUUAGAUUAUUAUUAUUAAUUUAGAAGAGUCAAAAAGCUAAGAGUAUCGUUAGUAAAUGUCAAACAUGUGUAAUAUCACAUAUCACUAGUCAGUGAGUUUCGUAAACUUUCCUAAUUAAGAAGACACGUUUUGAGUUGUAAAUUCUAACACAAUAUCUAUUCAGUUGUUUAACUUGGAAUAUUACAAUUAUAUCAAUAUUGUUUGAUGUGGGCACACAACCUUGCGUCUUCUUAGUUAGGACAGCCAAUUAAAUCCACUUCUUAGCGAUGCAGGGGAUGAUACAUAACUUGUAUGUGCACGUUGGCGGAGUAUCCCAAUUAUGCACUCAUUUGUCUUCUUGUGUUUUAAAAAAUCUAUUGUACUGGAUAUACUGUAAAUUUAUCAAAUUGCUUGUUAUAAUGCUUCUAUUUGCGUUGUUAUUCGAGUUGUCAUUUUGAGUUUUAUUUUAUUUUUUCUUUAAACAUAAUUAAUUUGAAAUGUUCUUUAAUUUUCAUUACACUUGAGAUCAUCAAAUAAGUGAUUCGUGAACAUAAUUGCUGUUGUUACUCGAAUAAGAAAAGAAAACAACGAUUUGCUAAGGUAAAAGUAAAUGGAAAUGAGAGCACGUGAUUUUGCAAAGAGAACUUCACACUAUCAUAAAACCGAAAACAUUACAAUUUAAAGCUUAAAUAACAACACACCAAAGCCAAAUAACGACCCACUAGAAUCACGGUCCAAAGAUUGUGCCAUGAUCACAACAUGAACUACAAAAAAAUAACCAACACCAGAAAAGUAGGAACAGUUUAAAACUUUCAUUUAAGCAGCAUUUAUGAUUCCACAUCAGCAGUCCUAAACACAUCUUCUAACAAUUGCAACUGUUCAUUUUUGCUUCUGCCAAUAAGGAGUUGAUAGUAACCAAAGAUUGUUGUCUUUAUUGUCAUUUGAGAGUAACCAAUUACUUACGCAGUCACGUAAGUUGCUGGUAGGCCUCGCACAUUUUUGACAAGUUUGUUUCUGAAGGAAAGCAGCUGAGCCGCAACCUCUUCCUUGUUCAUUCGUUCUCUCGGCAACUCUGAAGAGCAAAUGACUCCGAUUUCCAGUACUGAAACCAAGCACUCUUUACCACCAAAACUUCUAGUCCUUUGUUUGUGAGCAUUGGCCUCGCUUGUCUCCCCUUCUUCUCUUUCUACAAGAAGCACUGGAUUAACAAUUUCAGCGAGUCUUUCAGGAAGAGCUUCCUUGACAAAAUUAUGUAGGGUUAGAUUGCCUGUAAACAUCUCAUUCGUCGGCCCCUUUCCUGUAAACAUUUCCAGCAAAAGAAUGCCAAAACUGUACACAUCUCCACUUGUUGAGACUUCGCUCCCCAUUCCGUACUCUGCAAUUCGAAAAUUAAAAUUGUUGGUUCAACUAGUAAAAUCUCCGAGGAUUGAAAAACAAGUUGAUUAAAUUAGAGUAUUUACCUGGAGCAGCAUAACCAACAGUUCCUUUUACUCCAACAGAGCUUGAUUGAUUAGAUGACAAGUUAUUGGCGGCUUCCGGAAGGAAUUUUGCUAAUCCAAAAUCACUUACAUGGGCAGUCAAUUCACCAUCCAGAAGAACAUUGCUUGGCUUGAGAUCACAAUGGACUAUUGGAGUUUCACAAUAAUGAUGAAGAUAUUCCAAUGCGGAAGCAACAUCAACGGCAAUACUCAGUCUUUGCAGGAGAUUUAGAUUCCUAGGUGCGUCACGGUUUGGAUGCAACCAUUCCUCCAGGCUCCCGUUAACCAUCAACUCAUAAACUAAAGCCUCAAAAUCAUUCCCUUGGAAGUCAACACUUACACAGGAAGUUAUUAUUUUGACGAGAUUCCGAUGCCUAAUACUCCUCAAGGCUUGACACUACGCUAUGAAACUCUUUGAAGCUCCACGAUGUUGAAGAUUAAGCACCCUAACUGCCACCAGCGUUUCAUGAUCAUCGUGAUCCAGGAUUCCUUUAUAGACCGAACCAAAGCUACCGGCACCAAUCAAAUUUUCCAAAGAGAACCCAUCAGUUGCUUUGAACAGAUUCUGAUAGGACACUCGUAAAACCGAAGCCAAUAAUGUUGAUGGAGGAGUGGACGGCUCCCUUUUUGUUUUGCUCCACCAGGAAGUAAUUAUCAAACACGACAUCCCUGUCAGGAACAAAAUUCCUGUAACUAUAGGAAUAAUCAGUUUCAGGGAACGGGAACGUGAUUGCUUUGAUUCUUUGGUGGAGCAAGUACAUAAAUGCAACUCAGAUAUGCCACCACAAAGGUUAUCAUUUCCGUCAAGAGAUAUAGCACUCGAAUUGCUGAAGACUCCUUUUAUUGGUACUUCACCCUCAAAAUGAUUAAAAGACAGAUUUAAAUUCUGCAAAAAGAAAAAGUUUUCCAGAUAUUUUGGAAUCCGGCCAGACAAAUUGUUCCGCGAAAGAUCAAGAUUCUCAAUGCCUCUCAAAGAACUGAAUGAUGAAGGGAUAUUCCCCUGAAAGAAAUUACCGUUCAUGACGAGUUGUUCCAACCUAAUGCAACUUCCUAUACUGCUUGGAAUUUGACCAGACAAUUUGUUCUCCGAUAUAUCUAUAGCACCCAGAUUUUUCAAGAUACCAAAAUUUGAGGGCAAAGGACCAUUCAAUUGGUUUUGAGAUAGAUCGAGAUAGAUUGACAAGGAAGAGAGACCGAUCACUUCAGUGGGUAUGGUACCAGUGAGGUUGUUAUUAGAGAGAUCUAAUAAUAUCAAGUUUUGGCAUUUCCCUAGACUUGAUGGAAUGCUUCCCUCUAACAUGUUUUCCGCAAAAUUUAGUGUGAUUAACAAUGUCAAAUUUCCUAUAGAAGAUGAAAUUUCCCCCCAAAACUUGUUCCCCUCCAACCUCAACGUCUGAAGCUUUUGAAGAUCUCCUAUACUUCCCGGAAUUCGGCCUGUGAAUUGGUUUUCCUCAAGAUAUAAAAGCUCCAAGUUAACAAGGUUUCUUAAUCCACUUGGGAUAUUUCCGAACAAUUGAUUGUUUUCAGCUGAUAACAUUCUAAGUCGGGUUGACAAGUUCCCCACAGUUUCAGGUAACAUUCCACCAAAAUUGUUAUCACUAAUUAACAGUAGCUCUAGUCUAGAAGCGUUGACCAAAGAAUUGAAAAAUUCCAAGUCAUCUUUUUCCCCAUUUCCUAAGUGAUUCACAGAAAUACUAACCACUUCGAGUUUAUGUAAAUUUUCCAAACUAGGCACCUUUCCACUGAAUCCAUUCAUCGCGAUUAUAAGUUGCAUUAGAUUUGAGGCAUUGGAUAUUGAAGCAGGAAUAGGCCCGGUAAACUGAUUAUCACCAACGUUUAGAUAUUCAAGAUUAGGAAGAGUGAAGCCUAAGUCUGAUGGAAGGCUUCCUUGAAGUUGGUUGACAGUAAAAUCAAAAUCACUAAGCGAAGACAAGUUGUAGAUUGAGAAGGGGAUUUCACCUGAUAGCUUAUUUGAAUCAAAUGAUAUAAAACGCAUCCUCUUAAGCUCGCCCAGGGUUUCAGGAAUUUGUCCUACAAAUUGAUUUAUAGUUGCUGAGAGGACCUGGAGUGAUGAUAAAUUGCCGAAGGAUGAUGGGAUUUCUCCUGACAAAUUGUUGGAGUGUAUUACGAGAAUCCGGAGCUUUGAUAAGGAGCCCAGUUUCCCUGGAACUUUCCCCGCAAGCUCAUUACUGCCUAACCAGAGGGAUUCAAGGUUAACGCAAUGCGAUAUGUUGUCAGGAAUUUGACCUCCAAAUGUAUUGUUGUCCAGCCAUAAAAAUCGUAACCUGAACAGAUAUCCAAUCUCUUGAGGGAUUUCGUUGCGGAAAAUUAGAAUUAGAUAUAUUGAUUUGGAAUGUUUGUUUACAGAGAAAAUCUGAGCAAGAGAGAAAGAAAAUUUAUUCUUGUUAUUAUUAACAAAAUGGGAUCACCAGCUUAUAUAUGUUGCUUGCUGGAAUCUCUUUUACGCACUCAUCACUUUCACGUGUAUUUCACCUUUUUAGAGAAGCUAAAUAACAAACUAAACAGACUAACGACUACUUUGCUGACUGGACUGCCACGUCACCAUAACUGAAUUAACUAAACUAAUGCUGUUAACACAUAUUCUUAUCAUCCCCCCUCAAGCUUAAGUUCGGGGAAGAACAUUAAGCUUGGUACGAAGAUAAGCAAACUGAUCAAAGAAGAGGGGCUUGGUGAGAAUGUCUGCAAGUUGUUCUGAACUAGAAACAUGACUGAUAGUCAGUUGCUUCUGUGCAAUGUGCUCUCGAAUAAAAUGAAGAUCCAACUCAAUAUGUUUUGUACGAGAGUGAUACUUGGGGUUGCUAACUAGUGCCUCAGCACUCUGAUUAUCACAAUACAAAACUGGACUGUGAGUAGGCUGAAUAUGCAGCUCUUGAAGUAAAUAAGUCAGCCAAAGAAUUUCAGAGGUUGCUGAAGCAAGAGCCCGAUAUUCGGAUUCUGCUGAGGAAUGAGAAACAAUUGUCUGUUUCUUAGAAGACCAGGAAAUAAUGUUGUUGCCUAAGAAGGCACAAUACCCUCCAGUAGACUUUCGAUCAUCUGGAUCAGCUGCCCAAUCAGCAUCAGAAAAUGCUGUUAAAGUCACUGAUCCUGAAUUCCAAAGUGUGAAGUAGCUUGUAGAUAUCGAAGAACCCUUUUGCAAGCUUGCCAGUGUGCAAUAGUUGGAUGAGCUAGGAACUGACUGAGUUUGUUUACAGGGUAAGCUAUGUCAGGUCUGGUAAGCAACACAUAUUGAAGAGAGCCUACAAUGCUUCGAUACAAGGAGGGAUUAUCAAAGGCUGUACCACUGUCCUUUGUAAGCUUAGCACCUGGACUCAUAGGAGUGUUAAAACCUUUGCUGUCAAGCAUAUUUGCUUUGCUAAGGAUAUCACCAAUGUAUUUGGUUUGAGAUAAAUGCAGUCCCUGAACAGAGGGUGUCACUUCAAUACCAAGGAAGUAGUUAAACUCGCCCAGAUCUUUGAGUGCAAAUUCUGAAUGAAGAUAUUGAAUAACAGCCUCAAGAUGUUGAGAAUUAGAACCAGUAACCAAAAUGUCAUCAACAUAUAUAAGAAGGAGCACAAUAUCAUUGCCAAUAUGUUGAAUAAACAUAGAAGUAUCAGAUUUGGAAGAAUGAAAACCUUUAUUGAGUAAGGAACCCUUCAGCCUCUCAUACCAAGCCCGAGGAGCUUGUUUGAGACCAUAUAAGGCCUUGUUUAAUUUGCAAACAUAAGAUGGAUGUGCAGAGUCUAUAAAACCUUGUGGCUGAUGCAUGAACACAUCUUCUUCAAGCAUGCCAUUUAGAAACGCAUUAUUAACAUCCAGCUGUCUAAUUUGCCAAUGAUGCAUCACUGCGAGGCUGAGUACAACUCUGACUGUGCAAGGUUUCACAACUGGGCUGAAGGUCUCAAAGAAGUCCACUCCUUGAGUUUGAUGGUAACCCUUGGCAACCAACCUAGCUUUAUACUUGGAAAUGCUGCCAUCAGGAUUAUACUUCACCCUAUAGACCCACUUAUUGCCAACUAUUUUAGCAGCACUGUCAGAGGGUACUAGAGUCCAGGUUUGGUUCCUUUGUAGAGCAUCAAAUUCCUCCUUCAUAGCAUGAAACCACUUAGGAUCAUGCAAGGCACUUUUUACACUGGCUGGCACAAGAUUUUCAGUAGCUGCCAGAUAUGAUUUGGGUUUGAAAACACCAGCUUUAGCUCUAGUAAUCAUUUGGUGAGAUGGUAAAGAAGAUGAGUGAGGUGGUUCAGCUGAAGAAUGAAAGGAAGGAGAAGGCUGUGCUGAACUGGAACUUGAUGGAGAAGACAUUGCUGGCUGAGGAUUAGGAGAUGAUGACUCUACAGUGCUACUGUCAACCUGAGCAGAACUUUGAAGAAAGGAAAAUUGUACUGGUGAAGAUGAGACAUCAACAGUGGAGACUGAUGAAAUAGAGUGUUUCAAAAACAAUUCUUUGUAAGGAAACUCAGUUUCAUUAAAAACAACAUGUCGAGCAACAAACACUUUACCAGAGGAAUUUAAACAUUUAUAACCCUUGUGAAGGGGACUGUAACCAAUGAAAAUGCAUUUUUGAGUGUGAAAGUCAAGUUUAUGCUGGUUAUAAGGUCUAAGGAAUGGAAAACAGGAGCAACCAAAAACUCUGGGAAACUGGUAGUCAGGUAGUUGAUUAUGUAACUUCUGAAAUGGAGAUAGAUUGUUUAGAACUGAGGUGGGCAUCCUGUUAAUGAGGAAAGAGGCAGUGUGAAAGGCUUCCCACCAAAAGGAAAGAGGCAAUUGGGAUUGAGCUAGAAGUGUUAAACCUGUUUCAACUAUGUGCCUGUGUUUCCUCUCAACAACACCAUUUUGAUGGUGUGUGUAUGGACAGUUAUACCUAAAGCAUAUACCCUCUUGCUGAAGAAAGGUUUUAAAGGCUAUGAAUUCACCACCCAUAUCUGACUAUAGUGUUUUGAUAGACAAGGAAAACUGUUUUUCAACAAGAAGUUUGAAGUGUUUGAAGGUUUCUAAUGCUUCUGAUUUUGUUGUGAGAGGAAAGAUCCAAGAAUAUCGUGUGAAAUCAUCCACAAAGGAGAUAUAAUAUCUGUAUCCAUUCAUAGAAUAUUCAGGAGCUGGUCCCCAUAAGUCUGUAUAUAGAAGCUCAAGUGGUGCUUUUGUUUUAAUGGUAGUAACAGAAAAAUGAAGCUGAUGCAUUUUGCCAUAUUGACAGGCAUCACAAAAACUAAUGAAUUGAUUUGAAAAACAAUGCGUAGAAAGACUCUUAAUAAUUGUUUGCAAAGCAUGUUUAUUAGGAUGACCAUAUCGAUUAUGAAGUAACUGAACUGACAUCUUUCCAGUCUAGAAGAAUUUCCAGAAACAGAAUAUGCAAAAGAUUCAGUAGUAUUUACAUUGUGCAACUUUGACACAUGAUUAUUUGACUCUGGUAGAGAGUUUACAACUUUAUUAUCAACACACAAAGACAGCAUGGAACUUGGUUUAAAAGAAUUUGGAUUGCAAUCUGCAGAAUGGGGAGAGAACACAUCAAGUGACAGUAGCUUGUAAAGACCAUCUUCAACAAUCCCCUGUGCCAGCAAAAUUCCCUUCUUCUUGUCCUUAAUAAAACACAUGGUAGAAUAAAAUUCAAUGAUUAUGUUGUUAUCCAAAAGAAGUUUAGAUAUACUGAUGAGAUUUUUGGUUAUUUUGGGAACACACAAAGUAUUGGUUAAGGAUAAACAGGUGCCAAAAGAAGUAGAAAGAUAAGUGCAGCCAAUAUGUGUGAUAGUGAGACCUUGACCAUUACCAACAAACAACAAUUGAGUGCCAUUAUAAGGGUUACCUUCAACCAAAUUUUGCACAUUGUUGGUGAGAUGAUGAGUGGCUCCACUGUCCAGAUACCACCCCUGAUCAGCAACUCCUUCUGAAGUAGCCAUAUAAGCUGUUCUUGGCCCUUGAUUUGGCAUUGGAGAAUUUGGAAUAAAGUUUCUGUUAAAUCUGUUUCUGCAUCUGCAGCUGAGUGGUUUGGUUUGAAACAUAUUUGGCAGGUGAUAUUUCCUCUGCCACCUCCUCUACCAAAACCACCAGAGGAUGCUGGAUUUCUACCAUUAAAGCCACCAUUUCCAAUAAAUCCACCAGUAUUACCAUUAAAUCCACCAGAGUUUGAGCCUCUACCUUGAUUUCCAAACCAGCCUCUCCCUGAAUUUUGAUCCAUGAAGCCACCUCUGCCAGAUCCAUAACCUCCUUUGUUGUUGAAAUUACCAUUUCUAUUUCUAUUUACAAAAUUUCCAUUCCAAUUGCCCUGAUUAUUAUUAUUCCAAUUAGCAUUGUUUCCUGACUUCUUUUGAUUAUUGCCAGUAUUAGCCACAUUAGCACUAAAAUUCAACUUAGUUUCCUUAGCUACACCAGAAUGAUUACUCUCAAGCCUAGCUUCAUGAGAUAGCAGCAUAGAAUAAGCCUCAUUGAUACUUAUUUUAAGAGCAUUUGCUUCAAUAUAAACCACAACAGGGUAAUAAGACUGUCCUAGACCUGAGAUCAAAUGUGUAAUGAAGUCAAGAGAAGAAACUGAACUUCCAGCCAUUGCUAAUUCAUCAGUUACUGACCUCAGUUUACAAAAAUAUUCAGUAAUGGACAUGGAUCCUUUCUUAAGAUUGUUUAACAACAUCUUUAAAUGCACUUUCUUUGCUGCUGUUUCAAAUCCAAAUUGUUCCUCUAGACUUAUCCAAAGCUCUCGAGAGGUUUUAGAAUUUACCACAAUGCUUAAGAUCUCCACAGUGAUUGAAGACAGAAGCCAGCUCAAGAUCAUCUGAUCUUGCCUUUUCCAAGUGAUGCAAGCAGGAUUCUCUGAGACAACCACUGCAUCUGUGCUUGUUGAUUCUCCAGUCAGCAGCUGGUUUGGACAGGUACGUGAUCCAUCAAGAAAACCUUCCAGAUCAUUUGCUCGAAUGGCUGAAAGGAUCUGAGAUUUCCAUAUGGUGUAAUUCGAUCUGUCAAGCUUGAUUGGUGUGGUGAAAGUAAAUGUUGAGAUUGCGGAAGAGACAUUUGUACUAAGACUUGAAGAGGCCAUGAUCAUGAAGUGAUUCAAGGCUCUGAUACCAAAUUAGAAUUAGAUCUAUUGAUUUGGAAUGUUUGUUUACAGAGAAAAUCUGAGCAAGAGAGAAAGAAAAUUUAUUCUUGUUAUUAUUAACAGAAUGGGAUCACCAGCUUAUAUAUGUUGCUUGCUGGAAUCUCUUUUACACACUCAUCACUUUCACGUGUAUUUCACCUUUUUAGAGAAGCUAAAUAACAAACUAAACAAACUAACGACUACUUUGCUGACUGGACUGCCACGUCACCAUAACUGAAUUAACUAAACUAAUGCUGUUAACACAUAUUCUUAUCACGGAAGCUAUUGUUUUUGAGAUCUAACACUCUGAGAAAACUUAAAUUACCAAUGUGAGGCGACAGAGACCCCUGCAAGAGUAAAGAUGGAAGAAGUAAUGCAGUCACCCUUUGGUGCCGUCGACUGCAAGUGACACCUUUCCAUUGACAAAAGUGCCUGGAAUAGUUCCAUGAACUCAAAACCUCAAGAGGGUCAUGAGUAACUUUGGCCUUGAAUUCAAGCAAUGCAAGUUGAUCAGUUUCAUUUCUUUUGAGCAUAUAAUCGGUUGACUGCAAGCUGAAGCUGAAGCAACAGAAAAUAAAGAAACAAAUGCUUGCAAUGAUUGAACUCGUCAUGUUUACAAAAUCCAUUUAACUGCCGAAAGGAAAUUAAAAUGAUAAAACUUUUAUAGAGGUCGGUAAGAUAAACUAUGUUUGUAUAUUUUUUGCAAUGAUUUAUGGACUCUGUCUUUGAUGCUCAAAUGUGAACCGGCUGGCACCGUGACAGUGAAACUAAAACUUUUUGUUUUUCUAAUAAUAUUAAUUAUCAUAUUUAUUACUAUUGUUAGAAUAAUAUAUUGCAGCUUUAAAGAAAGACUCACCAUACUCCUUUUUGAGUCUCUGUCAGUUUCCAGCAUUUGGUCAUUUUUUAUUUCACCGCUUAAUCCACAGUAAAAUAUAAAACAAUUUAAUCAACAAUAUUGAAAAGAAAAAAAGUAGGACAAGAGAAAGGUAAAUACUGUUAAAUGAGUUGGGAAACGUUCAAAGCACGAAGGGAAUUAGAAAAGAAAAAAAGUAGGAUAAGAAAGUUAAGUAUGAUGGAUGGAGUUUCACAUUACUGUUAAAUGACUUGGGAAAGGUUUAAAGCACGACAGGAAUCAACGUUUCACAACGCUUUUUAGAUUUUUUUCUAAAAGGAAAAAGAUAUUCUCACAAAAGUAAGUACAAAAUUUCACACAAAACGGUGCAUUUAAAUAAAGUAAAAUUGCAAAAAUACUCAAAAUAUAUAAGAUUGAUUAUUUACACCCUCUUUGUUUAUCUUGGGUGAACUAUUUCUGGAAAAUGGGCAGAGCCUAGUUUGGUUCAAAAUUUGAAAUAACAAAAGGUAUAUUGGUGGAAAACCAGCGACAUAUUUUCUAAUGGUUAACCUAAAUGGGAAUUAUAUCGGUUUGUACUGUCAAUAUAACAAACAACUAACUAAAUUAUUUAGAAGUCAUGAAUAAAAAUGGAUAGAACAAGAAGUAUAUUGCUAUUCGAUGCAAGAAGUUGGAUUAUUAAACCAUAAUAAAAUAAUAUAACUACACAUGUGCAAUAUUAUUCACUAGAAAGAUUUAAUUUAGAUAUUAAACAGUUAGUGCAACUGUAUCGAUCUCAUGCUCAUUAAUUUAGAGUUUGAGAACUCAUAAUAAAAGAAAAUAGAAAUUUAAACAUAGAUCCUAUCCUAUUAAGUAGAAUCAGAAAAGAAGUUUACAGAAAUAAUUUUUCAUGGAAAUAAUGAAAUAUUAAUCCUGUUGAUGGAUAUAUUGGUGAAUACAUAAUAGAACAUUAUAAUAGAUUUUUAUCUAUCAAGCAAAGGGAAGAAUAUAAUUGGAAUAACAAAAGAAUUAGAAGUAAAUAGUAAUAUGCUAAUAGGAUAUAGAGGAUUAAUAUUAAUUAUCAUAUUUGUGUGUGUAUGUAUAUAUAUAUAUUUUAAAUGAUUUAGGGACUCUGUACUUGAUGCUGAAAUGUGAACCGGCUGGCACCGGGACAGUGAAACUAGUACUUUUUUUCCCUUAAAGCACCACAGGAAUCAACGUUUCACAAAGCUUUUUUUCCCUUUCUGAAAUAUUCGGUGCAGUCUCCCCCAGAUUUUGCUAGUGCAACCAAGAGACGUCAUGCCGUUAUCAAUUAUAAACUGUAAAUGACAUGUUGUUUUUACAAGACAUAUUAUGCGUCGAUACAUAUCUAUGAAUGGGUUCAAGAAAUUCCGAAGGUUGCGAAACAAUAAGAUUCAUUUAAUUAUGUGGGUUUGGCCACCAAUUUAGCAUUAGGAACUUAUUGUUUAGGAAGCUAUGGUGGGUUUCGUAGUGGGACUUAUCCUGUUUAAUGCAUUUGGUGAUUUUAAACCAACAUAUAUAUAAUUCCAUUAUAAAACUCAUCAAACCUUCUAAAAUAACAUGUUGAGAUAGUGUGCUAGAUCCAUAUAAAUAUUCAUUUCCAUUGAUAGUUUAAUGGGCAAAGCCUUUUGAAUUCUCCAUGUUAUCAAGUUAAUUUUUGCUGGAAAAUGCAAUCCGGAUAUGAAUAGAAUUUUUUGUGCAAUCAAAUUUUCUAUGUUGACACAUCCUCUGGAACUUUCCAUAACUUUUAUGGGGAAGCUUUAAUUUCUUAGUUGUUGAUUUCGAAUAAAAAAUAAACUUAACUUUAAAAUUACAAUUGUAAUUAUAAAAUAUUUACUGAAUACAUUAGUGUUAAUACUACAAAUUGUUCCAUUAAAAGUCUCCCAGAAAGGAAGAAGUGACUUAAAAAAUUAAAAGAAUGCAGGAGCUGAAGUUGGCAAUUUUGUAAAUUGCAAUGGCAAUUGUGGCCUAGUAAAAUCCCUCAAUAAGUCACAGCACUAGCAAUUUCGUAAUAUACAUUAGUGGCAAUUUUGUAAAAUUGAAGUAGUGAUAGUUUUGCAAAUAAAAGUAAAAACUUUUUCCCUAAAUUCGGCUGAGCUAAAAGCCAGCUUAGCCCACACUCUCCUUCGCCACUGGUUGACGAGCUCUUCCUUCAAUUUUUGAACUUGAAGUGAUGCCCCAUCGAUCAAAUAUUUAAGCAGAAUGAUGACGGAGUUACAAACAAUCAAAUAUGAUCCUAAUGAUUCUUUUUAGAGAGUCACCUGUACGUUGACGUGUUUAAUUGAUGUUUAUUUAACCAGAAAUUGAAGUUUGAUCCUGAUUAAUUAGAUGAGAACACACAUUCAUGAGUAAUUACUUAAAAUUAAAUUAAUCAAAAAUAGUAUAAAUACAGGAGAAAAUCGACCAUAUGCGUGCAGACACCACAAUCGAAUUAUAUAUAUCACCGCCGCACAUAAAUCUUAUUCCAAUGAUAUAUGAUUAAUUAAUUAAUUUUUUUAAUAACAAUUAAAUUGUAAUGUCAAUUGUCCACAUAAGAUUUUUUUUUUUGUUGAUGAAAGUUAGCAAUUUUUUUUCCAUUUUUUUAAAUAAUAGUUGUUAAUACAAAUCAAAAAGAUAUUAGCACUUGAGAUCAGGGUCUACUUGAGUUAGAAUUUUUUAUUAGAAAAGUUAUUAGCCAGCGAUGAAAAAUAAAGAAGUAACACAAGAUAAAGAGUAAAAUGAGAGAGUAUGUAUUAUAAAAAAUUUUUAUCCAUUUCAAGUGUGUACCAAACAAAGAGAUGAACUCUCCUUUCAUAAUUACAUAAUUAUUACAUGAAAUUAAUGAAAAUAUUAUGGAUUAUAAUUCCUUGCGAGAUAGUGGGAGUUAUAGAAAAGUCAAGAGUUGUUAGUGGAAGAUAAGAGAGAGAGUAAAAGAUAUAUGUUAUGAAGGUUUACAUUUAUUUUAAUAAAUUCAUAGUAUUUUUUUCCUUAAAUAAUAGGGUGUGGAGAACAAUUGGAAGGACUUUACGUGUGUGUGUAUAUAUUGACAUAGAAAUUGCAGGACGCGUAGUUUAGCGUUUCAAAUAGGUGCUCUCAGUUGGAAUUAUAUAUAGAACAUUAUUUAUGGCAAACAGGUGCUCUCAGGUGCUCUCAGUUUACGGCUUUUUACGGCAAACAGGUGCUCUCAGUUUUCAAAAUCUCGAGCGCGCGGGUUAUUUUUCAUUACCUUUAUCGCCGAAAGGCUGUUUUAACCAACUAAGAACUAAAAGCUAAAACCCAAAACCCCCCUCUUGUUCGUUUCCAGGGACUUUACCUUGAUGGCCGAAAAGCAACUGGAAAUCCUCCGCGGGUACGAGCUGCGGCUCUUGCCCUGCACCCUCGCUCCCCCACCGUCGGACCUUCGCAUUCAAUCGCAACCGUUGAACGAAGAAAGCCAAUGCUCUCUCCUUCCACUCCACGAGCACAUCAACAGCCUCAUCAACUCCAUCGAGUCCGGCCACUAUCUCCAGGCUCUGUCCUCCGACGCGGCUAAACACGCUCUCGACAAGCUCGAUUUCGUCGACAUCAACGACUCAGCCGAGUGUGCCGACCGCGUCUACUCCGAGCUGCUCCAGCUUGUCGAAGCGUUUAUAGUGAACGAUUCCGAAAAUGACGUGGAUAAGGCUUGUCAAGUUAUUCUGCUCAUGUGUCUUUCAAUUGCUGCUCUUUUUUGGUUCACUCAGUGUAACGUGACUGGGUGAGUUGCUUAUUUAUAAAUUUUUAAAUAAUUGCAAUUAAUAUAAUGAAUAUUAAUAAAAAAUUACAAAAAAAAGGUUUAGUGAUGAACGUUUGAACAUGAAUUAAUAGGCCUUUAGUUGAAAUUUGCCAAAGUGUCGGUUUCCACUAGAAGUUUCAACUUUAGAAGGCAACGAAUUGAUAGAGUGGGAGAAUUGGGCGCGUUAUCAGCUCAUGUCUGUUGGCUCUGACUUGCUGGGAAAGUUCUCCUAUCUUCAGGUACUCAGUCUAUCGAAAAAUGAAUAGAUUCUAUUGCUUAGACAGUGUUAAUGUUAAUAUUAUCUUUUUUAACUUAUUUUACAUUUUGUGAUCUUUUUGUAGUAUAUAGUUUUUGCCAAAAUGUUGAUCAUGAAGACAAAAGAUUUGCUGUCUGAUGCAACUGUGUUGCCUGUGAAUGGGAUUAGAACCAUUUCAUGGUGGCUCACAAGACUCCUACUUAUGCAUCAAAGGAUUUUAGACGAGCAGUUGUCUUCUUUGUAUGAUCUAUUGAAAGUUCUUUGUAUGAUCUAUUGAAAAUUUUUAGGGCUGAGACUUUACAACAUUUUGGCACUUUGGAAAAUGUUAGUACUUAUUGGGGCAACCAGUUGCAUGAUAUCGAUCCUUCAGAGAUUAUUUCAACAUUUCAUUUAGAAGCAGGACUGUAAGAACACAUUUACAGGAGAGUUGAUUCUUGCAGGUGAGUUAUCCUGGGAAAGUUUUAUAUUCGAUGGUCUUAUUUCUGGCUUCAUUAGAAAAGUUUUCUCUUGGAAACAUGUUAUUUCCAACAUGGAACUUGCCUGUAGAACUCUCUCCGUCAUCGAAAAUGAUUUUGUGCAUUGUGUGUAAGGGAGAUGCAAGAACAAAGUUUUAUGUUUGGACUUCAUCAAAAUCUCCCAUUUUUUUAAUGUUUAUUGUUUCAAUCAUUAAACAUUAGUUUGAGUUGUUAGCAGUGGAAUUUGCAUUAACUGAUUACUAACUUCCAUCAUUACCAUUAUUAUAGGACUUCUUCUAUAGUUUCUGCUGCUUUCUAAAAUGCUUUACUGUAUCAGGAAACAUUUUGAAUCAGCUGAAGUGGCAGCUGGUUUCCAGCUUUCGGUUAUUGGGGUUCUUGGUUUCCGUACUGUCCGUCAGGUAAAGAUUGAAUGUGCAUCAUUUAUAAAGUUGUCGGGAGCUUCCUUCUUAGCUUUGAGAUUGCUCCUGCAUAUAGGUAGAACCAAAGGCACAAAUGGUACAUGUUGCAAACACAAGCUCAUCCAGCACUUCUGAUGUCUGCCCUUCAAUAAACCAAGUCAUUCAUACACAUGAUUCUUCGGUGAUGCCUCUGAUGUUUUUGUGGCCCCAAAAUUAUUGGGGAAUAGUCACGAAUCUGAAUCUGGAGUCCAAUGCAUUCACGCUGGUGGCUCAGCAGCCCAUUUAAAGGCAAUCCAACAGGCAGUGAUCUUGUCGAGGUGCCUUCUAAUAGAAAAGAGCUCACGGCAAGAUGAAAUGCAAAGUAAGUUGUUUUAUGGUUGGGCGGUGUGUAGUCCUCUUGUUAAAGGCCAUAAGAUGUUAAGCAUAUUGCUAUUUAAUUUUUAAAUCAUUCUCAGUAAUAAUUCCUUUAGUAGAUUGAUGAUAAGAGAUUGCAUUACAGAUGAUAACUGAGCACAAUUUCUGUAGUUGUAUCCCUGUACAUCCAUCUUAAUAUCCUCAUUAUUCACAUGCCUUUUACGGGUGUUAUUUCUGGAUGCCGAAUGCUUUGUUCCACGUCUGGAUACCAAAUGCUUUGUUCCACAAAGCUGAGCUGGUUGAAAAGCUAGCUGAUGAGGUCAACAUGUCCCUUAAGUAAUUUGAGAAUGAACACUGUGUUCCCGAAAGUCUUACUCUAAUGAUACUUAAAGAAGCAAUGAGAAUGGAUGUUGCAGCAGCUUUGCUGAACUUAACCCCAGUUCCAAAUAUGGAACAUGUGAGAACCGAAAAUGCAUUGUUUUUUUUUUUUUUCUCUUUAUGACUUCUCUAGUUGGGGAAUGUAUUAGAUAUUCACCUAAUCAGUAGGCCUUGAAGGGAUCCCAUGUUAGCCCCUUGAUGUUGGUCUGUAACUAAGUAAAUACUUGACCUUGAAAAAGCUUUUGGAGGCAUCAGUUUCUCUCUGACUGUGUGCUACUUUUUGGAUCUGUUGAUUUGGUCAUUUGCUGAUUUAUAGUUAUUUUUCUGAUUCAGGAUGGGAUAUGGCUCCAUACAUAGAGGCAAUUGAUUCACAGCAGUCGUCAUGCUUCAUUGUAAGUAUAUAUACAAUACAGCAUCAGUUUUUCUUGAUUUUAAAUCUCAUAUUCUGAAGUGGUACUUCUGAUUCUCACAUGAUUUUUCCAUCUUUCAGCUAAAGUUUUUCUGUGAUCUCUUACGUAUUAGAUGGGAGUCCACCCGUAGUCGCACAAAAGGGCGCGCUUUAGAGAUGAUGGACAAACUGGUAUGAUCUGUGAGCCUUUUCUUCUUAAAUAUUUUGUUACCUAAAUCAUUUUCAUUCAAAUUGACAAGAGUUGCCUAUGGAUCUAUAGAAGAUUCCAAACUUUCUGCAGCUAGUACUUUAUUGGACCCAAAAGCUUCUUUGCUUUUUCUAAGCUGCUAAUCAAGACUAGGUUUCUCUCCCUUAUAUCGCUAGAUAUCCCAUUCAUCGUUAGAUUUAGUUGUCUAGAGAGAUUAGGUACUUGCAUCUUUGCUUUUCACUUCACAAGUGAUUUCAUGUGCUAUCCUGUAUUCUGGUCCAAGAUUUUUGAUGGUUGCUUACUAUCAUAUUUUGCUUUGUUUCGGGUUGAGGGCAUUUCUAAUUCUUCUCCCGGUGUGACUCAAAGUAUUCCCUUUUGUUAUGUGAUUUGCGUUCCAACUAUUCCUGCCCUGCGAAAGUAAAACUAUUUCUUCUGCAUCUUUGAAUGAUUGUGAUUUAAUUUUCUUGUCAUUUUGCCAACUAUCAUUAUGCUGUCAUUGUUUCAUAUAUCUUAUUUGAAAUAUGUUGAUUUGGUUAGAGUUUAAUUGCUCUGUUUAUUCUCUUUAUAACCUGUCUAUUUCGAUUUUUCUUGAAUUUAGGGAAUAUGCUAAACUUUUAGUAAGCUGUGGCUUGAUUGGAGAGGCUAUUAAAAUUUUUGAGGAUCUGGAGUUGUGGGAUAAUCUAAUACUGCAACUGAUAUGAUGUCAUAGAUAACCAUUAUCCUAAUCUCUCUGUCUAUCUCUCUCUUUCUCUCUCUUUCGUGUUGCUAUGGGAGUUGGUUUUGUGUAUGAUGUAAAAAACAGCCUAUUGGGGAAGAAAACAGCAGCUGUUGAACUAAUAAAAGCAAGGCUGUCUGAAAAGCCUAAUGACCCUAGAUUAUGGUUUGUUGAUGAGCCUUUUUAUGAUCCAUUUUAUAGUUACUUCUCAUUUCAGUUAAAUCCAUUGUUGAUGUCACUUAUUGCAAUCUAGGGGUAAUUGUUCAUUGGAUGUAAGGAUAUUGUCAGAAGAAAAUGAAACCUUUUAAUUUUAUCUUUUACUUGCUGUAGCCGAUUUAAAAGCUCACUGUGCGUUCUUACUGAUUGCUUUUGGUCUAGCAUUCGAGUCAGUGGAUUUUAUACUAUUCUGACAUUUAUUGUUAGUCUUCUGACGGUUCUGCACCUGGGUCCUAUAUUAUCUUCAGCAGUAUUAUCUAAAAGAUAAGUUUUUGCUGAAGAAUAUUUGCAUUCUAAACUAGAAAAGGAGGGGCCGCCCGGGAGGGGUGUGUGAAGGAAGCAUCAGGAGGCUGUUUUCCAGUUAUCCUCUUCCCUGCCUGCAUUUUAGAUGAUUCUGAUGCACCAGGUGCCGUGAAAUGGUUGAGAAAUACAUACCAUCAAGUGAAUUCUGGAAAUCAUAUCCUUUUUGAGAAUAUUUGGUGCUAGGCAUUUGAAUAUGUGGCCACAAUUUAAACAAUAAAGAUUUUCUGCAUUGAUUUCUUAUAAUGGAUAUAUGCAUGUAAUUAUAAUAUGAUAUCUUUUGAUUAUUGACCCAUUUGUUUAGAAAAAAGGGAAAAAAAAAAAACAUGGUUAAAAGACAACUGUUACUUGACCUUAUCUUGGUCUCUUCACUGCCGUUUGUUUCCCAUAACUUCUGGUGAUAAUGUAGCCAGAAUGAUGAGUUGAAUUGUGGGUUGCUGACUUGUGAUACAUUUUGUAGGUGUUCAUUAGGUGAUGUUACAAAUUAUGAUGCCUGCUAUGAAAAAGCUUUGGAAGUUUCGAAUGAUAAGUCAGCUCGAGCUAAGGUGAUAUUCGUUGCACAGAGAAAAUGUAGUUCACAUUAUGCUUGUACCAUGAUCAUUUUUUAGUUAACAUAUCUUUACGUGAAUCGGAGGUCUCUAGCUCGUAGUGCAUGCAAUAGAGGGGAGUACGAGACAUCUUAAAUCCUUUGGUAUGUUGCUUUAAUGCUUUACUUCUCUUUCUGUCACACAGUAAUUUGCAGCAUUCACAACUGAUAUGGCUGAAUGACAAUUUACCCUUGGUUUUGUCUCAGGGAGGCUGCCAUGGCCGUGAAUUCUUUGUAUCCGGAUGGCUGGUUUGCUCUUGGUGCUGCUGCAUUGAAGGUAUCUUAUUUUUGUAUUAGUAUGUGUUUAGUUUGGAGAGAUUUCUUAUCCUUUUGCCCCAAGUUUCUGAAACUCUCGGCUGAAAUAUAAAUACAGGCUCAGGAUGUUGAAAAGGCUCUGGAUGGGUUUACUCGGGCUGUUCAACUUGAUCCAGACAAUGGGGAAGCUUGGAACAAUAUUGCUUGCUUGUAUGCUCCUUUCUUUGUCAUCAUGUCAUUCCGUCCUCUUGCUCUGUAUUCUUUAAUAUGGUUCCAUAUUCCCUUGAUGAGUGAAUUUAGUUGCUGCAAAUGCUAAGAACUAGAUAGUACUGUUAUAAUUAGGAAUAGGGCAAAUAUUAGCCAUAGUAUCUGAAUUUCUAGACAAAAUUGGUCAUUUUUGCAAAUCAUUUGGACGUAUCUAUGCAGCAGUUUACUAUUUUAGUGAUUGCAGGAAUUGGUAUGCUUAAAUUUUGGGCUUAAAUUGUGUGAAAAUAAUCAAAGUGAUAUGCAAAUUAAAUCAAGCCACAUGAGGGAAGAUUCUCUUUUUUUUUUUUUUAAGCUUAUGUUUCAUGUUUCUCUGUAUGGCAUAGGUAGUUGGAAGUGAGAGUAGUGCAGAUAUGUGGGGAUUAUAUGCAAGGUGGCUUAAAAGUAAAGGAGAUCUUACAAUGUGCUCUGAAGCCCUCUUAAAGCAAGUCAGAUCAUAUCAGGUUUCUCCAUAAAUCUCAUCAUCUUAUAAUAAUUUAGCAUUAUGUUUUACUUUGAUGUUGAUGGAAUUUGUUAAUGCUAAUCAAAUUUUGUUAAUCUCUCUCUCUCUUUUAAAAAGAAGGCAAAGAAAAAGCAUUGUGAUUUCAUUUUCGUUUUCUAAAUUUGUUAUCUAAAGGAAUGACAAGUUGACAACUCAGUCUCUCUCUCUCUCUCUCUGUCUCUCUCUGUCUGUGUCAGGGAUCUGAUUUGUGGAAAGAAAGAGAUCGGUUUAAAAGGUUUUCAUAUGCAUCCUUGGAACUUUGUAAGGUUUACAUGGAAAUUUCUUCCUCUUCUGGUAGCCGUCGAGAACUCUUUGCUGCUGAGAUGCACCUGAAGAACGUACUUAAACAAGUAAAAUACCUUAUAAUUCGAUAUUUAAGACACUUACAGUUGGUAUUACAUUGACAGCAGUAAAACAAGGAAGCAACUGAAAGUUAUCUUUAUAUGAGAAUGAAAGCUUUUCAGCAGCAUAAGCCUUUCACUAUUCAAUUCCAAACAUGUUCCUCAACAUGAUAACAAAUUCGUAGACCUUUUCUGGGUCUGGAAGGAUCCUGGCAACAGUUUCUCUUUGCAUGCACUUGUUCAUCCAUGCUGAGAAUUUGGGGCACUCAUUCUCAACCUUAAAUCCCCCAAAUUCCUCAACCGCGUAAAACCAACAAGUCAGUGGAAUGGCAAUGACAUCAACGAAUCCAAAGCUGUCCCCGCCAAAGAAAUCCUUCUCCCCUAAAGCUCCCUCAAGUUGCUUCAAAAUCUCUAUAAAUUCAUUCUUCGCCGGGGACCUCGCCCUUGCUUUUCCAUAUGUUGCAUACUGCAUCGAAUACCUACCAAAAGAGUGGUGUCAUCUUUUAAGUUCGCAUUUAGAAAGAUACAAACAUUUACACUUGUGAAUUAUAGACUGACCUUCUUGUCAAUAAAAUCUGACCAGAACCUUGCCUUAGCUCUCUCAAAAGCACAGGAUGGGAGAAGUGGUGGCGAAGGCCAAGUCUCGUCAAUGUAGUUAACUAUGAUAGUGGAUUCACACAAUGGUUUCCCAUCGUGUAGCAAAACUGGGACUUCUUAUAGAUGGGGUUUGAUUUGAGCAACAAGUCACUCUUGCCCCCAAACAAGUUCUCAGCUCUGGCUUCAUAUUCAACUCCUUUCUCAGCCAAUGCAAUCUUUGCUCUCAAGCAAAAUGGGCUAGCCCAACAGUCCAAAAGAACAACCUCUCCCUUGGACAUAUUCACUUUCUUUGUUCUUGUUUCUUUUAGUUGGUUGAUAGUAAUUAAACCUUGAGUAUCAAGGUUGGCAUUUAUAAAGUAGAUAAGAUGAAAUUCCCAAAGUUUGUGUCGCAAUCAACGUUUGUUCGUUGGCACUUCCUUAAAGGAUUUGGCAUUGUUUUUAUCAUUUCUUAGUUUUUGAAGCUAACUGUUUUACUUGGCUUCCAACAUGCACAAGAACAAGUUUGUCUUGUGUAUGCGGAGUUUACUAAGGACAAGCCGAAUCGUAAGCAAGCAUAUACACUAAUCAAUCGGUAUUGUCCAAUGAAAAUAAGUAAUGUAAACUUAUCAAAAAAAAAAAAAAAAGAAGUAAUGUAAAAAGUGUCUAGGAUUUUGCCUAAUAUUUCUCAAAAUACGCUAAUUAAGCCAAUUCUGGUGCUAGAUUGGUUCAACUUUGAAUCAAACUUGGAAACAUUGUGCUUUAGAUUACUAUUAUUGAUUUAGAAGAGUCAAAAAGCUAAGAGUAUCGUUGGUAAAGCUCAAACAUGUGGUAUAUCACAUAUUACUAGUGAGUGAGUUUCAUAAACUUUCCUAAUGAAGAAGACACAUUUUGGGUUGUAAAUCCUAACACAAAAUUUAUUCAGUUGUUGAGCCAGAAAUAUUACAGAUAUAUCAAUAUUAUUUGAUGUGGGCGCACAACCCUGCGUCUUCUUACAUAACUUGUAUGUGCACGUUGGCAGGAUAUCCCAAUUAUGUACUCGUUUGUCUUCAUGUGUUUUAAAAAAAUCUAUUGUAAUGGAUAUAUUGUAAAUUUAUCUAAUUGCUUGUUAUAAUGUUUCUAUUGUGGCGUUAUUCAAGUUGUCAUUUUCAGUUUUAUUUUGUUUUUCUUUAAACAUAGUUAAUUUGAAGUGUUCUUUAAUAUCCAUUACACUUGAGAUCAUCAAAUAAGUGAUUCUCGAGCAUAAUUGCUGUUGUUACUCGAAUAAGAAAAGAAAACAAAGUAUAGCUAAGGUAAAAGCAAAUGGAAAUGAGAGAACCGUGAUUUUGCAAAGAGAACUUCACACUAUCAUAAAACCGAAAACAUUACAAUUUAAAGCUUAAAUAACAACACACCAAAGCCAAAUAACGACCCACUAGAAUCAUGGUCCAAAGAUUGUGCCAUGAUCACAACAUGAACUACAAAAAAAAUAACCAACACCAAAAAAGUAGGAACAGUUUAAAACUUUCAACUAAGCAACAUUUAUGAUUCCACAUCAGCAGUCCUAAACACAUCUUCUAACAAUUGCAGCUGUUCAUUUUUGCUUCUGCCAAUAAGGAGUUGAUAGUAACCAAAAGGUUGUUGUCUUUAUUGUCAUUUGAGAGUAACCAAUUACUUACGCAGUCACGUAAGUUGCUGGUUGGCCUCGCACAUUUUUGAUAAGUUUGUUUCUGAAGGAAAGCAGCUGAGCCGCAACCUCUUCCAUGCUCAUUCGUUCUCUCGGCAACUCUGAGGAGCAAGUGACUCCGAUUGCCAGUACUGAAACCAAGCACUCUUUAACACUAAAACAUCUGGUCCAUUGUCUGUGAGCAUUGGCCUUGCUUGUCCCCCCUUCUUCUUUUUCUACAAGAAGCACUGGAUCAACAAUUUCAGCAAGUCUUUCAGGAAGAGCUUCCUUGACAAAAUUAUGUAGGGUUAGAUUGCCUGUAAACAUUUCAUUCGUCGGCCUCUUUCCUGUAAACAUUUCCAGUAAGAGUAUUCCAAAACAGUACACAUCUCCACUUGUUGAGACUUCGCUCCCCAUUCCGUACUCUGCAAUUCGAAAACUAAAAUUGUUGGUUCAACUAGUAAAAUCUCCAAGGAUUGAAAGACAAGUUAAUUAAAUUAUAGUAUUUACCUGGAGCAGCAUAACCAACGGUUCCUUUUACUCCAACAGAGCUUGAUUGAUUAGAUGACAAGUUAUUGGUGGCUUCCGGAAGGAAUUUUGCUAACCCAAAAUCACCUACAUGGGCAGUCAAUUCACCAUCCAGAAGAACAUUGCUUGGCUUGAGAUCACAAUGGACUAUUGGAGUCUCGCAAAAAUGAUGUAGAUAAUCCAAUGCGGAAGCAAGAUCAACGGCAAUACUCAGUCUUUGCAGGAGAUUUAGAUUCCUUGGUGCCUCACGGUUUGGAUGCAACCAUUCCUCCAGGCUCCCGUUAACCAUGAACUCAUAAACUAAAGCCUCGAAAUCAUUUCCUUGGAAGUCAACACUUGCACAGGAAGUUAUUAUUUUGACGAGAUUCCGAUGCCUAAUACUUCUCAAGGCUUGACACUCCGCCAUGAAACUCUUUGAAGCUCCUCGAUGUUGAAGAUUAAGCACCUUAACUGCCACCAGCGUUUCAUGAUCAUCAUGAUUGAGGACUCCUUUAUAGACCGAACCAAAGCUACCGGCACCAAUCAAGUUUUCCAAAGAGAACCCGUCAGUUGCUUUGAACAGAUUCUCAUAUGACACUCGUAAAAUCGAAGCCAAUAAUGCUGACGGAGGAGUGGCCGGCUCCAUUUUUGAUUUGCUCCGCCGGGAAGUAAUUAUCAAACACGACAUCCCUGUCACUAACAAAAUUACUGUAACUACAGGAAUAAUCAGUUUCAGGGAACGGGCACGUGAUUGCUUUGAUUCUUUGAUGGAACAAGUAGAUAAAUGCAACUCAGAUAUGCCACCACAGAGGUUAUCAUUUCCAUCAAGAGAUAUAGCACUUGAAUUGCUGUAGACUCCUUUUAUUGGUACUUCACCCUCAAAAUGAUUAGAAGAUAGAUUUAAAUUCUGCAAAAAGAAAAAGUUUUCAAAAUAUUUUGGAAUCCGGCCAGACAAAUUGUUCCGCGAAAGAUCAAGGUUCUGAAUGCCUCUCAAAGAACUGAAUGAUGAAGGGAUAUUCCCUUGAAAGAAAUUACCAUUCAUGACGAGUUGUUCCAACCUAACGCAACUUCCUAGACUGUUUGGAAUUUCACCAGACAAUUUGUUCUCAGAUACAUCUAGAACACCCAGAUUUUUCAAGAUGCCAAAAUUUGAGGGCAAAGGACCGUUCAAUUGGUUUUGAGAUAGAUCAAGAUAGAUUGACAAGGAAGAGAGACCAAUCACUUCAGUGGGUAUGGUACCAGUGAGGUUGUUAUUAGAGAGAUCUAAUAAUAUCAAGUUUUGGCAUUUCCCUAGACUUGAUGGAAUGCUUCCCUCUAACAUGUUUUCGUCAAAAGCUAGUAUAGCUAACGAUGUCAAAUUUCCUAUAGAAGAUGGAAUUUCCCCCAAAAACUUGUUCCCGUUCAGCCCCAACCCCUGCAGCUUUUGAAGAUAUCCUAUGCUUUCCGGAAUUCGGCCUGUGAAUUGGUUGUCCCCAAGGUCUAAAAGCUCUAAGUUAACAAGAUUUCUUAAUCCACUUGGGAUAUUUCCGAACAAUUGAUUGUUUCCAACUGAUAAUUUUCUAAGUCGGGUUGACAAGUUCCCCACAGCUUCAGGUAACAUUCCGCCACAAUUGUUAACAUGACCUUCCAGUCGCUCUAGUCUAGAAGCGUUGACCAAAGAAUUGACAAAUUCCAAGUCAUCUUUUUUCCCAUUUCCUAAGUGAUUCCAAGAAAUACUAACCCAUUCGAGUUUAUGUAAAUGUUCCAAACUAGGCACCUUUCCACUGAAUCCAUUCCCUCCGAUUGCAAGUCUCAAUAGAUUUGAGGCAUUGGAUAUUGAAGCAGGAAUAGGCCCGGUAAACUGAUUUUCACCAACGUUUAAUUCUUCAAGAUUAGGAAGGGUGAAGCCUAAGUCUGAUGGAAGGCUUCCUUGAAGUUGGUUAACAGGAAAAUCAAAAACACUAAGCGAAGACAAGUUGUAGAUUGAGAAGGGGAUUUCACCUGAUAGCUUAUUUACUCCAAAUGCUAUAAAACGCAUCCUCUUAAGCUCGCCCAGGGUUUCAGGAAUUUGUCCCACAAAUUGAUUUGCAGUUGCUGAGAGGACCUCGAGUGAUGACAAAUUGCCAAAGGAAGAUGGGAUUUCUCCUGACAAAUUGUUGUAGUGUACUGAGAGAAGCCGGAGCUUUGAUAAGGAGCCCAGAUUCCCUGGAACUUUCCCCACAAACUCAUUGGAGCCUAACGAGAGGGAUUCAAGGUUAACGCAAUGCGAUAUGUUGUCGGGAAUUUGACCUCCGAAUGAAUUGUUAUACAGCAUUAAUUUUUGUAACCUGAACAGAUAUCCAAUCUCUUGAGGGAUUUCGUCGCGGAAGCUGUUGUUUUUUAUAUCUAACACUCUGAGAAAACUUAAAUUACCAAUGUGAGGCGACAGAGACCCCUGCAAGAGUGAAGAUGGGAGAAGUAAUGCAGUCACUCUUUGGUGCCGUCGACUGCAGGUGACACCUUUCCAUUGACAAAAGUGCCUGGAAUAGUUCCAUGAACUCAAAACCUCAAGAGGGUCAUGAGUAACUUUGGCCUUGAAUUCAAGCAAUGCAAGUUGAUCAGUUUCAUUGCUUUUGAGCAUAUAAUCGGUUGACUGCAAGCUGAAGCUGAAGCAACAGAAAAUAAAGAAACAAAUGCUUACAAUGAUUGAACUCAUCAUGUUUACAAAAUCCAUUUAACUGCCGAAAGGAAAUUAAAAUGAUAAAAUUUUUAUAGAGGUUGAUAAGAUAAACUAUGUUUGUAUAUUUUUUGCAAUGAUUUAUGGACUCUGUACUUGAUGCUCAAAUGUGAACCGGCUGGCACCGUGACAGUGAAACUAAUACUUUUUGUUUUUCUAAUAAUAUUAAUUAUCCUCUUUAAGGAAUAAUAUACACUUUUGACCCGCCACACUCACUUUUGACGCUCUAUCAGUUUCCAGCAUGUUGUCGUUUUGUAUUUUAGUGCAUUAAAGAAAUCCACAAUGAAUAUAAAAUAAUUUAAUCAACAGUAUUAGAAAAAGAAAAAAAGUAGGAUAAGAAAGUUAAGUAUGAUGGAUGGAGGUUCAGAUUACUGUUAAAUGACUUAGGAAAGGCUUAAAAAGCACCACAGGAAUCAACGUUUCACAAAGCUUUUUUUCCCUUUCUGAAAUAUUCAGUGCAGUCUCCCCCAGAUUUUGCUAGUGCAACCAAGAGACGUCAUGCCGUUAUCAAUUAUAAACUGUAAAUGACAUGUUGUUUUUACAAGACAUAUUAUGCGUCGAUACAUACCUUUUCUGGUUGUUGGUUUAUAAAAAUAUAUGAGACGGCUUGUUAGCUUUAACCUCAUUGUCAUUUUGAAUAGCCUACAAGAGUCGAAUGACUAGACUUCCAAUUUGCUAUCAUCCCCCUUGAAUGGGUUCAAGAAAUUCAGCAGGUUGCGAAACAAUAAGAUUCAUUCAAUCGGCGUAGAUAUCUAACUGACUGAAAUUAAAUAAAUGAUGAUGAUAAGAAAUUUGAAAUCAACAAAUCUCGGCACAUCUAUUCUGCAAUUUAGCCGUACUUCAAAUAAUCUUGCGAUGAAAAUUUCAUAAAAAUUUUCAGAAAGAGGACAGAACAACCAAGGCAUCAGCGAAAGCAAUCGUGGCAGGGCACGCUCAAGCCACGAGUUAGAGGAAUUUUAAAUAUCAAAACCAGCUCAGAAUAAUAAGAGGUAAAAUGAAUCUAUGAAAGGCUCAGAUUUUUGGAUGAGUGAAGGGAAGAUGAGAAGAUGAAAUGCAGAAAGUCAAGAAAUGAAUAAAACAGCUCUAAUUUGGAUUAAGCAUCCAUCUACCUAUGUGGAUAAUAAUUUUGCUAAUUUUUCAGCCAUGCAGCAGGAUCAUGUUCGUCCUGUUUUAUUUGAUAGAAGGAAUUUUCCCUUGGAAGAAAAUGAUGAGUUGUUUCAACGUCAUGCAACUGCCUAGACUGCAUGGAAUUUCACCAGACAAUGACAAUUUAUUCUCAGAUAUAUCUAACGCCCCACAAUUUAAACAAUAAAGAUUUUCUGCAUUGAUUUCUUAUAAUGGAUAUAUGCAUGUAAGUAAAAUAUAAUAUCUUUUGAUUUUUGGCCCAUUUGUUCAGAAAGAAGGGAAAAAAAAAAAAAUACAUGGUUGAAAGACAACUGUUACUUGACCUUAUCUAGGUCUCUUCACUGCCAUUUGUUUCUUAUAACUUAUGGUGAUAAUGUAGCCAGAAUGAUGAGUUGAAUUGUGGGUUGCUGACUUGUGAUACAUUUUGUAGGUGUUCAUUAGGUGAUGUUACAAAUAAUGAUGCCUGCUAUGAAAAAGCUUUGGAAGUUUCGAAUGAUAAGUCAGCUCGAGCUAAGGUGAUAUUGUAGUUCACAUUAUGCUUGAACCGUGAUCAUUUUUUAGUUAACAUAUCUUUAUGUGAAUCAGAGGUCUCUAGCGCGUAGUGCAUACAAUAGAGGGGAGUACGAGACAUCUAAAAUCCUUUGGUAUGUUGCUUUAAUGCUUUACUUCUCUUUCUGCCACGCAGUAAUUUGCUGCAUUGACAACUGAUAUGGCUGAAUGACAAUUUACCCUUGGUUUUGUCUCAGGGAGGCUGCCAUGGCCUUGAAUUCUUUGUAUCCGGAUGGCUGGUUUGCUCUUGGUGCUGCUGCAUUGAAGGUAUCAUAUUUUUGUAUUAGUAUGUGUUUAGUGUGAAGCGAUUUCUUAUCCUUUUGCCCCAAGUUUCUGAAACUCUCGGCUGAAAUAUAAAUACAGGCUCGGGAUGUUGAAAAGGCUCUGGAUGGGUUUACUCGGGCGGUUCAACUUGAUCCAGACAAUGGGGAAGCUUGGAAGUUGGAACAAUAUUGCUUGCUUGUAUGCCCUUUUCUUUGUCAUCAUGUCAUUCCAUCCUCUUGCUCUGUAUUCUUUAAUAUUGUGUCAAUCACAUUCAUCUUCUAUCUGCAAGAGUAUGCUUCCCAUAUUUGGUUUACUUUGUUUUGACUUUCUUGUUGCAGUUGUUCUGUAUAAAUUUUAUAUGGUUCCAUAUUCCCUUGAUGAGUGAAUUUAGUUGCUGCAAAUGUUAAGAACUAGAUAGUACUGUUAUAAUUAGGAAUAGGGCAAAUAUUAGCCAGCUCUUUUGAGGAUUAUCCAUAGCAUAUACCUCCGUCGUUUUCAAAGCGAUUGAAGUUCUCCCUUUUGUCUUAUUUAAAAGAAAAAAGCACAAAUUGCUUCCCUCACAUCUCUCUACAGUCUCUUUUCUCUCUGUUUAAUUUUUUCUUGUGCUUAUUAUUUGUCUUUUAAUGCAUCUUUUCUUCUUAUUUUAUACUGUACUAGAAUUUGUGCUGUCUCGAUUUCAUCUUGUAUGUGAGUUACUGUGUUUUUCGCAAUUGUAGAACUUUAUUUAGCAGCAUAAUUAUUAGUUAGUGAGACAUUAAUUGGUUAAUACCACUUUUGAAGAUACGAAGAGCUACUUAUUCUCUCUUCUAGUACAUUUAAAAAAUUCAUCACAAAAUAUCUGGGAUGGUAAAAUUCUCGUCAAUUAUAACUACGGAAGUCUUGAGAUUUAUGUAAUCUUGCAGGCAUAUGAUCAAGAAGAAGAGCAAAGAGGCUUUUAUAGCAUUCAAGGAGGCCCUAAAGUUCAAUUUCUGUCUUUUUUCACCCUGAUCACUACAUUUUUAUUUUUUUGGUGGAUAAAGCCUGCUGUCACUUUGGGCAUCAAUUUCUAAUGAAUGCAAUAAUGUUCCUUUCUUUGCUAUUCAUUAAAAUUGAGUUGUUCUUCUUGGAUGGCCUUCUUUUUACUUCCCAUCAUUUUGCCAGCUUGUUGAUUGUCAUUUUUGCUUGUUGGCAGUCUUUUCCUGCAGUGUUGAUAAUAUUUAACAAAUUCGCAGACCUUUUCUGGGUCUGGAAGGAUCCUCGCAACAGUUUCUCUUUGCAUGCACUGAUUCUCAACCUUAAAUCCCCCAAAUUUCUCAACCGCGUAAAACCAACAAGUCAGUGGAAUGGCAAUGACAUCAACGAAUCCAAAGCUAUCCCCGCCAAAGAAAUCCUUCUCCCCUAAAGCUCCCUCAAGUUGCUUCAAUAUCUCUAUAAAUUCAUUCUUCGCCGUCCCUGGGACCUUGCCCUUGCUUUUCCAUAUGUUGCAUACUGCAUCGAUUACCUGCCAAAAGAGUGGUGUCAUCUUUUAAGUUCGCAUUUAGAAAGAUACAAACAUUUAUACUUGAGAAUUAUAGACUGACCUUCUUGUCAAUAAAAUCUGCCCAGAACCUUGCCUUAGCUCUCUCAGAAGCACAGGAUGGGAGAAGUGGUGGAGAAGGCCAAGUCUCGUCAAUGUAGUUAACUAUAACGGUGGCUUCACACAAUGGUUUCCCAUCGUGUAGCAAAACUGGGACUGUCUUGUUGAUGGGGUUUGAUUUGAGCUGCAGGUCACUCUUGCCCCCAAACAAGUUCUCAGCUCUGGCUCAUAUUCAACUCCUUUCUCAGCCAAUGCAAUCUUUGCUCUCAAGCAAAAUGGGCUAACCCAACUGUCCAAAAUAACAACCUCUCCCUUGGACAUAUUCACUUUCUUUGUUCUUGUUUCUUUUGGUUGGCUGAUAGUAAUUAAACCUUGAGUAUAUGAAGGAGAAAAGAUGAAAUUCGAAUACCGCUUUUGUUGGCAUUUAUGAAGGAGAAAAGAUGAAAUUCCCAAAGUUUGUGUCGCAAUCAACGUUUGUUCGUUGGCACUUCCUUAAAGGAUGUGGCAUUGUUCUUAUCAUUUCUUAGUUUUUGAAGCUAACUGUUUUACUUGGCUUUCAACAUGCACAAGAACAAGUUUGUCUUGUGUAUGCGGAGUUUACCAAGUACAGGCCGAAUCGUAAGUAAGCAUUUACACUAAUCAAUCGGUAUUGUCCAAUGAAAAUAAGUAAUGUAAAAAGUGUCUAGGAUUUUGCCUAAUAUUUCUCAAAAUAGGCUCAUUAAGCCCAAUUCUGGUGCUAAUUUGGUUCAACUUUGAAUCAAACUUGGAAACAUUUUUCUUUAGAUUAUUAUUAUUAAUUUAGAAGAGUGAAAAAAGUUAAGAGUAUCGUUGGUGAAUUCAUGCCUAGCCCCACUAGAGAGUGAGUUUCGUAAACUUUCCUAAUUAAGAACACAUGUUUUGGGUUGUAAAUUCUAACACAAUAUCUAUUCAGUUGUUAACUUGGAAUAUUACAAUUAUAUCAAUAUUGUUUGAUGUGGGCACACAACCCUGCGUCUUCUUAGUUAGGACAGCCAAUGAAAUUCACUUGUUAGCGAUGCAGGGGAUGAUACAUAACUUGUAUGUGCACGAUGGCGGAGUAUCCCAGUUCUGCACUCGUUUGUCUUCCUAUGUUUUAAAAGAUCUAUUGUAAUGGAUAUAUUAUAAAUUUAUCUAAUUGCUUGUUAUAAUGCUUCUGUUGCAGUGUUAUUUGAGUUGUCAUUUUCAGUUUUAUUUUAUUUUUUCUUUAAACAUAGUUAAUUUGAAAUGUUCUUUAAUAUCCAUUACACUUGAGAUCAUCAAAUAAGUGAUUCUCGAACAUAAUUGCUGUUGUUACUUGAAUAAGAAAAGAAAACACCAAAGUCAAAUUAAAGCGCAAAUGCUAAAAGUAAAUGGAAAUGAGAGCAACGUGAUUUUGCAAAGAGAACUUCAUACUAUCAUAAAAAUGAAAACAUUACAAUUUAAAGCUUAAAUAACAACACACCAAAGUCAAAUAACGACCCACUAAAAUCAUGGUCCAAAGAUUGUGCCAUGAUCACAACAUGAACUACAAAAAAAUAACUGUUAAGUAAAUAAAAGCACCAGGUCGGCCAUGCUACUAUUUCCACGCCAGUAUGGAUCACCUCAACCAAAUGGUACGAGCAGAACACGGGGACAAAUAUGGUCCGACCAGAGAUGAGUACCAACCAAGAGAGUAUACCGACCAGAGGUAGAUACCGAGCCGAUACCCAUCCCCCAAAAAAGCGGAAACACGAUCUCACAGAAUCACGGUAGUUGCGCUUUCCCAGAACCGUUGCGGGAGACGCGAGAUCCCACGUUUGCCCAUAAUGCAACAGUUAGAGUCCCAUGAGGGGCUGCCACUACCCGAAAAAGGUGGGAUGAAGGGCAAACGGGAACGUGGGGACAACGGCUAUAAAAGAAGAAGAAAUUGAUGAAGACAGGGAUAGAAAAAUUAAGAGAGGGAAAACGCUGCCAAAUUGCAAUCAAACAUUUUUCUUACAAACUUCGAAACAAGUUAGAAACCCUUCUUGAAUCCAAAUUACACUGUUUUCCCGUAAACACCUUGUGCUAACUUAGGCAUCGGAGGGUUUACGCCGGCAAAACCACCGGCGUCUCUGAUCCGUUUUUGGUGAACGCAGGUCUAGUAAGAGAAAGGAGGGCGAUUCCAACCCCAGUGGUCCGAGCAACAGUUGACAACACAAACGUUGGUGAAAGAAUCUGGUCGGUCAAAAGGCGAGCAUAUUUAAGCAUCAACAUUUUGGCGCCGUCUGUGGGGAGCUGAAUAAAAAGCUACCACCAAAUUACUAAUUACCGGAGAAGCAGCGAAUGAUUGGAUAUGGACGUGUCAAGAAAGGAUACUCUAAGGGAGGACAAUGAAACGGUGGAGAUAAUCACUCUCCGGGAAAUUGCAAAUGAAGCUCGAGAGAGGAUGAUGCAAGAUAGACUGGAGCGGAUGGAGAAACAAAUGGAGACUCUCGCGGCCAUAUUGUUUGAGCUGAGGGAUGAGCGGAGAAGGGAUUGUGAAACCCCCGUGGGAAGAGAUGAAGUGGGAGCAGAACCCAGCCACCGGAGGCGUAGAGUCGAGGAAAUCCCUCCGCCCACAGACCAACCUAAUGGGGUACCUCCCCACAUAAGUACUGGUCGGGUCCCAGGAGAACACGUGGAUGAAGGGAGAGACCAACCUCGCCCCGGACGAAUACCGGAAACUAAUGGCCGAGGGGCCAGUGUUGAUGAAGGAGAGCUCAGACAGCGGUUGCAGAACGCCGAGCAGGAGCGAGACCAGAUAGCUGCACGUGAUCCUGACCGUGCUAUAGAAUUGGAGGGGAAAGUGUGCAGAUUGGCGCAGGUGAUAGAGGAGAUACAGUGCAAGAGAAAGCCCCCGAGCUGGAGGAUAAUGCUAGAUGAAGAAUCUCUGUUAUCAACUGAGAUCAUGGGUACCAUAAUCCCAAGAGAUUUCCGCUUCCCCGACCUCAAAUACUCCGGGCGAAGUGACCUGCUGGUGCACAUUGAGCGUUUCAAUGACAUGACGGGUGUGCAGGGGCUGACACCAGCUCAGAGGUGCAGGGUAUUCCCGUUGACACUAGAGGGACGAGCUCAAGAAUGGUAUCGCAAGCUGCCCCGAGGAAGUAUAAAGGGGUAUAAGCAGAUGUGCCAGGAGUUGGCCGAGCAAUUCUGAGGGGCAGUGGCCCCAGAGGAUGACAUGAUGGAACUGAUGGGGAUGAAAUAGGAGGAGCAUGAAUCCCUUCGAGAUUAUGUAAAACGAUAUCACCGAGCCGUGCUGGAUCUGGGAGCUUUUAAUCACCCGCAGGCGUUGAGGGGAUUAAAAGAAGGUGUAAGAAUCGGCCGAUUGUGGUAUAACUUAAGAAGCCCCCUCGUAUAGAAUUACUCGUCGGGGUAUAAGCAGGCGAGGCGAGAUAUAGAAAUCGAAGAGGAGAAAUCGGCAAGAAUAAAAAGUGAACAGCUGGAAGAGCUGAGGCAAAAGGAACGGAGGGCCCCGAGAGGGAGCGGGUCAGGAAAACGAGCUGGAGAAUCUUCAGUGAUGGGAGGAAUAUCGGCUCGGUCCCGCCUUUACCCCAUAGCUCCGAGAUCACAACAGUUCCAACACAGCCGGGCUUAACCUCCGCGCCCCCCGAUCCCAGAGCGGCAGCGAGAAUUCAGGUAGAUGGCUGCCCACCCUUAUCACAGCACUCCCAGAGCGUUAAAUGCAACUAAUUACAGGUCUGGACGACCAGAGCAGCUAUCGACUAUACCAGCCCGAGGUGACAUCCAUGAUAGCCGAGCAGUUCAGUUGGUUGACCAGAGCGUGACAUAUAGACAGUACACUCCAUUGAAAAUCUCCAUGGAGGAACUAUAUGACAGGAUUGAGGGGCGAGGACUGCUGUAUACUCCGGCCCCUAUAACAAAACCCGCUCACCGGCGUGAUAAGAGCAGGUUCUGCAAAUUCCACAACACUCACGGUCACACUAUUAGCCAAUGCCGUGACCUAAAGAUUCAGGUGGAGGAUUUGGUGAGGAACAAGUACUUGGAUGAGUAUGUAGAUGGAGUGUCCCCCGUCAUUGAAUCGCAAUAUGCACGGGAUGAAGGAGUUGAAAGGGGUUUGGAACGAGAACAGCCGACCAUCCGGGUGAUAGCAGGAGGGCCAACAUUGGCCGGGGAUUCGAACAGAGCACGAAAGAACUAUGGGAGAUAUGCCAUGACUGGCAAAGAGGUGCUUCUCAAUUUGCCAGUAGCCAAGAGGGCAAAAGUGCGGCAAGUUCCCAUUAUGUGGACAUAGGACGACGAAGAGGGCAUUUUAUAUCCUCAUGAUGAUGCACUGGUGAUUAAAGCAUUGGUGGCUAGUACAGAAUUGCGGCGAAUACUGGUGGACACAGGCAGCUCAGUAGACAUUCUGUUUAAGUCGGCCCUAGAUGAUAUGGGGACUUCAGACUUGAAGCUGGAGCGGACGAAUACAUCCUUGAAGGGAUUUGGAGGAGGACGGCUAACUCCCAUGGGGAUCAUCGAACUCCCAAUUAUCGUGGGAUCAAAACCGUUUGAAAGAACGAUGAUGCUGGAUUUUGUCGUGGUAGAAGAAAGAAGUCUUUAUCAGAUGAUAUUGGGGAGACCGUUCAUGAGGAUCAGCCAAUGUAUAAUGUCCACGUAUUAUCUGGCGAUGAAGUACAGAAUAAAUGGAGUUGUUGGUGUAGUAAAAGGCGACCAGAGAAUGGCCAGGAGCUGCUAUGCUACAGCGGCCAAGGAAACGCUGCAGGUUACCUCUCUAGAUAACCGAGGGGAUUCAAAAAAUGGUCGCCAGAAACCUGUUGAGAAGCUGGAGGGGGUUGUUGUAAGCAGGAGUGACCCGGUCAGAGUGGUUAAAGUCGGAUCAGAAUUGGACGAAGCAAUAAAAGGCGAGCUGGUGAAGUGUCUACAGUCCUAUGCAGACAUAUUUACCUGGUCUCAUGAGGAUAUGCCAGGUAUUGAUCGCGGGGUAGCUUGUCACAAGCUGGCAGUCAAGAAAGAGGCAAGGCCGGUGAGGCAGAAAAGGAGGUGCUUCAACUAGGAAAUGUAUGAGGCCAUAAAUGCAGAGGUGGAAAAGCUGCCGAAAGCAGGAUUUAUAAGGGAAGCCAAGUACCCGGAGUGGAUUUCCAAUGUAGUACUGGUAAAGAAGGCCAAUGGGAAGUGGAGAAUGUGUGUAGACUUCACGGACCUCAAUAAGGCAUGCCCGAAGGACAGUUUUCCCCUACCAAAAUAGAUCAGUUGGUGGACUCGACCGCGGGUCAUAGUCUACUCAGUUUCAUGGAUGCCUUUUCCGGAUACAACCAGAUACCCAUGGACGAGCAGGAUGAGGAAAGCACUACCUUUAUAACUAACAUGGGUUUGUUUUGUUACAGGGUGAUGCCCUUUGGCCUGAAAAAUGCAGGAGCUACCUAUCAAAGGUUAGUGAACAAGGUCUUCAAACCAUUGAUCGGUCACACUAUGGAAGUAUAUGUGGACGAUAUGAUCACCAAGUCAAGAGAACCAAGAGAUCAUGUGAAGCACUUGGAAGAGACCUUCGAAUUGCUGAGGAGGUAUGAAAUGAAGCUGAACCUAGAAAAAUGUGCAUUUGGGGUCAGCUCGGGCAAAUUUUUGGGAUACCUGGUAAGCCAUCGAGGGAUUGAGGCCAACCCGGAAAAGAUACGGGCGGUGAUAGAAACGAGGUCCCCACGAACAGUUAAGGAGGUGCAGAGCCUUACGGGGAAAUUGGCAGCAUUGAACCGAUUCAUUUCGCGAGCCACUGAUAAGUGCCACCCUUUCUUCCAAAUCAUAAAGAAAGGGAGGAAGAUGGAAUGGACACCGGAAUGCGAUGAGGCAUUUGGACAGUUGAAGGAAUACCUAGCCCGCGCCCCGUUACUCUCAACUCCGAGAGAGGGUGACCAGCUGCUUUUGUACUUGGCAAUCUCUAAGUGGGCUACCAGCUCGGUCUUAGUCAGGGAAGAAGAAGGGAAGCAACACCCGGUAUACUACACAAGCAAGGCCCUGGUAGACGCAGAAACCAGAUAUCCACUAAUGGAGAAGUGGGCGCUGGCUCUGAUAACGGCAGCACGCAAACUCCGACCGUAUUUCCAAGCCCACCAGAUCGUUGUGAUGACUGACCAGCCCCUUCGGCAAGUGCUUCAAAAACCAGAUGCGUCUGGUCGGUUAGUAAAAUAGUCCGUGGAGUUGAGCGAAUUUGACCUGUCUUACAGGCCCCGAGGAGCAAUCAAGGCCCAAGCCUUGGUAGAUUUUAUGGUUGACCGUGUUGAACCAGGGGAAGAGGUCCAAGAGGAACAACCAGCAGAACGGGAGGAUUCAAAGGGGAUGUGGCUGGUAAUGGUUGAUGGGUCACGUAGUGAACAGGGAUCCGGGGCAGGAGUUAUAAUACGAAGCCCAGAAGGUGUCGAGGUAUCCUAUGCUGUAAAGUUCGAAUUCCAGCUUUCGAACAACCAAGCUGAAUAUGAGGCCUUCAUUACUGGGCUCGGUCUUGCACAUGCACUACGAGCAGAAAGGGUAAAAAUCCGAGCAGAUUCCCAGCUAGUAUGUAACCAGCUCAACGAUCAAUUCCAAGUAAGGGAAGAGAAAUUGGGACUUUAUUUGAAGAAGGCGAAGCAGAUGGUUGAACUCUUUAAUGAGGUAGAGGUGAAGCAGAUAUCCCGGAAUGAAAAUUACCGAGCUGACAUGUUGGCUAGGAUGGCCGCAACUGUAGAUCCCAAAUUACCUAAAUCAGUUCCACUAGAGGUGAGAACCUCGCCGAGUAUAGGAGAGGAAGUAGAGGUAAUGAGAGUAAGCACUGAAGAAUCCUGGAUGGACCCGAUUCUUGCAUACAUCCGCGAUGACGUUUUACCAGAGGACAAAAAGCAAGCAAAAAAGCUAAAAUACCGAGCAGCGAGGUACACACUACUCGAUGGGGUACUCUACUGCCGAGGAUUCACUUUGCCCCUUUUGCGAUGUGUGGAUAAUGAGGAGGCAGAUUAUGUACUAAAGGAGAUUCAUGAAGGAAUCUGCGGCAAUCACUCGGGAGCAAGAACUUUAGCCUUUAAGGCACUCCGGCAAGGAUACUUUUGGCCGACCAUGCACCAGGAUGCGAAAAGGAUGGCAAAGAAUUGCAAAACCUGCCAAAACUUCUCAGAGGUUCCCGCACAACCCCCAGAAAAGCUGACCACUAUGACAUCCCCAUGGCCUUUUGCUCAAUGGGGAAUCGACCUGAUUGGUCCGUUACCGAAAGGCCGAGGAGCGGCGACCCAUGCAAUUGUAGUAAUAGACUACUUCACCAAGUGGAUAGAAGUGAGGGUCCUUAGCCAAAUCACGGAGAGAAAGACAACGGAUUUUAUCUGGAAGAAUAUCAUCUGCAGAUACGGAAUCCCUUAUACCAUCAUCACCGAUAAUGGGAGGCAAUUUGACAACAACAACUUCAGAGAGUUUUGCCGGAACCUAGGGGUGGACCUGAAAUUUUGCACCCCCGCACACCCCCAGGCAAACGGACAAGUGGAAGCAGCCAACAAAGUGGUAAAGAAACUCCUGAAGACUAGACUGGGAGAGAAGAAAGGAGCUUGGGUUGACGAGCUACCAGGGGUACUGUGGGCUUACCGGACAACUCACAAAACCGCCACAGGGGAAACCCCGUUUGCCUUAGCUUUUGGUCAUAAGGCGGUAAUCCCGGCAGAAAUUGGAGUGGGGACACAUCGGACGGAAUACUUCAAUAAGGAGCAAAAUGGCGAGCAGAUCUACUUGAGCCUGGAUCUGCUGGAGGAGAAAAGGGAAGGGGCUUCGCAGAAAGUAGCCCAGUGUCAGCAAAGGGUCACGCGUUAUUACAACAAGAACGUACAUGUGAGACAGUUCCGAACAGGAGAUUGGGUGCUCAAGAAGGUGAACUAAAAUACCAAGGACCCUAACCAUUGAGCUCUUGGUCCGAAAUGGGAAGGCCCGUACAGGGUGAUACGAGCAACUGGACCAGGAGCUUACAAGCUAGCGUACCCAGACGGACGAAAUGUGAAGAGGUCGUGGAACGCUGAGCACUUGAAAAAGUACUUCCAGUAAGCAAAGUGCUCUAUUAGUUUUCAUUUUGAUAAGUUAUUCCUUUCAAAUGCAUGAUGGCUUGUUGGGCAUGCAUAUAUGCUGUAUUUCUAUAACGCAUUCAAAGUUCAAUAAAGAUGAAUUCAGCAUGAAAUCCCCUGGCCAAUAAGUCCAUUAAAAAAUUCUACUAAGGCAAGUAAGUGCCUACUUCUGCUCGGUCAGCGAGAGACCAGCAGCUAAUUCUACAAAAAAUCUGCUAAGGCAAGUAAGUGCCUGCUUCUGCUCGGUCAACGAAAGACCAGCAGCUAAUCUAUGAAAGAUCUACUAAGGCAAGUAAGUGCCUGCUUCUGCUCGGUCAACGAGAGACCAGCAGCUAAUUCUACAAAAAAAUCUGCUAAGGCAAGUAAGUGCCUGCUUCUGCUCGGUCAACGAAUGACCAGCAGCUAAUCUACGAAAGAUCUGCUGAGGCAAGUAAGUGCCUGCUUCUGCUCGGUCAACGAAAGACCAUCAGCUAAUCUAUGAAAGAUCUACUAAGGCAAGUAAGUGUCUGCUUCUGCUCGGUCAACAAGAGACCAGCAGCUAAUUCUACAAAAAAUCUGCUAAGGCAAGUAAGUGUCUGCUUCUGCUCGGUCAACGAAUGACCAGCAGCUAAUCUACGAAAGAUCUGCUAAGGCAAGUAAGUGCCUGCUUCUGCUCGGUCAACGAAAGACCAGCAGCUAAUCUACGAAAGAUCUACUAAGGCAAGUAAGUGUCUGCUUCUGCUCGGUCAACGAGAGACCAGCAGUUAAUUCUACAAAAAAAUCUGCUAAGGCAAGUAAGUGCCUGCUUCUGCUCGGUCAACGAAUGACCAGCAGCUAAUCUACGAAAGAUCUGCUAAGGCUAGUACGUACCUGCUUCUGCUCGGUCAACGAGAGACCAGCAGCUAAUUCUACAAAAAAUCUGCUAAGGCAAGUAAGUGUCUGCUUCUGCUCGGUCAACGAAAGACCAGCAGCUAAUCCUACGAAAAUUCUACUAAGGCAAGAAAAUGCCAGCUUCUGCUCGGUCAACGAAAGACCAAUAGGCAAUUUUACAAAAUUUCACUAAGGCAAAUAAGUGCCUGCUCCUGCUCGGUCACCGAAGACCAGCAGGAAAUUUUGCGAAAAUUUUACUAAGGCAAACAGAUGCCUAUUCCUGCUCGGUGCACUAAAGAACCAGCAGGCAAAAUCAGAUAAAUGGUCAAGUUAAUUUGCAGAAGCAACCCAUGAGCAAAAAACAGGCAAGAAAGCCAAUAGAGAGCAUUUAAAAAUUUAUAAACGUUCAAAUGUUUACAAAGCAAAUGAAAAUCUAGAGUCUUUACAAAAUUAGACCUAAGGAUUAUGAGGGUCAACGGCCUCAGCAGGUGAGGGAUCAGCAACAUCAGGAGGUGGGAGAUCAGCAGUACCGGGAGGAGGAGGCAUGGACCCUUGACCCACUUCGAAAGUGCGUCCCCCAGCUUCCCCCUCUUGUACCCCAUCCAAAGGAGCCUCCACCUGAUCCUGCUCACCCUGCUCCUUGUCUGCCUGGCCGACCUCUACCAUAUACCGCUGCACUCCAGCCUCCAACUUGCUCAUGUCCAGCUCGGGAUAUUCUCCCUGAAGCACAGACAUAAUGCACUUAUAGGAGAAAGCAACCCUCGAGUCAUACUCGGCAUCCAACCGAUCGUCCACAUCAGCGGAUUUGCUUUUUUCCUCAGCCAGCUGCUCAUUCAGGGAUUUGAUUUCUCCCUCAAGGGCGGUCCUCAAAGUAUCUCUUUCACUUUGAGUUACCUGAAGGUCCGACUUCAGGCCACCCAACUCACCCUCAAACUUAGAGGCAGUGGACUCAGCAACUGCAACUUUCUCCUCCAGCUCUGUAAUCUGCUUGUUUAACUCGGCCAAUUUCUCCUUGGAGCGGUCAGCAGAUUCAGUUUUCUUCUUCAACUCCUGGUUAUCAGCUUGAAGCUUCCUCUCAUGACGCGCGGACCCGGUCUUGUAGCACGAGACCAUUGUAGCCAGCCUAAAGGAGACUCUUUGAACAGAAGCAGCUAACUCAGAGAGGUUCAUGCUCUCGAUGUCCUUCACCAUCUUGGGCCCAACCGAUUUUUUAUAAUCCUUCUGAUAUGGGCUCAGGUAGUCACCUUGAUCCCGAGAUGGAAGAGGAGAAGAUCGGUCCCCAGACUGCAAGCUGACCUCAGGACUCUUGUCGGAGAUUUUCUCCCCACCAAUCUUACGAGGUGGUGGAGGGGGCAGAGCAGGAACAGGCGCCUUGGAAGGACCGACGCUGGGUUUCUUUAGAGGAGGAGGAGGGUUGCUGGAGCUGCUUGGAGCCCGACCACGUUUUCUGCUCAUCGCGCUGAGGAUCUUGUUAUCCAUUCCAGCAGCAAUAUCUAUCAAGCCCGAACCGACCAAGUUUGUUGGCGACAGAAGGUCUUGGCAAGUAGACGCGUUCACCAGAGCAAUUUCCACCUGAAGCAAAGGUCGGUCUUCAAGGUCCUUCACCAAAACCCACGAUUCUGAAAAGACAAACAAGGUUAAAGAACCCAAUAAGUGACAAUUGGAGAAAAAACAUAGGCGAAAAAUGAACGACCUAGGGUGACAAACUGCGUUGGAAGGUAAAUAUCACCACCCAACGAACGAAGUGCUGAACACCACUUUCCCCUAGCAAAGAAGAAUUUGUUCUUCCAAUUUUUGCACGAGGAGGGGAAACCGGUGAUUGGUUUUCUCUUCGCAGAACUGGACAUGAAGUAGUACCAGCCCGCCUCCCUUGGGCUGCUCCGCAGCUGGUACAAAUGCUUCACUUCAACAAGGGAAGGCUCCUCCGACCCGCACCUCUCCCACAACACAAACAUAGCCGAGAGAACCCUCCACCCGUUUGGGUGUAGUUGACCUGGGGCCAGGUGCAUACCCCUCAGUAUCUUGGCAAAAUAACGUUGAAGGGGCAGCCGAGCUCCUAGUUUGAAACUCUCUAAGUGCAUCGUCACAUACCCUCGCGGAGGCCGACUAGGAAUGUCACCCUUCCCAGGAACUACAAGGAGAACCUCCUCAGGAAUGUCGUAGAGGUUCCUAAGCUUGAAUAGGUCAGUGUGGGUGGUAGCACAGGCUAUGUGGUCAAUAGGGUAAGAAUCCGCCUCCACCCUAUGCCCAAGGUUUCUUUUCUUAGGUGGUCGGCUCGGCCCGGAGCUGCUUCUCUCACCAUCACCCACUUCUUCAGGAACCCCAACCCCACCAGAACUGUGGUUCUCACCAGAGCCCGACGCAGGUCCCCCUCUAUUUCCAACAAGCUCUAGGUCAGGGGAAGAUGAAAUGGUCAAAGGACGUGGGUACUCAAGGGUGUCCCUGCCAUGGGAGAAGCCUACGCUACUAGAGGGAUGUAAAAAAUCAGUGGGUACUGCCAAGUUAAGGUCUUAAUCCCCCGUUUCUUCGUCACCCUCAUCGGCAAUCAAUUUCCUUCUCCGAUUUGACAUAUCAGAACCUCAAGAGGAAACCGAAACAAAUCCAAGUAUACGAAUACAAAAAGGGGCAACACAGAACCCAAUCAACAACAACCAAAGAAGAAGUUAAAGGCUGUACCUGGGAUAGACUGGCACUGAUAAUGUCGCUGUGAUGGAGGAAAAACCCCGCAAACGGAAGUCCUAGACGCGGAGAGUAUGAACAAAGUUCGUAAGAGUUGUCUCACAACAGAGAAGCGAAGAGAACAAAACGACGAUGAUUUAAGUCUAGGGAUUUGAAGCGAAAAGGGAAAUGAAAGCAUUUAAGUGAAGGGGAUGCCAGCUCACUCACCGAAUUUCGAGGAUGGAUAGCCCGUCGUUUCAAAUUUCAAAUACGAAGAGUCGGGAAGCGCCACGUCACUAACCGUUACAAGAGGCCAGGCUAGAUGCAGGCCCAGAUAUGCAAUGGACACGCUUAUUAAGGCCCAUGCUCAGGUCAGAAUCUCCCCAGAGGAAAGAUGGUACCGCAGGUCUGUCCCGGUAUAACAGAAGACCAGAUGAGAAGCCCCCGGGCUGGUAAGAUUCGACCAUCAGUUUCUACUCUUAACUCAUUUCACUCGCAAGACCAGAAACUGGGGGACUGGUGUUAAGUAAAUAAAAGCACCAGGUCGGCCAUGCUACUAUUUCCACGCCAGUAUGGAUCACCUCAACCAAAUGGUACGAGCAGAACACGGGGACAAAUAUGGUCCGACCAGAGAUGAGUACCAACCAGGAGAGUAUACCGACCAGAGGUAGAUACCGAGCCGAUACCCAUCCCCCAAAAAAGCGGAAACACGAUCUCACAGAAUCACGGUAGUUGCGCUUUCCCAGAACCGUUGCGGGAGACGCGAGAUCCCACGUUUGCACGUAAUGCAGUAGUUAGAGUCCCAUGAGGGGCUGCCACUACCCGAAAAAGGUGGGAUGAAGGGCAAACGGGAACGUGGGGACAGAGGCUAUAAAAGAAGAAGAAAUCGAUGAAGACAGGGAUAGAAAAAUUAUGAGAGGGAAAACGCUGCCAAAUUACAAUCAGACCUUUUUCUUACAAACUUCGAAACAAGUUAGAAACCCUUCUUGAAUCCAAAUUACACUGUUUUUCCGUAAACACCUUGUGCUAACUUGGGCAUCGGAGGGUUUACGCCGGCAAAACUACCGGCGUCUCUGAUCCAUUUUUGGUGAACGUAGGUCUAGUAAGAGAAAGGAGGGCGAUUCCAACCCCAGUGGUCCGAGCAACAGUUGACAACACAAACGUUGGAGAAAGAAUCUGGUCGGUCAAAAGGCGAGCAGAUUUAAGCAUCAACAAUAACCAACACCAGAAAAGUAGGAACAGUUUCAAACUUUCAACUAAGCAGCAUUUAUUAUUCCACAUCAGCAGUCCUAAACACAUCUUCUAACAAUUGCAACUGUUCAUUUUUGCUUCUGCCAAUAAAGAGUUGAUAGUAACCAAAGAUUAUUGUCUUUAUUGUCAUUUGAGAGUAACCAAUUACUUACGCAGUCACGUAAGUUGCUGGUUGGCCUCGCACAUUUUUGACAAGUUUGUUUCUGAAGGAAAGUAGCUGAGCAGCAACCUCUUCCAUGCUCAUUCGUUCUCUCGGCAACUCUGAAGAGCAAAUGACUCCGAUUCCCAGAACUGAAACCAAGCACUCUUUACCACCAAAACUUCUUGUCUCCCCUUCUUCUCUUUCUACAAGAAGCACUAGAUCAACAAUUUCAGCGAGUCUUUCAGGAAGAGCUUCCUUGAUAAAAUUAUGUAGGGUUAGAUUGCCUGUAAACAUUUCAUUUGUCGGCCUCUUUCCUGUAAACAUUUCCAGCAAGAGUAUUCCAAAACAGUACACAUCUCCACUUGUUGAGACUUCGCUCCCCAUUCCGUACUCUGCAAUUCGAAAACUAAAAUUGUUGGUUCAACUAGUAAAAUCUCAAAGGAUUGAAAGACAAGUUAAUUAAAUAAUAGUAUUUACCUGGAGCAGCAUAACCAACGGUUCCUUUUACUCCAACAGAGCUUGAUUGAUUAGAUGACAAGUUAUUGGUGGCUUCCAGAAGGAAUUUUGCUAAUCCAAAAUCACCUACAUGGGCAGUCAAUUCACCAUCCAGAAGAACAUUGUGUCGGCAUGAGUUGGCAUGAACUGUUGGCAUGUGCUGUCAAUUAUAGAAUUGAUUUUGUAAUUACGUCCAUGAAUCUUUUAGUUGAUCAAUCUUGUUUUUAAAUAUAGAAACAAUUUAUUUCUUCCUUUUUUAGGAUGUAAUUAGCUUCAUAUAUUGCCUCUGAUUUGGAGAAGAAUAUACGAUAGAAUUAUUUUCUGCAUUGAAACCUUUGUUUGUCAUGGUAUCAGAGCAGGUUCCUCAUCAAGAGAAUUUGUGUUGACAACCGAAUAUUUUCUUUUUCCUUUUUUCUCUCGAAAUUCGUAUUCAUAUUCUGAAUAUUCACCGUUGUUGUGAACUCUAUGGCUGAUAUCACAGGCGUAUCAAUGGAUAUUAUCCCACCACCAGCACCACAAGUUGUUGUUCAUCAAGACAACUCGGCAUUUCCAACUGGAAUCACUCUGGAUGAGACCAUCUACUCAUUAUGGUCUCAACUCAUGGAGAUGCGGAUUAGUGCUCGCAACAAAGCUGGUUAUCUUACUGGAGAAACGAAGAAACCAGCACCUGGAGAUCCGAAUCUUGGAUCAUGGAUUACUGAAAAUCAAAGAGUCAAGAGCUGGUUGAUUGACUCAAUGAGUCCAUCGUUGAUGCAACGAUUUAUUCGUCUCCCUACAACCAAAGAUAUAUGGGAGGCUGUAUCGAAAACCUUCUAUGACGGAACCGAUGAAACCUGUAUUUUUGAGCUGAACCAGAGAUCUUUCUCUACCAAACAGGAUGGGCGACCAUUGCCAACGUAUUACAAUGAACUAGUUGCCAUUUUUCAGGAAAUCUAUCAUAGGACUACCACUCAAGAAGGCACAGUCAAAGGGGUGUUACAGCUGCAUUCUGAAUGGCUAGGCUUCGAGUUCAUAUUUUUCUAAGUGGCCUCGACUCAGAGUUUGAACAGGUUCGUGGAGAAAUAUUGCGAAAAGACCCAAAGCUUGAUUUAGAAAGCACAUAUGCUUAUGUUAGAAGGGAUUACCAACAGAGACAAACAAUGGGAGGCUCUCAUUUAAUUUCGGAGAACCUUGCCAUGCUGGCCAGUCAAAACCGAAAUGGAUCUUCGAAAAAUCGAGGCAAUCAAUCGUCCAAUAAAGUUAACAACCUUGUGUGCACUCAUUGCAGAGAAAAAGGUCAUUCACAACAACGCUGCUAUGAAAUCAUUGGCUAUCCAGAUUGGUGGGAUUUCUCAAAGAAGCCCCGUAAGAAAAUAUCUGGGAAGGCUAAUGUGACAGCAGCAAAGGAUGAAAAACAACCAUCCCCUUUAGCAAAUGUUGCCCACCCAGGUAUUAUUGGUAAGGCAUCUGUAUGUUCUGUAACUUCUAAGAAUAGAAUGUGGAUUAUUGAUACAGGUGCAUCUGAGCAUAUGACCAGAGAUUCUGGCCAAUUAAAAUCUGUUCUUCCUUCUUCUCAAUCUGUUAUCUCCACUGCAAACAGUAAUACUUCUCCUAUUAUUGGGGAAGGGUCUAUUACCCUGAGUAAUACUCUUACAUUAGAUACAGUUCUUGUUGUCCCAUCUCUUGAAUAUAAUCUUUUGUCGGUUAGCCAAAUUACCUCCACACUUGCUUGCACUGUAACGUUUUGGCCCACUUUUUGUGUUUUUCAGGACAUCCUAACUCGGAAGAUUCUUGGUUAUGGUGUUAGACGGGGUAAACUCUAUUACUUGGAAUUGACAGAAAAUGAGGGACCAAGUAUCAGUCAGGCAAAUCAAGCUUCUAAUGAAGAUAGAACUUGGGCAAAUGUUUGGUUAUGGCAUCGUAGAUUAAGACACCUUUCUUUUGGUUAUCUCAAAAAAUUACAGCCUCAUCUUUUUUCAACUCUAAAUGGUUUGAAUUUUCAUUGUGACAUUUGUGAGAUGGCUAAAAGCCAUUGUACUUCUUAUUUACCAAGUUUAAAUAAAAGUCUAGAACCUUUUGUGGUGAUUCAUUCUAAUGUUUGGGGUCCUACAAAAGUUGCUUCUCUUUCUAAAGCUCUUUUUUUUUGUGACAUUUAUUGAUGAAUGCACUAGAAUGAUUUGGGUGUCUUUACUUAUCAGAAAAAGCGAUGUAUGUCUAGCCUUUCAAGAAUUUCACAAAAUGGUAAGUACUCAAUAUCAAAAGCAGAUUCGUGAACUUCAAUCUGACAAUGGUACUGAGUAUAUGGAUGCCUCUCUUGGCAAGUUUUUAAACAUUCAUGGAAUUCGUCAUCAGACCUCAUGCACUUACACCCCACAACAAAACGGGCUGGCUGAGAGGAAAAAUAGACAGAUUUUAGAGGUGGUUCGUGCUUCUCUUUUUGGCAUGAACAUGCCUCGGUUUUAUUGGGGAGAAGCUGUAAAAUCUGCAGCUUAUCUCAUUAAUCGAACCCCUUCACGAGUGCUAGAUUUUCAAACUCCCCAACAAAAAAUGCAAUCCUUACUCUCAAUUCCUCAUCUUCCUAAUCUUGAACCCCGAAUAUUUGGUUCUAUUGUUUAUGCUCACAUUCCAAAAAGUUUACGAACUAAACUUGAUCCAUGUGCCAAACGCUGUGUUUUUAUUGGCUAUUCUGAUCUUCAAAAAGGUUAUAGGUGCUAUGAUCCACACACACAAAAAUUACAUGUAACUUUGGAUGUCUCUUUUCAUGAAUUAGAACCUUAUUAUUCAGGGGGAGUCUCUGACCAUUCCCUCCAGGGGGAGAGUUUGUGUGAAGAGAAUGGUCAAAGGGAAAAUGAAGGAGGAGGUGAAUUUGUAGAAUUAGAAGACAUGGUCGAAAAACUUCAAAACGGUGAUGGAAAUGAGGUUCAACAAGGGUGUGAUAACAUGACUGAAACCGAAUGUGAUCCCUCCAAUUUUCUGGACAUGUCCGAAGCACAAUCAAGGCCAUUAGAGCUACCCAUGUCUACACCAUUAACUGAAGAAUUAACCGAAAGUGUUCCUCCUCAGGUAAUUUCAAAUCCAUUGUCUAAUGAGUCUAAUGAACUAUUUUUUUUUGUAGAAGACAUGAAUCCUAGAUAUCCACAAAGGUCAAAUAGAGGAAUUCCAAAGAAACAAUAUGAACCUGAUCCCAAAUCCAAAAUAAAAUACCCAAUCAGUAAUUACAUGUCAUCUCAUAGGUUGUGUGAAUCAUAUGCACUUACUAUUAAUCAAUUAUCCACUAUAUCUAUUCCUAGUAGUGUACAGGAUGCUUUGGAGGAUCCAAAAUGGACUAAGGCGAUAAAUGAAGAGAUGGAAGCUCUACAAAAAAAUGCCACUUGGGAACUGGUUUCACUACUUAAGGGAAGGAAAACAAUUGGAUGUAGAUGGGUAUUCACAGUAAAACUCAGAGCGGAUGGAAGCAUUGAUAGGUAUAAAGCGAGACUAGUGGCAAAGGGAUAUACACAAAGGUAUGGAAUAGAUUACCAAGACACUUUCGCACCAGUAGCCAAGAUAAAUACCAUUCGUAUUAUUAUUUCUAUAGCAGCAAAUCGAGAUUGGCCCUUAAAACAGUUCGAUGUCAAAAAUGCUUUUCUCAAUGGAGAUUUAGAAGAAGAAGUUUACAUGGAGCUACCUCCUGGUGUCAAACAUAGUUCUAUGCGUAGGAAUGAAGUAUGUAAGCUGAAGAAGUCCUUGUACGGACUAAAACAGUCACCUAGGGCAUGGUUUGGGAGGUUUUCAGCGACAAUGAAAGCUGCUGGUUAUAAACAAAGUAAUUCAGACCAUACUUUGUUUAUAAAACACAAAGGCAGAAAAGUGACGGUGUUAAUAGUGUAUGUUGAUGAUAUGGUAUUAACAGGGGAUGAUUUAUCUGAAAUGAAAGCACUACAAGAACAUUUGGCUGCUGAAUUCGAAAUGAAAGAUCUUGGGCAGCUUAAAUACUUCUUAGGGAUUGAGGUAGCAAGAUCGAAAAGUGGAAUUUUUCUUUCACAACGAAAAUACGUGUUAGAUCUCCUCACUGAAACUGGUAUGCUUGAUUGUAAACCAGCUGAAAUGCCUAUAGAGAUGAAUCACAAGCUCGGGAUUUUACCAAAUCAAACUCCAACUGAUAAGGGUCGUUAUCAACGGCUAGUUGGGAGGUUAAUCUAUUUAUCCCACACAAGGCCAGACAUAGCAUAUGCCGUAAGUAUAGUAAGCCAAUUCAUGCAUUCACCAAGUGAAGAACAUAUGGAUGCAGUCUAUCGAAUUCUGAGAUAUUUGAAGUGUGCUCCUGGAAAAGGUUUAUUGUUCGCAAAAAAUAAUGUCUCAAACAUUGAAGGAUAUACGGACUCUGAUUGGGCAGGUGACCAGAUAACAAGAAGAUCGACCUCAGGUUAUUUUACAUUUGUUGAAGGCAAUCUCGUCACUUGGAGAAGCAAGAAGCAGAAGGUUGUGGCAAGAUCAAGCGCUGAAGCGGAAUUUCGUGGAAUGGCACAAGGUGUGUGUGAGAUGUUAUGGAUCAAGAACAUACUAAAAGAUUUGGGGAUUGAUUAUGCAAAACCCAUGAAUCUUAAAUGUGAUAAUAAAGCAGCCAUAGAGAUUGCCCAGAAUCCUGUACAACAUGAUCGCACAAAACAUGUUGAAGUAGAUCGUCAUUUCGUCAAGGAGAAGCUUGACGAGAUUCCGAUGCCUAACACUUCUCAAGGCUUGACACUCCGCCAUGAAACUCUUUGAAGCUCCUCGAUGUUGAAGAUUAAGCACCUUAACUGCCACCAACGUUUCAUGAUCAUCAUGAUUGAGGACUCCUUUAUAGACCGAACCAAAGCUACCGGCAGCAAUCAAGUUUUCCAAAGAAAACCCAUCGGUUGCUUUGAACAUAUUCUCAUAGGACACUCGUAAAACCGAAGCCAAGGAUGCUGAUGGAGGAGUGGCCGGCUCCCUUUUUGAUUUGCUCCGCCGGGAAGUAAUUAUCAAACACGACAUCCCUGUCACUAACAAAAUUAUUGUAAUUACAGGAAUAAUCAGUUUCAGGGAACGGGCACGUGAUUGCUUUGAUUCUUUGAUGGAACAAGUAGAUAAAUGCAAGUCAGAUAUGCCACCACAGAGGUUAUCAUUUCCAUCAAGAGAUAUAGCACUUGAAUUGCUGAAGACUCCUUUUAUUGGUACUUCGCCCUCAAAAUGAUUAAAAGACAGAUUUAAUUUCUGCAAAAAGAGAAAGUUUUCAAAAUAUUUUGGAAUCCGGCCAGACAAAUUGUUCCGCGAAAGAUCAAGCUUCUCAAUGCCUCUCAAAGAACUGAAUGAUGAAGGUAUAUUCCCUUGAAAGAAAUUACCAUUCAUGAUGAGUUGCACCAACAAAAUGCAACUUCCUAUACUACUUGGAAUUUCACCAGACAAUUUGUUCUCAGAUAUAUCUAUAAAACCCAGAUUUUUCAAGAUACCAAAAUUUGAGGGCAAAGGACCAUUCAACUGGUUUUGAGAUAGAUCAAGAUAGAUUGACAAGGAAGAGAGACCAAUUACUUCAGUGGGAAUGGUACCACUUAGGUUGUUAUUAGAGAGAUUUAAGGAUAUUAAGUUUUGGCAUUUCCCUAGACUUGAUGGAAUGCUUCCCUCUAACAAGUUUGCGGAAAAAUCUAGUAUGGUUAACGAUGCCAAAUUUCCUAUAGAAGAUGGAAUUUCCCCCAAAAACUUGUUCCCGUUCAGCCCCGACCCCUGCAGCUUUUGAAGAUAUCCUAUGCUUUCCGGAAUUCGGCCUGUGAAUUGGUUGUCCCCAAGGUCUAAAAGCUCUAAGUUAACAAGAUUUCUUAAUCCACUUGGGAUAUUUCCGAACAAUUGAUUGUUUCCAACUGAUAAUUUUCUAAGUCGGGUUGACAAGUUCCCCACAGCUUCAGGUAACAUUCCGCCACAAUUGGUGUCACUAAUUUGCAGUAGCUCUAGUCUAGAAGCGUUAACCAAAGAAUUGACAAAUUCCAAGUCAUCUUUUUCCCCAUUUCCUAAGGGAUGCUGAGAAAUACUAACCUCUCGGAGUUUAUGUAAAUUUUCCAAACUAGGCACCUUUCCACUGAAUCCAUUCCCUCCGAUUGCAAGUGUCAUUAGAUUUGAGGUAUUGGAUAUGGAAGCAGGAAUAGGUCCAGCAAACUGAUUAUCAGCAACGUUUAAUAGUUCAAGAUUAGGAAGAGUGAAGCCUAAGUCUGAUGGAAAGCUUCCUUGAAGUGGUUAACAGGAAAAUCAAAAACACUAAGCGAAGACAAGUUGUAGAUAGAGACAGGGAUUUCACCUGAUAGCUUAUUUAUUCCAAAUGCUAUAAUACGCAUCCUCUUAAUCUCCCCCAGGGUUUCAGGAAUUUGUCCCACAAAUUGAUUUCGAGCUGCUGAGAGGACUUGGAGUGAUGACAAAUUGCCCAAGGAAGAUGGGAUUUCUCCUGACAAACUGUUUAAGUGUACUACGAGAAUCUGGAGCUUUGAUAAGGAGCCCAGUUUCCCUGGAACUUUCCCCACAAGCUCAUUGGAGCCUAACGAGAGGGAUUCAAGGUUAACGCAAUGCGAUAUGUUGUCGGGAAUUUGACCUCCGAAUGUAUUGUUGCUCAGCCAUAAAAUUCGUAACCUGAACAGAUAUCCAAUCUCUUGAGGGAUUUCGUUUCGGAAGCUAUUGUUUUUUAGAUCUAACACUCUGAGAAAACUUAAAUUACCAAUGUGAGGCGACAGAGACCCCUGCAAGAGUAAAGAUGGAAGAAGUAAUGCAGUCACCCUUUGGUGCCGUGGACUGCAAGUGACACCUUUCCAUUGACAAAAGUGCCUGGAAUAGUUCCAUGAACUCAAAACCUCAAGAGGAUCAUGAGUAACUUUGGCCUUGAAUUGAAGCAAUGCAAGUUGAUCAGUUUCAUUGCUUUUGAGCAUAUAAUCGGUUGACUGCAAGCUGAAGCUGAAGCAACAGAAAAUAAAGAAACAAAUGCUUGCAAUGAUUGAACUCGUCAUGUUUACAAAAUCCAUUUAACGUCCGAAGGAAAUUAAAAUGAUAAAACUUUUAUAGAGGUUGGUAGGAUAAACUAUGUUUGCAUAUUUUUUGCAAUGAUUUAUAGACUCUGUCCCUGAUGCUCAAAUGUGAACCGGCUGGCACCGUGACAAUGAAACUAAUACUUUUUGUUUUUCUAAUAAUAUUAAUUAUCAUAUUUAUUACUAUUGUAAGAACAAUAUAUUCCAGCUUUAAAGAAAGACCCACCGGACUUCCUUUUGAGUCUCGGUCAGUUUCCAGCAUUUUGUCAUUUUUAUUUUAUUUUAGUGCUUAAUCCACAGUAAAUAUAGAACAAUUUAAUCAACAAUAUUGAAAAAGAAGAAAAGUAGGACAAGAGAAAGGUAAAUACGAUGGAUGGAGUGUUAGACUACUGUUAAAUGAGUUGGGAAACGUUCAAAGCACGACGGGAAUUAGAAAAGAAAAAAAGUAGGAUAAGAAAGUUAAGUAUGAUGGAUGGAGGUUCAGAUUAUUGUUAAAUGACUUAGGAAAGACUUAAAGCACCACAGGAAUCAACGUUUCACAAAGCUUUUUUCCCUUUCUGAAAUAUUCGGUGCAGUCACCCCCAGAUUUUGCUAGUGCAACCAAGAGACGUCAUGCCGUUAUCAAUUAUAAACUGUAAAUGACAUGUUGUUUUUACAAGACAUAUUAUGCGUCGAUACAUACCUUUUCUGGUUGUUGGUCUAUAUAAAUAUAUGAGACGGCAUGUGUGUGACAACACUUGUCAUUUGUGUUUACACGGCCUGUCGUUUUCAAAGGAAAAUUUUAUCAUGGUAUUCUUAUCUCCCAGCUGCCGUUUGCCGUUUGGAAUUGUUCUGUACAAGAUCUUGAUCAUCGAAUUUACUACGAGGGCGUAUGUUUUAUUUUCUCGAAUUACAUUGCCGCCUCAUCUUUUGUGUUUUCGGUUCUGUUGUGGAUCGCCUCUGUUUUUGUUGAUAGGCGAUUUUUACCUAAACUAAACCAUUAUUGGUGGCAUGUUGAUCCUAGAAUUAAGGUGUGGAUGGCUCCACUACCGCAUAAAAAGGAGAAAUUGGCCAACUAUUAGGGAGGGGGCAAUAUAAGUUAAAAACAGAGAAGAAGUGGGUGUGGGGGGGGGGGGGGGGGGGGGGGGGGGUGGAUUAUGAACCUUUUCGAUAAUAACUAGAGAACACUAUGCAUGACAUUUUGGAUGUCGAGAAAUUCAUGUUCAACUCACUGUACAGAUCGUGCUCUCUUUCCCCAUCAAAACAAAUUCAAUUGUUGAAGUUGUUUUUCGGCAUCAACAGUUUUGAUGUGUGCUAUGUUUUUAAUAUACAAACAUAAUUUUCUUUAUUCAGAUUGGAGAUCUUUUUCAUCCAACAUAAUUUUAUAUCCCUAGUAUCAAUUCGAUCAUUUGAAUAGCUCUUCAGUUUUAAGUUCUGCAAAAAGAUAGAUCUAAAUUCACCCUCAAAAUGGUUAAAACUUAAAAGAGACUUAAAUUCUGCAUAAAGGGAAAGCACUCAAAUUUUUUGGAAUUUGGCCGGACAAAUUGUUGCGAGAGAAAGAUCAGUUCUUAAAGAACUCAAUGGUCUUUUCCCUUGGAAGAAAAUGAUGAGUUGUUUCAACGUAAUGCAACUACCUAGACUGCAUGGAAUUUCACCAAACAAUGACAAUUUAUUCUCAGAUAGAUCUACCGCACCCACAUUUGUUUAGUCACCCAAAUUUGAAGGCGUCUGUUUUGAGACUGAUCAAAACUUUUUCCAAAAAUUCGGGAUUCAGGUCGAUCAGGCCGGUUAUGUUUUGAAAAACUUGUAAAUUUUCAGUGAUCAAACUUCAAAACUUUGCAAAUAGGUCAAAAUAUGAAAAAUACUUGAUAUAUUAUUGAAUACUCAUUUUCUUUUGCAUUAAUAUAAGGCUGUGGGUGGUAUCUAGUAAUGUUGGUAAAAUUUCUUGAGUUGAAAACAAUAAAACGAAAACAGCUCUAAUAGAUCCACCCCUGUUUGAAACUCACUCAUAUGGAUGGGAAAGAAAUUUAGUUACCAUUGGAUUAAAAAAUUAUUAUUAUUAUUAGAAAAAAAAAAUUGUAAGGCUUCGACAAGAUUUGCUAAUCAUGUAUAGAUUAAAAUUUAUGUGGGUUUGGCCACCAAUUUAGCAUUAGGAACUUAUUGUUUAGGAAGCUAUGGUGGGUUUCGUAGUGGGACUUAUCCUGUUUAAUGCAUUUGGUGAUUUUAAACCAACAUUUAUAUAAUCCCAUUAUAAAACUCAUCAAACCUUCUAAAAUAACAUGUUGAGAUAGUGUGCUAGAUCCAUAUAAAUGUUUCUCCAACUUCUUAGCUUGAAGCAAUAUUCAUUUCCAUUGAUAGUUUAAUGGGCAAAGCCUUAUGAAUUCUCCAUGUUAUCAAGUUAAUUUUUGCUGGAAAAUGCAAUCUGGAUAUGAAUAAAUUUUUUGUGCAAACAAAUUUUCUAUGUUGACACAUCCUCUAGAACUUUCAGUAAAUUUUAUGGAGAAGCUUUAACUUCUUAGCCGUUGAUUUCAAAUAUAUUAAGCUCUUAUUUGGUAUUAAAGUAUCAUGGCCUAAAAGUUAUAGUUCGUAUGGAAAGAAAUUUGUAAUUACGAAAUAAAAAUUGAUAGUGUGAUAAAUAUAAUUUCAGAAUAAAAAAAAACUGAACUUUAAAAUUACAAUAGUAAUUAUAAAGUAUUUACUAAAUAUAUUAGUGUUGCAGUGACUGCCCUACCACAAUGACAAAUAGGGGGCUAAUACUACAAAUUGUUCCAUUAAAAGUCUCCCAAAAAGGAAGAAGUGACUUAAAAAAUUAAAAGAAUGCAGGAGCUGAAGUUGGCAAUUUUGCCUAGUAAAGUCAUCCAUCAGCACUAGCAAUUUCGUAAUAUACAUUAGUGGCAAUUUUGUAAAAUUGAAGUAGUGAUAGUUUUGCAAAUAAAAGUAAAAACUUUUUCCCUAAAUUCGGCUGAGCUAAAAGCCAGCUUAGCCCACACUCUCCUUCGCCACCGGUUGACGAGCUCUUUCUUCAAUUUCUGAACUUGAAGUGAUGCCCCAUCGAUGUCCAGAAUUUUUAAAGUCUCCCCAUUGUACAAGUUAAACAAUAAAGUCAGAAUGAUGUCGGAGUUACAAACAAUCAAAUAUGAUCCUAAUGAUUCUUUUUAGAGAGUCACCUGUACGUUGACGUGUUUAAUUGAUGUUUAUUUAAGCAGAAAUUGAAUUUUGAUCCUGAUUAUUUAGAUGAGAACACACAUUCAUGAGUAAUUACUUAAAAUUAAAUUAAUCAAAAUAGUAUAAAUACAAGAGAAAAUCGAUCAUAUGCGUGCAGACACCACAAACGAAUUAUAUAUAUCACCGCCGCACAUAAAUCUGAUUCCAAUGAUAUAUGAUUAAUUAAUUAAUUUUUUUAAUAACAAUUAAAUUGUAAUGUCAAUUGUCCACAUAAGAUUUUUUUUUUUUGUUGAUGAAAGUUAGUAAUUUUUUUUCCAUCUUUUAAAUAAUAAUUGUUAAUACAAAUCAAAAAGAUAUUAGCACUUGAGAUCAGGGUCUACUUGAGUUAGAAUUUUUUAUUGGAAAAGUUAUUAGCCAGCGAUGAAAAAUAAAGAAGUAACACAAGAUAAAGAGUAAAAUGAGAGAGUAUAUAUUAUAAAAAGAUUUUAUCCAUUUCAAGUGUGUACCAAACAAAGAGAUGAACUCUUCUUUCAUAAUUACAUAAUUAUUACAAGAAAUUAAUGAAAAUAUUAUGGAUUAUAAUUCCUUGCGAGAUAGUGGGAGUUAUAGAAAAGUCAAAAGUUGUUAGUGGAAAAUAAGGGGAGAGUAAAAGAUAUAUGUUAUGAAGGUUUACAUUUAUUUUAAUAAAUUCAUAGUAUUUUUUUCCUUAAAUAAUAGGGUGUGGAGAACAAUUGGAAGGACUUUACGUGUGUGUGUGCCGACCGCGUCUACUCCGAGCUGCUCCAGCUUGUCGAAGCGUUUAUAGUGAACGAUUCCGAAAAUGACGUGGAUAAGGCUUGUCGAGUUAUUCUGCUCAUGUGUCUUUCAAUUGCUGCUCUUUUUUGGUUCACUCAGUGUAACGUGACUGGGUGAGUUUCUUAUUUAUAAAUUUUUAAAUAAUUGCAAUUAAUAUAAUAAAUAUUAGUAAAAAAUUAAAAAAAAAAGGUUUAGUGAUGAACGUUUGAACUUGAAUUAAUAGAGGCCUUUAGUUGAUAAUUCGCCAAAGUGUUGGUUUCCACUAGAAGUUUCAACUUUAGAAGGCAACGAAUUGAUAGAGUGGGAGAAUUGGGCGCGUUAUCAGCUCAUGUCUGUUGGCUCUGACUUGCUGGGAAAGUUCUCCUAUCUUCAGGUACUCAGUCUAUCGAAAAAUGAAUAGAUUCUAUUGCUUAGACAGUGUUAAUGUUAAUAUUAUCUUUUUUAACUUAUUUUACAUUUUGUGAUCUUUUUGUAGUAUAUAGUUUUUGCCAAAAUGUUGAUCAUGAAGACAAAAGAUUUGCUGUCUGAUGCAACUGUGUUGCCUGUGAAUGGGAUUGGAACCAUUUCAUGGUGGCUCACAAGACUCCUACUUAUGGAUCAAAGGAUUUUAGACGAGCAGUCGUCUUCUUUGUAUGAUCUAUUGAAAGUUUUUAUGGCUGAGACUUUACAAAAUUUUGGCACUUUGGUAAAUGUUAGUACUUAUUGGGGCAACCAGUUGCAUGAUAUCGAUCCUUCAGAGAUUGUUUCAACAUUUCAUUUAGAAGCAGGACUGUUAGAACACAUUUACAGGAGAGUUGAUUCUUGCAGGUGAGUUAUCCUGGGAAAGUUUUAUAUUCGAUGGUCUUAUUUCUGGCUUCAUUAGAAAAGUUUUCUCUUGGAAACAUGUUAUUUCCAACAUGGAACUUGCCUGUAGAACUCUCUCCGUCAUCGAAAAUGAUUUUGUGCAUUGUGUGUCAGGGAGAUGCAAGAACAAAGUUUUAUGUUUGGACUUCAUCAAAAUCUCCCUUUUUUUAAUGUUUAUUGUUUCAAUCAUCAAACAUUAGUUUGAGUUGUUAGCAGUGGAAUUUGCAUUAACUGAUUACUAACUUCCAUCAUUACCUUACUAUAGGACUUCUUCUAUAGUUUCUGCUGAUUUCUAAAAUGCUUUAUGGUAUCAGGAAACAUUUUGAAUCAGCUGAAGUGGCAGCUGGUCUCCAGCUUUCAGUUACUGGGGUUCUUGGUUUCCGUACUGUCCGUCAGGUAAAGAUUGAAUGUGCAUCAUUUAUAAAGUUGUCAGGAUCUUCCUUCUUAGCUUUGAGAUUGCUCCUGCAUAUAGGUAGAACCAAAGGCAAAAAUGGUACUUGUUGCAAACACAAGCUCAACCAACACUUCUGAUGUCUGCCCUUCAAUAAACCAAGUCAUUCAUACACAUGAUUCUACUAUUGGUGAUGCCUCUGAUGUUUUUGUGACCCCAAAAUUAUUGGGGAAUAGUCAUGAAUCUGAAUCUGGAGUCCAAUGCAUUCACGCUGGUGGCUCAGCAGCCCAUUUAAAGGCAAUCCAACAGGCAGUGAUCUUGUCGAGGUGCGUUCUAAUAGAAAAGAGCUCACGGGAAGAUGAAAUGCAAAGUAAGUUGUUUUAUGGUUGGGCGGUGUGUAGUCCUCUUGUUAAAGGCCAUAAGAUGUUAAGCAUAUUGCUAUUUAAUUUUUAAAUCAUUCUCAGUAAUAAUUCCUUUAGUAGAUUGAUGAUAAGAGAUUGCAUUACAGAUGAUAACUGAGCACAAUUUCUGUAGUUGUAUCCCUGUACAUCCAUCUUAAUAUCCUCAUUAUAUUCACAUGCCUUUCACGGGUGUUAUUUCUGGAUGCUGAAUGCUUUGUUCCACUUUUGGAAACCAAAUGCGUUGUUACACAAAGCUGAGCUGGUUGAAAAGCUAGCUGAUGAGGUCAACAUGUCCCUUAAGUAAUUUGAGGAUGAACACUGUGUUCCCGAAAGUCUUACUCUAAUGAUACUUAAAGAAGCAAUGAGACUGGAUGUUGCAGCAGCUUUGCUGAACUCAACCCCAGUUCCAAAAAUGGAACAUGUGAAAACCGAAAAUGCAUUGUUCUUUUUUUUCCUCUUUAUGACUUCUCUAGUUGGGGAAUGUAUUAGAUAUUCACCUAAUCAGUAGGCCUUGAAGGGAUCCCAUGUUAGCCCCUUGAUGUUGGUCUGUAACUAAGUAAAUACUUGACCUUGAAAAAGCUUUUGGAGGCAUCAGUUUCUCUCUGACUGUGUGCUACUUUUUGGAUCUGUUGAUUUGGUCAUUUGCUGAUUUAUAGUUAUUUUUCUGAUUCAGGAUGGGAUAUGGCUCCAUACAUAGAGGCAAUUGAUUCACAGCAGUCGUCAUGCUUCAUUGUAAGUAUAUAUACAAUACAGCAUCAGGUUUUCUUGAUUUUAAAUCUCAUAUUCUGAAGUGGUACUUCUGAUUCUCACAUGAUUUUUCCAUCUUUCAGCUAAAGUUUUUCUGUGAUCUCUUACGUAUUAGAUGGGAGUCCACCCGUAGUCGCACAAAAGGGCGUGCUUUAGAGAUGAUGGACAAACUGGUAUGAUCUGUGAGCCUUUUCUUCUUAAAUAUUUUGUUACCUAAACCAUUUUCAUUCAAAUUGACAAGAGUUGCUUAUCGAUCUAUAGAAGAUUCCAAACUUUCUGCAGCUAGUACUUUAUUGGACCCAAAAGCUUUUUUGCUUUUUCUAAGCUGCUAAUCAAGACUAGGUUUCUCUCCCUUAUAUCGCUAGAUAUGCCAUUAAUCGUUUGAUUUAAUUGUCUAGAGAGAUUAGGUACUUGCAUCUUUGCUUUUCACUUCAUAAGUGAUUUCAUAUGCUAUCCUGUAUUCUGGUUCAAGAUUUUUGAAGGUUGCUUACCAUCAUAUUUUGCUUUGUUUCAGGUUGAGGGCAUUUCUAAUUCUUCUCCCGGUGUGACUCAAAGGAUUCCCUUUUGUUAUGUGAUUUACGUUCCAACUAUUCCUGCCCUGCGAAAGUAAAACUAUUUCUUCUGCAUCUUUGAAUGAUUGUGAUUUAAUUUUCUUGUCAUUUUGCCAACUAUCAUUACGCUGUCAUUGUUUCAUAUCUUAGUUGACAUAUGUUGACUUGGUUAGAGUUUAAUUGCUCUGUUUAUUCUCUUCAUAAUCUGUCUAUUUCGAUUUUUCUUGAUUUUAGGGAAUUUGCUGAACUUUUAGUAAGCUGUGGCUUGAUUGGAGAGGCUAUUAAAAUUUUUGAGGAUCUGGAGUUGUGCGAUAAUCUAAUAUACUGCAACUGGUAUGGUGUCAUAGAUAACCAUUAUCCUAAUCUCUCUCUCUCUCUCUCUCUCUCUCGUGUUGCUAAUGGGAGUUGGUUUUGUGUAUGAUGUAAAAAACAGCCUAUUGGGCAAGAAAGCAGCAGCUUUUGAACUAAUAAAAGCAAGGCUGUCUGAAAAGCCUAAUGACCCUAGAUUAUGGUUUAUUGAUGAACCUUUUCUAUGAUCCAUUUUAUAGUUACUUCUCAUUUCAGUUAUAUCCAUUGUUGAUGUCACUUAUUGCAAUCUAGGGAUAAUUGUUCAUUGGAUGUGAGGAUAUUGUCAGAAGAAAAUGAAACCUUUUAAUUUUAUCUUUUACUUGCUGUAUCCGAUUUAAAAGCUUACUGUGCGUUCUUACUGAUUGCUUUUGGUCUUGCAUUUGAGUCAAUGUAUUUUAUACUCAUAUUCUGACAUUUAUUGUUAGUCUUCUGACGGUUCUGCACCUUGGUCCUAUAUUAUCUUCAGCAGUAUUAUCUAAAAAAUAAGUUUUUGCCGAAUAUUUGCAUUCUAAACUAGAAAAGGAGGGGCGCCCGGCGGGGGGGG